rnacentral:lncRNA from 1 species
CUUCCAAAUUAACAAGCCAUGCAAAAAUCAAAUUCCCAUACAUCAAUAUUAUUUUACAUGUCUUUUUAACAGACUGAAUUCAUUAAGACAGAAGAGUACAUAACUCAGAGGUGAAUCCUACACAGCCACUUCUACAGAACCCCAAAGAUGUAAAAGCUCAGGAACAGACACCCAAGCACAAAUGCAGAGGUUGAAAGCCCUGAGGAACUGGGUAGCACCAAAUAAAUGCCAGAAGUAAAUGCUAUCACCAUUCCUAGGAUGGAAACGUAUGUGAGUAUGGCUGAAAAUUUUAUGAAACCUAGAAGCAGAUGAUAGUUUCGUUCCAGUGAAGCAAAAAAGUGGAGAAACACUACUGCAGUUGAGCAAUAGAAAGCUAUACCAUCUGACAACAAGAAGGUCUUGAAGGCUAUCUUUGUUGAGAGAACUGCUUUACCUUUGUCGGGGUCAUCAUCAUUGUACCCACCAGGUAGAGUAAAGCCUGCUGCAAAAGUGACAGUUGCUAUGAGCGUCGCGACCAAUAAAUGGGUGUUGGAAAUGUCCUUGAGAUGAUGAGAUCGAAGUUCCUUUUCUUUCAUGAUUUCUCUGUUCCUAUCAAGAAGUAUACUCAUAUUGCUAGCAGUACGAGACGCGCCAUCACUGCUCUUUUGAUGCCCAUUGUUAUCAGUCCGCAUAUUUGCAUUUUCCUGGUAUCCUUCAUUGUCACCAUUUUGCAUAUAUGCAUUGUCUCUAAUGACCAACCGGUGUAAACUUUGUCGACCACCAGCAUGCUCCAACUUCCUCAUGAUCCAAUACUGGCAGUCAUUUGAAAGGAAUUAGAAUGAACUUGUAAAGCAAAGCUAUGGGAAAAAUUUUGAAUCAAACAUUGAACAAAAUCUAUUGGCUAGCUCUUAAAGAGGACACCAAACACAUUGAAUAAUAUUAGCCAUCCAUUUCAGAUACUUUUUUCUUUUUCUUUUUUCUCUCUUUUUUAAGUAAUCGCUUAACAGAUUGAAUGGCUAUAAUCAUUCAACAUGAUCUUUCUGCAUCAAAUAUCUUCAGAGAGAUAUGAGAAGCCUCAUCAUGUCUAAUUAAAAUUUGUCUCAAACUUUACAGUAACGUACCUUGAUUUUUUCUCCAAUAUCCAUAUUUGACUGGACAAUGUCAAUAGUCUUCAAAUACUCAUUGUUCAUUGCCCUUUUGUCCACUCUAUCGUCUGCAGCCAACAUAAUCACAACCCCGUAAUGUCCAUAAAUGGCAGCUAGAUGAAGGGGUGUGUUACCUUCCUUAUCUGGCUCAUUUAUGAUACUUUCCAAGUUUGGCUUCUUCAGGAUAUACUUAACGACUCUAGCGUUUCCAUAUUGAGCUGCAACAUGAAGAAUUGUGCGGCCUUUGUUGUCAAUCAAAUCAUAAACAUCUGGAAGACAUGUGAUAAUCUGUUCCAUUACAUUAGUGUGGCCCUCUUUGGCUGCAAUGUGGAGAGCACAACUGUGUUCUACAUCCAAUAAGCCAGCAACAGAUUUGUCAUACUUCAGUAACUUCUCAGUUGCUUUGAGGUGACCCAAGUGGGCAGCAUAGUGAAGAGGGGUCCACCCAAAUUCAUCUGCCUUUUUUAUCACAUCCUUCUUCAUUUCAAAUAGUACUUCCAUAAUAUCUAUACAUUGGGAGAAGAAGGUUAGAAAUCUUAAAAAGAAGUGGAAGAAUCUACUUAAAUAGCAUUUCAUACCUCACCAAAAAUAUGUCAAGAGAAAUGGAAAAGGCGACCAAAACACCCUUUCCCCCAUAUUUUAAGCAUAAAAAUGUCCUCAAUAAUGAUCCCCUUCAUUUCCAAAAAAAAAGGAAAAUCCUCGUACAUCUUGAUAAAUAAACACAUGGCUUAAUCAGUUGUAUGGUUUGAAGGUCCGUUCUUUUUUCUUAUAUAGGAAUGGGUGUUCAAAUAGAGUGAGAAUGGAGAGAACUCUCCACUCAUAAGCUUUUUGAAGUAAAAAGGAAAAAGGAAAAAAUCCAACUUCUUAGUAAACAAGAAUGAAAAGGGCACAGGAUCUUCUUACUUUAAAAAGGGGACAAAAGGAGUCUUAUUACCAAUUUCAUCAUUCAAUUGUUUUCCUUUGAAGUGUCCUCGUACCCUAAAGAAAAAGUUUGUAACCACACGGCGAUGUUUUUCUAGAGAUAAUUCUGGAACUUCUUGGCCUGCAGCAUGAUAUAACAAACUAAAAUCAGUGAUAUCCCCAUAAAAAUAACAAAGAAGGCCAAAAAAACAAAGGCUUGCCUUUUAGUUUGUUCAUCUUGCAUAAGGGAUUGAAAAAAGGAAAAGGAAAGAAAGAAAAUUAAUGCAAAUUAAGUCUUUUCCCAAAAGUGGUCCAUAUUCAGAAGAAAUAUUUGUUGAAAUAAUUUUCAAAACUUCAUACCAAACAAGGAAAUAAUGAAAGCUGAUAUUUUUCAUCUACUUGAUUUCUUUUCUUCAGUUUCUUCCUCAUUUUUCUCUCCAGGCAUGGUGGUAAGACUUGGGUCUUAGAAAGUAUACACCCAAAUGCCUGAAGACUUGGGUUUUUUUUUCUUUUUUUUCUUUUUUUGUCACCAGAAUUAUCACUGGACGCCCUUUGCAUGCCCAAAUUAAACUUGAAAAAGUAAAACAAAUUAACAUUAGAAAUGAAGAUUUCAGAUAUACUCCUACUAACCAACAUUGGAUUGUGUUCCUGGAAACCAUUCUCCUCGUAGAUGCAGUCCAAGUCCAUUUACAGACAGCUCGGGGGGUAUGGGUUUACCCAGCUCAGGACCUACAAGUUAGGAAGAAUCGAAGAAAUCUUUUAAGUAUACAAAAGCAAGCAUGAACAUAAACUUUUAUGCAUAGAAAGAUUUUGACCUUUAUGGGUACGAAUCACAGCUGCAUGUAAAGCGGUCAUCCCUUUCGUGCCCUCACAGGAACAUUCAGAACUGUUUCCUUUCAACAGUUCGUCAGCAAUCUUGAAAAACCCCCUUUCCACAGCCAAAUACAAGGGGGACUCUUUAUGAUUAUUAACCAAAUCCAACAACUUAGGAUUUUCUUGAACCAACCGGUUCACCACCUCAAGAUGACCAUUCCUCACAGCCACAUGCAGUGCCGUAUCAGCCCUCCCAUUCUUCAUUUCCAGUGCUUGCUUGGCAUUUUUACUUUCAAGAAAGCACUUAACCAUGUCACUACAGCCAGUUCUCGAGGCGAUAUGCAGCGGAGUGUCGCCUUUGAAGUCAGCUCUAGUCAGAAGCUCUGGAAACUUCUCAACAAGAGCUUCAGCAAAGCCUAUGCACUUGAAAUUACCAGCAAUGUGAAGAGCAUUGCGUUUCUGGGAAUGUGCUUGGCAGGGAAUACUCUGGAGGCUAUGUGGCUUNNNNNNNNNNNNNNNNNNNNNNNNNNNNNNNNNNNNNNNNNNNNNNNNNNNNNNNNNNNNNNNNNNNNNNNNNNNNNNNNNNNNNNNNNNNNNNNNNNNNUGAAUUUUGUGGCACCUCCCGUGGAAACUUGCCACCAAAGCUCCCAAUUCAGAAAUGUUGUUUUUAAAAUAAUAACAGAAUUGAGUAAUUUUCUUUCUUUCUUAUCUCCAACGUUUUUGCUAAAUACUUUCACUUUUGGAGCUUGGUUUUAUAUCUGAUUUCGUAAGUCCUAAGAUAUCUACUACCAUGUACCUUGAAAGGUUGGUGUUGAAUCUAUUGAUUAAUUGUAUAUGUUAGGGCAAUGAGUCUUCAUCAUAAGUUAGCAAUUUUGUUCCUUUUAAUUUUUGGCUUAGGAAUCUUUUUAAAUAGUGACUUACUUUCUAUUAAAAGAUUCAAGGUUAUUGUUCGAUCAACUGGAAAGUCAUAUGUAAAUCUAAAAAGGUUUAGUUUAUGGCAAAUUAGGUGUUUAAAAGGGUUAAGUGGAUUGGUAUAUUUUUUAUUGAAUUAAAAAUGUUUUAUUUAAUAUUUUGAAAAUGCAAGGGAUGCUCGAGUGGUGGAAAUAGUGCUCAAGCGUUGGGACCACUCAAACACUUAUCAACUCAAACACUUAUCCAACACUUAAGUGAUCAAGGCACUCAAGUGGUAGGUAAGUGCGCUCGAGUGCUCAUCCCAAAUCUGCUAAAAUAUGGUAGAAUAUUUUUGGAUAAUUCAUGCAAAUUGAGUUUGGAAACUUCACUAUACCAAUCCCCUAAGGCUUGGAGGCCUAUAUAAACCCAUCUAUAACCCUUUUAGUAUGAAGUGUAGUAAAACCAAAUGGAAGAAUGAAUAAUCAAAUGGAAGAAUAAGACAAUUAAGGAGAAAGAUUACAUGAAGAUAGGGCCUUAUGCUUCAACAAUAAGUAGCCUUAUGUAUGUGAUGUUGUGUCCUAGAUUAGAUAUUUGUUUUACGUAAGAAUGAUGAGUAGAUAAUAAUCCAAUCCAAGUAUAGAGCAUUGGACAACGGUCAAGUAUUAAAACCAUAAACAAAAAGCUAAAAUCAUGUUCAUUGAUUCUAAUUUUCAUAUGAAAAUUUUAAAAAUAUAACAAUAAAAUAAUAUCACAGGAUAUUUUUAUUUAAUUUAUACAUGAUUAGAUUUAUAAAACAAAUAAAUAUUUUUUUAGUAUGAAUAUAUAAAAUCUUAUAUCCUAAACCUCUAAAAAAUUUUAUUAUAUAUUUAUUUUUAUAUUAAAUUUGUUCUCAUUAAUUAUUUAUUAUAUAUUAUUAUUUUUUAUUUAAAAUAUCCAUAAAUAAUUGAAAUCAAUAACUAUAAAAAGAUGAAAUGGUAACAAAUUUUGAAAUUAAAAAGAUUUCAUGAAGCCUAUACAUUAAAAAAAAAAAAAACAUUUCACAGUGAAAAAUAAAUAAAAUUCAUAUGGUACGGUUGAUUGUCACACGAUAAAGUUUUUAAAAAAGAAAAAUUGUUAUAAAAUUGUUAUAGUUCAUGGUAGGUAGGAGGAGAAAAGGGUAAUUUUAGAAUUUUGAUGAAUAUAACUAUUUAAGUGUAUAUUUAUAGGAUUAGCUUUUGUAAGCGAGAAGUCAAGUCAAACCUCUCAAAAAAAAUCUUUUUUUUUUAAGGUGCACAUGAUUAUACGAUUCUUCCUAUCUCAAGGCUGGGGCCCAUGCUGAAAUGAUAUGUCAACAACCCUCCUUAAAGUAGAGUUGUAAAAGCUACUUCCCUUCUAUGUCUCCGGCCGAUAUUUCAGUCUAGUGUGGCGGCUUUUAACGCUUCAUCUACCUAUCUUCUUUUACGUUGAGCGUGGAAUCCACCGUUAUUUGAACUUAGGAGAUACCCACACUGACUUUUCAAGUUUUGUCCAGUUGAGGAAACUUUGAAAAUUAUUUAGCAGAAGACUGAUAAUGCAACCUUCUUCAUAAGAUGGGUGAUUUUUGAACACUACUGUACUCUAACCAAAUACCAUUUGUGCUUAUAUGUGAUACAAUGAAUGGAAUAUCUUUUCCCCUUUAUUACGCAAAUACUUGUUUAAUAAGUUCUUAUUCUCCUGCGAGUAACUUGCGAUUGAUUGUUUGAAUAGGUAGGGAAUUUUUUUAAAUUAGUCCCCCAUCCAUGCCCAUUAGAGAUUCUGAAAUUCAUUUGUAACAUUUAUGAUUUUUUGGAAAAUAAAAGACCUACUCCAAUAAUACCAAUAUGAAUGGUACCACCAAACUUUCGUACGUAUCUAUAAAGAAGGAGAAGGUGCCCAAACAAUGUAUCCAGAAAAAAACAUUCAAGAAAAUAAUCCCAACUACUAGAUUUCAACAAGUAGGAUUUUGAGCAUAAAAGAAAUAAAAUAAAAUAAAAAUAAUGACGGCUUCGAAUGACAUCACUGACCCAACGCAGGCAGAGGAGUUAGGAGUUGCGUGGAAAUUGUGAAAGGCGUAGAUCACGCCACAUGGAAGCAGUGGAGACAUGGCCAGUAGGAUAAUUAAUAUCCAUGUGGAUAACAGAGUGGAUCAAAACAAUGCCAUUCCCAUCAUGAAUGAACACUCAUUUACUUCUGCGUUUACUUGACUUUUGAGAGAUUUGCAAAACAUGUAGAGAGAGAUAUCACUGGAAGAGUUCUCUUCUCAUUAAUCAUGUUAUAAAACUGAUGAGUUAAGGCUAGUCUAUAAUUUCCAUCAGUGGUAAUAAAAUAAGUAUGCAGCUGUUUAGAAAGAAAGAUCAGCAUGGGUGGUUGCAACGCGCAACAAAAAGUCCCAUCAGACUUCUCAUCCCUGGGAAUCUUACACUCGCUAGGUAGACUAAUCAAACCAGGAUCCAACCUGGUACAAACUACUGUUUCAACCACUCAAUAUUUAAGGAAUCACUUCCUAGUCACUAAGAACAUAAACUAAUCAAACCCAACCUGGCACAGGCUACCUUAUCGACUAGUCAGUACUCAAGGGAUCAUUUCCUAGUCACCAAGAUAGUUAAUUUAGAAAAUCUUACACUGAAAAAUGACCUAUUCAUCUGCAUGAGCAUAUGCUUUUCACAUCCCACUGAAUAUAAUCUUAACAUCUGUUUCAUUAGUAUGAUUUUCUCUUAAGCUAUUGACUUCAAUAUUUACUAGGAAACGAUAUCAAAGGGAAAAAGAUUACCAAUUCAGAAAAAUGUAAAGCAAGGUACAAAAUACUAGAUGGAGAUAUCUCAAAGAAAGAAAUUCUUUUCCUAUAGCUAAACUAAUGCACACGAUCAAAUCUAACAGUGACAUUUGUUCUUGGAGCCAGACAGAAAGCCAAGUACAGAUACAGAGUGUUUUCAAGAUGGGAUUAUUUGGUGUUUUUAACUAUUUAAGUUGAAUGAUGAAAACACAUGCACUUCAACAAUGACAAACCAAAUUGGUUAGUAUCCUGCUUAAUAACCGUAGUUUGCUCCAUUCACCGGGCCAUAGCCUCCAGUGUGGCUUGCAUGUGCUGGGUUGGAUGCAGGAGAUGCAUACAUCGAACCAUGAGCUGCAUAAGAAUUAUAGCCUGGGUCAGUAGAUCCACCAGUUUGGGCCUGUGCUGGUGCAGCAGCUUCAGCCAUAAAAUUCUGCAACACAAACAAUCAUUACAAGCAGACAAGUCCAAUUUGAUUACAUAAUGAAGCAUUGACAAAGAAUAAACAAAAUUUUAAUGGAAAAAUCAACUUUUUUGGUUGAGUAAGAUCCCAAUAAAACAAUAAUUAAACAAUUCUAUAUUAUCAGUAAAAAUCAAUGAUGAAGCUAAAUGGAAAAGAAUGAAGUCCAACUGUCUGAAUUGCUGACCACACUUAACAUUUCAAUAAUAUAUAUCCUAUAAAAAAAAUUCUUUAAUUCUUUAAUUCUAGUAAUAAAGUCGGUCCCACCAUACCUACCCCCACACGCACCCAAACACCACAUACAAGGAGACAUCAGAAACAAUGAUCUAAUGCUAAGCAAUGUCAUUAUGCAAAUGGAAACUGCAAUAUUAGCAAAGACAAACCAACAACUUGGUAUCAAAAACAGGGAGGAAGAGUGCCUGUAUCAGUUGAUGAGAUGCUUGGACUUGGGAAGCAGUUGCAUUGAUUCACGUGGCUACAAAAGACUCUUUAGGAGAAAGUUGAGGAGUUCACAUGUGUAUAGGAAGAUUGAUUCACAAGGCCCUUGAAAAUUUUCUAUUUAAAGCUCUUGUAAGGAAAAUGGGAGACAUAUCUUCCUUCUCCAUCAUUCCUUCUUUUCUCAUUUCUUUUUUCUUGAUAUAAAGCUAAGGAUUCUCUCAUUUCUUUCUUCUUCAUUGUAAGUUACUUGAUUGAAGCCAAAAUAUGUGCUCCAAUGGCACAUAUAUGAUGUUAUAAUUUAUGUAAUAUAAAAAGUUCAAAUCAUCCAACUUAACUUAAUUUCAUGCUAUGGCCAUAGUUAUGGAUCUAACUUUUAUUUUGAGCCUAAUUCUAAGUUUAAGGGAUGACAUAAAUGGAUAAGUGCAAAAGUCAUUAUCAACCAAGAAAGCAGAAGGGGUUAAACUAUAACUAAGAAACUCAAGACUUAUGAACCAUGAAAGUCCAAGAAAGGGUGUAAGAAGCAAGCCAUAGGCAUGAAAUACCAAUAGUAGAUGUUAUGGAUUGAGAUAGAGGGCAAGAAACCAUAAUGGAGGAGGUUUGAAGCAAAUGUAAUCAAGUUCACAUGAAAAUUUGGAACUCAAAAUUUGGCAAUAACAUUUACUUUGACUUUGAGAUAAAGUUUAGAAUGCUUUUUGAGGUCAAUUUUGGGAAAACUAGAUAUUGUUUCGAAGCUUGAGAAGUCAAAAGUCCAACACUUCAAACGAUGCACAAAUCGGAGUUAAAAUGAGGAAGUUAUGUGCAUUUGAAGCAAACUAGGGAAAGAAAAAUGUUGAGUUUGAAAUUGACAUCCUGAAUUCGAAAUGGUUUUUGGCUAGUUAAAACUCAAAAGGAAUGCAAGGAUACUUGUCAUAGAGGCUAAGUUUUAUCCUCCUACCUAUUUCAAAUAGGAGACAAAUUUCAAACCCAAAAACAUGCAUGGUGGGCCAUUUAAAACUCAAAGGAAUGCAAGGAUACUUGUGGCAGAAGCUAAGUUUGAAUCCCCCUACAUAUUUUGAAAAAGAGACACACAUUCCCAACCCAAAAAUAUAGUGAACAUGUAUGGGCAGUGUGUGAGUUCUAAAUUCACUGUGAAUUUGUGGAUGUCACCAUUUUUUGUAAUAAACCUUUCGGAUAUCUAUCUAGCCUUCACAAUUAUUAAAAAGUAUUUAUUCCAAUAAUUAUGAUUGUAACCCUACAAAUAAGGUUAAGAAUAUUAGGGGAAAUUUAUAACUUCAGAGUUCACUUUCUUAUCUAAUUUUCCUCUCCUCUUUAUUGUCUUCAUUUACAACAUCAAAAAAAUUAUUAUUGUUUCAUCUACAAAUUGUCUAAAACUCAUUAAAUUCAGAGCAUAGAAGUAUUGAACAUUCUCAUAUACAUUUGUUUGAGGCUGUGAUAACAUACAAUUUUACAUUAUAUAUUAAUGGAUAUAUUCCUACCGUCAUAUCUUGCCGUGGAUCACACUAUCAAACCUAGAAGUAUUCGAAGGAAUUACCAAAAACCUUCUAUUAAGUAAAUACGCAGAGAUUUUAGAGUUAAAUACAGGCAGUUCCUUACUAAGAGAGUAUUCCAUCUAUACAUGAACUAAUGUAUAUAUUGUCUAUAAAUUCAUUGAGAAAUUAAGAAUAUACAAUUAAUAUCACAUUCUAUUCUAUGGUUCUACAGAAUCCCAAAGAUGUAAAAACUCAAGAAUAAACACCCAAGCACAAUUGAAGUUGUUGGAGUCGGGGAGGAAUCAGGUAGCAUCACAUAAAUGCCUGAAGUAAAUGCUAUCACCAUUCCCAGUAGAGAGAUGUAAGUGAGUAGGGCGGAAAAUUUUGUGAAACGUGGAAGCAAAUGAUAGUUUUGUUCCAGUGAAGCAAAAAAGUGGAGAAACACAGCUGCAGUUGAGCAAUAGAAAGCCAUAGCAUCUGUUAUCACAAAGACUUUGAAAGCUGCCUUUGUUGAUAAAACUGACUUACCCUUGUUUGGGUUUUCUUCAUUGUACCCACCAGGUAGAGAGAAACCAGCUGCAAAAGUUACUGUUGCUAUGAGGGUUGCCACCAGUAGAUGGGAGUUUGAUACAUCCUUCAAAUACUUAGAUGUGAUCUGUUUCUUCUUUACAACUUCAUUAUUCCUGUCACGAAGCGAUUCACUUGCAUGAAGUGAUGUUCUCUCUCUGUCCUCUCUAAGCUCUAACUCAUUUAUGCCUUCAUUGUCAUUGAUUGUUCUGCCUGUGUUCUCGCUAACGAUCAGCCGCUCGAGACUUUGUUGAGCACCGCCAUUCUCCAACUUCCUCAUGAUCAAAGACUGGAAAGUUUUUUUAAAGAACUUAGAAUAAAAUGUUGUUUUUAGCUACCAAGGCACAUAUAUGACCAGAAAAUUCAAUUAAGGCAACAUAUUUCUUCUCUUUUUUUUUUUUUUCUUUUUUUUCAAGUUUCACAUGUGUAAAGAGAAAUAAAGCAGUGGAACCAAUGCAUAAUCUAAAAUCAUCAGCUUUCUAUGCACAUACCUUUUUCAUUUCUCCCAGAUCCAUAUUUGAUUGGACAAUGUCGAUAGCCUUCCAAUAUUUCUUGUUUGAUGCCUUCUUAUCCACUCUACGAUCUCCAGCCAAAAUCCGGACGCUGUUGUACUGUCCGUGCAUAGCAGCUAGAUGCAAAGCCGUGUUGCCUUGAUUAUCUGACUCAUUUAUUAGGCUUUCCCAUCUUGGUUCUUUUAGAGUAUACUUCAUCACUAUAGACUUCCCACAUUGGGCUGCAACGUGAAGAAUGGUCCGACCUUUAUUGUCAACCAAAUUAUUAGAACAUGGACAGCGUUUGAUGAUCUCUGCCAUCAUAUCAGGGUAGCCUUUUUUAGCUGCUAUGUGAAGAGCAGAACUAUCUUCUUUAUCCCACAAGUAAGCAACUGAUUUAUCACAUUCCAGCAAUUUCCUAGUCGCUUCAAGAUGUCCCAAUUGUGCAGCAUAAUGAAGGGGAGUCCACGUAAAUAUGUCUGUUUCUGUGACCAUAUCUUUCUUUUUGUCCAGUAGUAUUGCAAUAAUGUCAUCUAGCAAUUUAGACCAAGAAGAAGAAAUACAAUUAAAACAGACUUUUUCAUCCAGAGUACUUUUAGAAAAUAUAUUACGUUCUUGUUAUUUUAAUAUCAGAUAACGGCUCGGGAUUACUUCUCCAUGAGAAAGAUCAGGCAUUAUGCAAUGAAUUUUCCCAUCAAUUGUAAAGAGGGUAGCUACUAGCCAGUGUGGCAUAUAUUGUAAAAGCAAUUGUGUGAUUUUCUUUCCCUGGUCUUAUUACUUUUCUAGUUCAGUUAAGCUCUCCACCUAUCAAUUAGAGAAGGAGAAGUAAAGGUUUGGGCUUGGAUAAGUAUUCUUCAAAAACAAUUCUAAAAAAUAGUUUAUAAGAACUAUUGAAAACCAUUUUCUGAUGAUAUUUUAUAAAACAAAAGUUCUAAUGGCUGUAUUAUUAUGCUUGGUUGGAACUAAUGAAUACAAUUCUGGUGACUAUCUGUCAUAAGUAUAGGGAGGCCAUGCACUCCAUGUAGAUUUGUUCCGCGUCUGUCAGGAAUCAGGAAUUAGUUAAUGGGGCUCCGAAUGUUCUACUAGCCUUGCCAAAAAAUACUUCAUGAGGCUAAACUCAUCCACACUAAAGUGGUGUUUUUUUUUUUACUUAAUUCUAAAUAGAACUUUAAUGCUUAAUAGCGUUAAGUAUUAAGUUAUUUAUUUUUAUAAUACUUUAUUUCUAUUAAGCAUUAAAAAGUAAAAAAAAAAAAUCAACAUAUCACUUUUUCUAUUCAAUAAAAAGUUUAUAAUAAAUCAUGAAAAAAUAAAAAAACAAAUGAUCUAAAGUCUGAAAGCAAAUUGCUUUUAGCAAAAAACUAAAAAAACACUCUCUAAGUCUAUAGAUUUAUGUAUUCUUGGCUUUGUAUAUCUUAGACAUGUUGGAUAAUGGUGUAACAAAGAUUUCUCCAUUUUUUUCUUAUGCAUUUUCUUCUACAAUAUUUUUCAAGUAUCCCGUUGUAGGGAUAUUUACACAUAGUGCAAUUUUGCUUUAUUUUUGUUGGCAACUUCUUCUCUCUGUUGUAUUAUUCCAAUAUUUACACAUAGUGCAAUUUUGCUUUAUUUUUGUUGGCAACUUCUUCUCUCUGUUGUAUUAUUCCAAGUACCUUAUGUUACGUCUGACUCUAAAAAAUUAUUAAAUGAAGGAAAAAUAUCAAGAAACUUAUUAUUAUUAUUAUUAUUAUUAUUAUUAUUAUUAUUAUUAUUAUUAUUAUGUUUAGUUUAUCAAAAAUUAUUAAAGGAAGGAAAAAAUUGUUAAAAAAAAUAAUUUUUAUUAUAAAAAAAUUAGAAAAAUAAGUACAAUUAAAAUAGGUUAAAAAAAUUAUAUAUUUCCAAAUUAUUUUACAUUUGUGUAAAAAGGAAGAAAAAAAAAAUGAGAAAAAUGAAUUUGAAAAAAUAUUAUUAAUAAUUUUUUAACUUUCAAUUAAUUUUUCAUCUUCCUUUAUUUUUGUUUAUGUUUUCCUUGUCUAGUAUAUUCCUUCAAAAUUUCUAAGAAUCAAACAUGUGGGUUGCGGACUGGUUCGCUGGCCUGCUGGCCUGCUUGCCCGGUCCAAGCAUGAAGUUGGGUUGACCUCUAAUGGUCCUUUGGUGGACCAACCCACCAACCUAACCAAACGACGGUUUCUACCUUGGAAACCUUGGAUCAAGUGUCUGGGAUUUGAAUAAUAUCUUCUCCUGGGUUAUUAAAUUUUUAUUAGUUUUCAAUGGUUUUCUAUUUGUAAUGAUUAAAUUUUUAUUAUAAAAAUGGCUCAUAAAAACGUUGAUUAUCCUAUAACAAUGUUCCAGAAGCAAGAGAUUAUUUACCAUAGCUUUAAACCGCUAAUUUUGAAUAUCGAAAUAAGUAGAAAUAGAAAUAAAUACUAUUAUUAUGUUUAACUUUAUGAAAAUUGUUGUAAAUAAAGUGGUGAAUGACCACAUUGAUGGUCAUUUAUGAACUCCAUUUACUCAUCUUUAAGAUGAGUCAUGGGAGUUCAUAUUAUGAAGCCUAUAAAAGGCUUUUUACACCCCAUGUAAGCAGCAUCCCAAAAAAAAGAAAGAAAUUCUCUUCCUCUCAUUCUCUCUCUCUCUUUCUUUCAUUCUCUCAAUUUUCUCAACUCUCUUCUCUGAUUCCUUCUUCCCAUUAUAUAUAUUGUUAAAGUAAGAUAUAUUUUAUCUCUACUACUUUAUUUGUGUUGCAUUUAUCCUUGUUUUACAACAAAAAUUAUAUUUUAGAAUUAUUUUUAUAAAAAUUAUGGUGAAUAUUUGAAGGCACCCAAAGCAUACUAACUUGUACUUAAUAAAGACAAGACCAUAUUGAAUGUUUUGAUAUUGGUUUAUGAAACUACUUAGAGGAGAGUGAAUAGGCGAUCCUCUGCUGACAACCCUCAAAUUGAAGUUUUAAAUAUUUUUAUUAAUUCUUAAUUUAAUCAAUAUAUGUAAUUAAUAAAUAAAGCAAAGAAUAAUCUUACACUUGACAUGUGAUGUACAUGGAAAAUCAUCUAUAGAAUCUAUAAAAAAAACUUGACGAUGAAAAAUUCAUGGGUCAAUUGAUCGUAGAGCAAAUUCACUAAUUUUGAUAGAAUAAAUACAUAAUCUUACCUAGAUGAAAUACUACCUUCCUUCAAGCAUCUUACACAGGUCAGUACUUACACUUGCUUUCAUGUUCAUGAUGCAAAACCCAUAUAUUCCUUAGUGAAUACCUUAAAAGUUUAAGAGAUGUGAUCAACCACCAUGAGCAACUUCAAACAAGAUAUGAGCUUUUGGAGUAUCAGGAAUAUGCAAAAGAUAAUAACAAUAAAUUGUAGGGUAUGAUGAUGUAUGAAAGUACAAAGUUGAGCAAUGUAUGAUGGCAAGAAACUAACUAAAAAAGAUUUGAAAAGCUGACAAAUAUAGGAUAUUUAUGCAUAACAUCAAGACCGCUUAAGCCCAUUUUGUGGGCACUCGAGCGCUCCUUGUUAAUUUUAGCUUUUCUAAUUUAGCUUCAAGCCCAUUUUGAAUCUAAGUCCACUUUACACCUUAUGCAUGUCAUUAUAUUGUAACAAGAUAACCCUACUUACCUGAACAAUCAUGUGAAUAAAUAAAAAAUGAUCACAUAUCUUCAAGGCCAAUGCAUACGUAGAGUUGAGUAAAAAAAAUAUUUGGAAUAAAAUUGUUAACUUAAACUAAUUAGUCUAGAUCACUAACACAAAUAAUAUCAAAUUUAGUUAAAAUACAAAUGCACCUUCCCAUGAGCAACAUUAUUAUGUUUUACCUUCUUCAUCUUUUACAAGUUUUUAGUUAUAGAAAUAAUGAGAUUAAAAAAUUGAAGGGUAAAUUGCUCCGAUGACUAACUUGAGUGCCUUGGGGCAAUUUUUCUUUGCUUUACAUAUCUCAUAUACCUUAUUAUUGGGAGAUUAUUAAAGAUCGAAUCACAAUAGGACCAAUCCUAAAAUAAAUUCCCCAAAAUCAUUGAUAUUUGAGGCUAUGUAAUAUUUUUGCUCCAACAAGUUUAAUAUUUUGAAUAAGUUUAUCAUACAUGCAUGGAUGUACUUCAUUCUACUACUUGACUAGGGUAGCAAUCAAAAUAGAAGCAAACCUAAAAUCAAUGCUCCAAUAACGUUAAUGUUUGGGGCUUCAUAAUUUUUUUGCUCCAAUAAUUUUGAUAUUUUAGACAAAAUUAUUUUACAUGGAUCGACUUGCUUCUUUAUGUUUAAGUAAAGGGGGAGUUUUUCUUGCCUAAAUCUUGACACUUAGGGGGUGUUUGGUACGUUGGAAUAGGGAAUGGAAAUGAAUAUUUUGUUUCCUUUCCUAUUUCUUAGUGGAAUGGAAUGAAUUUGAUGAUUCCAUUUCUAGCAUUUGGAUGAACUUAGGAAUGCAAGAUUAGAAUGAUUAUUUGUUUCCAUUCCAAUGUUUGAUAAUAAUAGGAAUGGAAAUAAAAAUAUAUAAAUUUACAAUAAUAUCCUUUCAUAUAAUUUAAAAUAUUUUUUAUUUUUACUUUUAUUUAAAAAUAAAAUAAAAUUUGAGAGGUUUUUUGUUAUUAAAUAAUAAGACUAAAAAAUAUAUAUACUCGAUAAAUAAAAAAUUAACCAUAAAAAAUCGUAUAACCCUAAUGCACAAAUAUUCAAUUAUUAUUUUUAUUAAAAAUUUGAAUAAUUUGUCAUGCUUAAGUAGUUAAAUAUUUGUUUUUUUUUUCCUCAAAAUUUUAAAUAAUUUGUCAUGCAAAAAAAACUAUAGAAUUAUAUUUUACUAAGAAAAAAAAGGAGAAAAAAAAUAUAAGAACAUAUAAAUUGUCAAAGCUACCAAAUACUUAUUUCUUAUUUGCAAAAAAGGAAAUAAAAAAACACAAACUUCAUUCUAGUUCUCAAUAUAAGUACCAUAUCUACUAAAAUCUAUAACUAGUAUAUCCUCCAAAAUUAAGCCAUCAAAUCAAUAAAAAAGUUCCUAGGAAAGUGAUGAAACAAAAUCCAACCUAAAAUUUCUAUCAAUCCAACCUAAAGACAAUAAAUCAACAAGGAUGCAACAUGGAGAUUUAUGGGGUUUGAAGAAGUUGUUUCGCCCAUUCAACCUUGAGAUCUUCAUCUAAAUUGAACAAAAGUUUGACUUUCAUUGGGUCACUCAUAAUAAUUUGACUUAACUUCAAUAUNNNNNNNNNNNNNNNNNNNNNNNNNNNNNNNNNNNNNNNNNNNNNNNNNNNNNNNNNNNNNNNNNNNNNNNNNNNNNNNNNNNNNNNNNNNNNNNNNNNNNNNNNNNNNNNNNNNNNNNNNNNNNNNNNNNNNNNNNNNNNNNNNNNNNNNNNNNNNNNNNNNNNNNNNNNNNNNNNNNNNNNNNNNNNNNNNNNNNNNNNNNNNNNNNNNNNNNNNNNNNNNNNNNNNNNNNNNNNNNNNNNNNNNNNNNNNNNNNNNNNNNNNNNNNNNNNNNNNNNNNNNNNNNNNNNNNNNNNNNNNNNNNNNNNNNNNNNNNNNNNNNNNNNNNNNNNNNNNNNNNNNNNNNNNNNNNNNNNNNNNNNNNNNNNNNNNNNNNNNNNNNNNNNNNNNNNNNNNNNNNNNNNNNNNNNNNNNNNNNNNNNNNNNNNNNNNNNNNNNNNNNNNNNNNNNNNNNNNNNNNNNNNNNNNNNNNNNNNNNNNNNNNNNNNNNNNNNNNNNNNNNNNNNNNNNNNNNNNNNNNNNNNNNNNNNNNNNNNNNNNNNNNNNNNNNNNNNNNNNNNNNNNNNNNNNNNNNNNNNNNNNNNNNNNNCAUCCAACUCUUGUUCCAAAGGAUCCACAGGCAUCUCUCUUUUAAUGAGAUUAUGAAUAAGACAACAAGCAAGAAUGAUUUUGCAUUGUGUCUUUAUUGGAUAGAAACAAGGGCUCCUAAGUAUAGCCCAACGUAGUUUAAGCAAACCAAAACAUCUCUCGAUAACAUUUCUUGCUGCAGAAUGCUUCAUGUUGAAAAACUCUUCAUGGGUUGUUGGCAUGUGUCCAUCUCUCCAAUCAUUGAGAUGAUAUCUUUGCCCUCUAUAUGGGGCAAGAAACCCUUUUCCAUUUGUAUAGCCAGCAUCAACAAGAUAGUAAUAACCUAAAAUGAAUAUUCCAAAACAUAUUUUAAAAAAUAUAUCAUAUAUUAAAAAGAAAUCAAUUGUUUAUAAAAACCAUAUAUUUACCAUGUGGAACUGUCAGUCCAUUUCUCCUACUAACUGCAUCUCGAAGCACUCGAGAAUCAGAGGUUGAUCCCUCCCAACCUGGCAAUACAUAAAUAAAUUGCAUGUCUUGAGAACAAACUCCUAAGACAUUUGUUGCAAUUUCAUUCUUCCUUGUUCGAUAUCUAGGUUUGUCUCCCUCACGUACAUUCACUUUAAUGUAAGUUCCAUCUAAAGCUCCUAGACAAUUCUAUUUAAAUAAAAACAUUAGUAUUACUAUAAUAUGAAAUAAUUAAACCUAUAUAAACUUAAUUUUAUAAUUUAUAUACCUUAAACCAUUUCCAUCUCUCAUCUGUGGAGUUCUUAGAGACUGGUUCCGGUUUUUUGAGUAAUACUCCUUGUAGGCGAAUGACUGCAUUCAAUACUGCAUUGAAAUGUCUACUAAUAGUUUCUCCAGACCUUAAGAAUCGAAAUUUUAUAACUCGAUUCUUUACAUGAUGUGCAAGAAUAUGUAAGAAUAAUGCAACCAUUUCUUCUACAUCAAUAUAUUUUGAAUCCUUUAGUUUACCAAUAGUACGAAGCAUAGAACAUAACGUGGUGAAAGUAUGUCUAUCCAUCCUAAGUUGCUCCAUACAUGCUACAUCACUCCCAUGAAUCAAUCGAUUAAGAUUUUCAACUCGCAAAAAUUCUCUAUUUGCAGGUCUUUACAUCAAUGUUCGCCUCUGAUAAUGUUUCCUUGUAGUCGUACAAAGUGCAGUAAGCAUAUUAAGUAUGUUCACUAUAAUAUAUAGAAUCAGGAUAAGUUGUUCUUUUCUUUCCAUCUCAAUGAGGUCCAUGGCUAUGCAAGAGUCCUAAUCAUAAAGGAAGAAAACACCAUAAUAUUUAAUAUUAUUAAAUAUUAAUGUUCUAUUUAGAAUUAUGUAAAAAAAUAAACACCACCUAACUUUAAAUGCCAAUUUCAAAUUUUUAUUUUUAUUUUUUUGUAUAAAAGAAAAAUAAAAUAAAAUUAUAUAUUUUCAAAUUAUUUACACUUUACCUGAGAAAUGAAAAAUAAGCUUUAAAAGAAACUUCUCUUUUCCUUUCAUUUUUCUUUCUAUUUUUUUCCUUCUUUCUAAGAUGUUUUGCCUCAAAAUUUUCAACAACUGCCAUUGCUUGUGGAUGUGACUGUUUGAGUACAUAAUCAUUUCCCCUUACACUUUAAGCCAAUAAAAAGGGAAAAAGGUGGUAUGGGCAAUACAAAUAAGAAACUACGGCAGAGCCGAUGGUAUGGACAAUCAUCCUAUUGUGUAAUGAUAAAUUGCAACCCGGGGAAAGUGAAAGAAACCCAUUGUCAUUAAAACGAUAUGGACUUAAAUUAGCUCUGCAAAAAUUACCAUAUAAACUUUAAACCAAGGUUGGCUAGUGGGUGCUUGACAGCAGGUUAAUUUCAUUUCAAACAUUUUUCACCAUAAUCUAUGCAUUCUUUCUACCUGUCUAAUAUUAUAGUUCUUGAAUUGCAACUUUCAUAUUAAUGAUCUACGAGGUGAUUUGUGUGACACGAGAGAUAAAAGAAUUCCCGUAGGUUCUUAAAUAAAAUAAAGAAUUCUAAUUAUCACAGUCACGGAGAGCAGAACUGGGUGGUGGGGUGGGUGUGGUAAGAAGACUUCGUAUUACCGGAAUGACAACCCCAUGAUUUACUCAAUUUAAACAUAGCAGGAAGACAGUCUAAGUUGAUAAAGGAAUUAUGCUACAAUUAGUAGCUAUACCAGAGGCCUGAGUCAAAUCCCACCAGGGUCAAGGUUGGGGUUUUGUGAAUAUGGGGGGUGGUCCUCUGUGGAAAAGAAAGUUAUCUACUCCGACUUCUCAACAGCAGUACCAGAUUAUACUUAAAACUAUUAUCAAAUUGAAACAUCCGUUUAAUUUUAGAAUGACAUUAUCCUAACCAUUAAAAAUUUUAAAUAUUGCAAAGACGUGAAAUCGAAAAAUCUUUUUCCAACCAUUUCAAUUUUUCUCUCCAGUUUUCAUUAAUACAAUAUAAAGAAACAUCAAAUACAAGAUUCCAAACACAAAUUAAUAAAAAUAAAUAAAUAAUAAUCGAUUUAUAAAGAGGAAGAAACACAUAUAAAGAAGUAGAAGAAAAAAAAAAAAUAAGGUAAACCUGAUCGGAGAUGUAGAAGGGAGUUUUUAGAACUUAGUUGCAGCAAACAAUGACGAAUCCUAGACCCAACAAUCAAAAUGAACAUCCAAAACCCUAUAAAUUAGAAAUUGAUUUUUUUUUUUAAAUAUAGUGGAAGGUUUAAUUAAUUCAAUUUGGAAGAAUCACUUGUUGUAGAGAAUUGGAUGAUGAAUGGGUUUCUAGCUUUGCAAAGAAGAUAAGAAGUGGACGAUAAAUGGAUUUCUACCUUUACAAAGAAGAUAAACAUCUGGAAGGUUUAAUUAAUUCAAUUUGGAAAAAUCACUUGUUGUAGAGAAUUGGAUGAUGAGUGGGUUUCUAGCUUUGCAAAGAAGAUAAGAAGUGAACAAUAAAUGGAUUUCUACCUUUACAAAGAAGAUAAACAUCGGGUUUGAAGAACGAGAUAAGAGGGUAAAAUAGUAAUUUAGGUUAUUUUAUAUUAUCAAAUUGAUUUAAUGAAUCAGAAUACCACCUAUUUUUUAUGAAUGCAAAUCCGACUUAUAAGUUGAAUUUGAUUUCUGCCGGAAUAAUUUUUUAUUCCGUUUCCAUCAUCUUAACAUUUAUCCAAACAUAGGAAUAAGAGAAAAAAAGAAUGAGAUGUCUAUUCCCACUUCCUAUUCCCAUGUACCAAACACCCCCUUAAAGAUACUAAUAUUUGUGUUUUGAACAUGAGAUAAGGGACAAAUCACUAUCUUUAACUUGAAUUUAUGUUAAUGCAUGCUUUGAGAACUAAUACGCCAUCUUUUUUUUUUUAGUAUAAAAGCAUAAGAAGGGAGGAAAUGUAAGCAACUUGAUGUAAUUCUAGCAUUUGGGAUGGAAUGGAGGAGCAAAGAUGCAACAAGAUUAGCCCUAGUGCUUGCUAAUGUAAAUAAAUAAAUAAAUAAAUAAAUAAAUAAAUAAUAAAAGCGAAAAGGCAAAAGAAAACUACAAAGGCAUUCUAAAUUGGUUUAGGAGUAGCUAAAAGUGAUUUGGAGAAGCCAAAAUCGAUUUCAAAAGUUGAUUUAAUCAAUGUUAAAACCAAUUUGUGAAUGAGAAUUGUCAUAUUAAUGGAGUCUCACAUCAUAAAAGUGAUUUAGAGGAGGCUGAAAUCGAAAUUCCAAUCUUAGGUUAAAAGUUAAAACUGGUUUCCAUAUUGAAAUUUUGAUUUCAUCUUGUUGAAAUCAGUUUUUCCAAAAUUUACUGCAUAUGCCAAAUCAAAAUUUCACACUUUGGUUAAUUUGGUAUCAAAAUCUAGAUUUUAGGCAAUUUUGAUGUAAUUUCAACUAAUUAAGUUAUACGUUUGCUAUGGUGGCCAAUGAGAUUAGGCCAAGUGCCUUUUUAGGGUUAAGAUAUUUAUAUUUUCAUUUUUUUUUCAAGGUUACAAAGAUAACAUUUUUACAAUUUUGUUUGUAGUCACACUUUCUAGACUUUUGUUUCUUUCUUUUUAUUAAUAUCCCAUUUUUUUUCUUAUGGAAUUUGGGUGUGAAAUCUCAAUAUAAGAGAUUAAGAUCUUUAAUUUUGGAGAUGUAGCAUGAAGAUACAUGGAAGAUUUGGACAAAGAGCAUAAGAAAAGUAAUGUCAGAUUAAUUGAUCAUUAGGUUUUCAUGUUUACCUUAUUAGAAUGAGAUCAUCUAUGAAAUUAUGGUUAGACUAAGAUCCUAGUGAUACUUCUAAAACCAUUUGAUCACUAGUUAACAUAAUUUGAUAUACUAUCAUGAUUGAAUUGAAAAUUGAUUGUACAAGAUAGAUGAGUGGUACGAAUGUAUAAAUAUAAACCUCAAUUAACCAAUCUAUAUUAUUUAUUUUAGUGAAUCAUGUGAAAAGAGUAUAAAUGUCUUAAAAUUCAAUUUGAUCCCACAUUGACUUUGGUCCUAAACCCUAGAUCUAUGAUUUACUCUCUCUCUCUCUCUCUCCUUCUCUUCUUAUGAAUUUGAAGCUAAAUUUUGAAAACUCCAGAGUUGUUAUCAUAGAUUUGUCUUAAUCAAUUUAAUCUAAAUUCGGUCUUUUUAGAAAAACUUCUCUAUUAAAUUCACAAUUUUGGGUAUAAGAAUACUUUGUUCAAUACAUAAAUAGUCAAAUGUGUUAGUCUUUAAAGGAUGACAUCUAGAUACCAUACACCAUAACUAUCCUCUCUUUGUUUUUUCUUGGCUAUGAUUUCUAUAAUAAUAAAGAUUUUCGUUCUAAAACAUAGAGUAUCGAUAAAAAAAAAGUGUCAUUUUUGUUAGAGAUUGAAGAUUGUCUUAGUUUUUAGGAGCUUAGAGCUUGUUUUACGACGUGAUUUAAAAAUAGCUUUCUAUUUUUCUAAAAAAAAAUGACUUCUAAAAUUUAAUAGCAUUGUUUAGCAAUUGUUCUCUAGAAAUAGUUCAAAAAAAAAAAAUGAACGUUCUCUUCACUUGCUUUUAAAUACAAUAAGAGAACAUAGAGAAAUAAGAAUAAUAAUAAUUAAAAAAAUGAUAAUAUAAGAUUGUGGACCCCGCACUUCUGCACAUGCGUUCCACUCGAUGACGAAACUCGUUGUUUUUAUUUGUUUGGUGAAAUUUUGAUUUUUAGAAAAGAUUUGGAGUCACCACUUAUUUUUAUUUUAUUUUUAAGGGAAAACAAAAUAAGAAAGAAAACUCUAAGUGUGACUCCUUAUUUGGAAAAGACAGUCUAUGGAAAACCAAACUUGGGUUUGGGGGUCAAGUUACUUAUUGGGAAGGUAUGGUAAGGACCAUAACACCCCUCCAAACCCCUAAAAAUGGGUCUCUACUAAAUAAGGUGAAGCAAAUGUGGAAAUUGACAAGGAAAUUUUUAGCCCAAGGGUUCUCCUAAUCGGGUUUUGAUGGUAACAAACCAUGGUUAAGUGACUAAUUGGUUUAAAUGUUUAAGAAUCUCAGGUAUAAACUCGAAAAUUCAUCAAAGAACCAAAUGGAUAAAAGAUCGAGACGCUUGGAAGACUUGUGAUCAUAGGAAACUAAUGUAAGAUGAAUGCAUGAGUGCACUUAGGAUUUUCAUACGUUUCAUACACCUUAGAAAACUCGGUUUAUUCUUUAAAAUGUCGAUUUCAUUAAAACCUGAGUUUUUAACUAAUUUACCUUAGGCAAAAUGUUUCAAAAUUGGCUUAAUAAUUUACCUAAAGACCUUGCCUAAGUGUUAGAAAAAAAAAAAAGAAUCAAAAAAUAGGUUUUUCGGGGCCAAAAAGGCUCAACCGGUCGAGGCUAUGGCCAACCGGUCAACCGAUUAAGGAAUCGGUUGACCGGUUGAGGUCGUCCGAUCGAGGACCGGUCGAGGAAGGUCAAAAACCUUAUCUCUCUCCCAGUAGCCUUCUCUUCCCGGUCGAGGUGAUUCCCUUAUCGGUCGAGGUCCAGUCGAAGACCGGUCGAGGUCCGGUUGAGGCAACGGUAACCUGUCAUGCAUUAAAUGCUCCAACGGCUAGUGAACCGGUCGACCCCUAGCUCGACCGGACGAGGUUGCCUUUUGCUGUUUUUGACUCCCAAGCUUAAAAACCUAUAAAUUGAGAGCUCCACUUCAUUUAUUGACAAGAGAACACUUGCAUUCAAAGCCCACCUACCUGUUCUUGAUCAAAAAGCUCUUAUUUCUUUCAUAGUGCAUUAAAUUACCACUUGCAUAUCCUUUAGUGCACUCUUGUUUGUCAUCCUAGCUUUAUCUUGUAUUUGAGCCAUCUUUAAGCUAGGUUGAGUGAUUAUAUCUUGUAACAAUCCGAGUGUUAAAGCCUUCAAGAGGGUUGAAUCUUGAAGAGGUUGUGUAAGAGCCCAUUGGAGCCGGAUUCCAAGUGUAAGAAGAUUAGAAGCUUGGUUGAAGUUUCAUGUUAGUGGAACCUUCACUCGGUUAGAAGGUUGAGGAGAGUGGACGUAGGCAAGGAAGUGUCGAACCACUAUAAACCCAAGUUUGAAUUCUCUAAACUCUAUAUCUUUACUUUGCUCAUAUUUUGUUUAAAUUUGUUGUGAUUGAAAAGAUUUAAAAAACCCAAUUCACCCCCUAUUUUAGGUGUUUUUCUUAACUAAGCAUAGCCUUUGUUUUCUCAGAAAUCAAUGGAUACCAAUAAAAUGAUCGAAUAAUAAAACAAAUCGAGCAUGAGAAUGAAUAAAUAAAUGAAGUAGGAGUGAGAGCGUACCUUAGUAGCAAAUAAUAGUGCACUAUCAUGGAAAAAAGGUUAGCUCAAGUACAAAAUUUAUCGCAUGCAUAUCAAAGAGCAAGACAAAGAUCAAGCAAUAUUCAUUAAGGUGUGGCUCCUAUAGAGGUGCAAAAAUAAGUUUGAUAAGCCCACAAUGCAAACAAAAGCUUCUCUAACCAAUCUCGAGAAGUCUCAAUCAUCCUCUGCAAGAUCCUCUUAAUAUUCUUAUUCGCAUCCUCUACCACUUCGUUAGUCUGCGGCCUGUAUGCAGACGAUCUAUGAUGCUGGAUACCGUAUCUCUGUAAUAAAGUGUCAACAUCUGCUCUAAAAUGUACUUCUCUGCUCGAAAUCAACUCAUGAGGGACUUCAUAGCGACAAAUAAUGUGUGAUCUGAUGAAACUAGCGACCCCAAAUGAUUUCAAUCUCGCAUAUGAAGCAGCCUCCAUCCACUUGGUAAAGUAAUCAAUGAUGACCAAGAUGAACUCAUGACUACUGGAAGACUUUGGCGAAAUCUUCCCAAUAAUGUUUAUACCCCAUAUUGAAAAUGGUCAUGGUGAAUUCAGUGCAUGUAACUCUAAAAGGGGUAUGUAGAUAAGGUCUCUAUGAAUCUAGCACUCUCGACAUCUUUAAACAAACUGGCAAUAAUUUGUCUCCAUAGUCAACCAAAAAUAGUCGGUCUUCAUGACCUUACAAGCUAAUAUAUGUUCUCCCAUAUGUGGUCCACAAACUCCCACAUGAACCUCUCUCAUCACUCAAUCGGUAGAGGCGUGGUGAAAGCACAAUAGUAACAUCCCAUCAACUGAUCGUUUGUACAAUGUCUCCCCACAGAUCACAAACCGGGUAGCUAACUGUUUCAAUGCUCUCUUAUCCUUGGUUGUGGCGACCUCAAGAUAUAUGUCAAGUCUCAAAAACUGAUAUAUGUCAUGGCACCAAGGCAAACCAUCUUCCAACUCUGCCUCAUCAAUCAAGCAACAAUAGGUAGGAACUGAUCUCGACUCAAUCAGUAAAGGGCGAACAAUGGUAUCAGCGAGAAUAUCAAUCAUGGAAGCUAGAGUAGCUAAGGUAUCAACAAACUGGUUUUGCGCUCUAGGCAGAUGAGUAUAACUCAAAUCAUCAAAUUUUCCAACCACCAGCUCUAAGUAUGCAUGGUAAGGCUUAAGUUUCACAUCUUUAGUCUUCCAAUGGCCUUGAAUCUAUCUCAAUACCAGAUUGGAGUCACUAAACACCUCCAUCUGUCUAAUCUCGAGCUUAAGAGUUGUCUCUAAUCCCAAGAUACAAGCCUCAUUGUGGACCCGCAUUUUUCACGUGCGUCCCCACUCGAUCGGCGAGACUCACAUUCUAUUUGUGAAAAAUUAAUUUUAGAAAAGUUGGAGUCGCCACCUAUUUUAUUUUUAUUUUAAAGGGAAAAUAAAACAAGAAAGAAAAACCCUAAAAAGUGACUCCAUAGUUUUGGAAAAAUCAUGUCUUUGAGAAACCUAAGUCUAGGUCCGGGGAUUAGGUUACUUAUUGGGAAGGUACCUCUAGGAGAUAGCACCCCUCUAAGCCUUAAAGAGGUCUUUACUGACUAAAUUGGGGAAAUGGGGCAAUUAAUUGAUUAAUUGUAGAUACCUAAGUAAGCUAGGUGAUUUUAGAAAGUAGCAUGCUAAAUAAGGAGAUCAAUCACAAUAAAGGAGAGUUAGAGUGUGUACCUGAACCACUUCUUAAGCGCUAUCAUAAAACAUCAAUGGUUAAUUCAGAAGUAUGACACACGACAUGCAUUUUAUCAAGGAUGAUCAAACAAGCAUUGAGACAAUCAAGUAUGGCAUCAAACAAGGACAAUGACAUGCAUAUUCAUGAAAUUUUGGGAACGUACCUGGAUAGCAUAUAUAACUCCUAAUGCGCUUCCUCAGGACAUGGGGGUUAGAUAAUAAAUAAUAAAUAAUGAAUAAUAAAUCCUAGCAUGCUUAUCUAAUUAAUUAGCAAAAAUUAUCAGAAUUCGGAAUAAUUAAUUAUCAUACAUAUCUUGCAUACAAUUCCCAAAAAGAAAAAUGUAAAUAUGAUUACAAUAAAUAGCAAGGUGGUAGCAAAAAAUAAAUUUUGAAAAAGAUUUUCUUAUGUAGGGGUUUCACCAAUUCCCCAAAUUAAUAUACAUGAAUUUAGCCUAAAAUUGUCCCAUUUAUUUGGGACCACAAGCUUUGAUUCGCAUUUUGUUUAAAACCAAAAUUUUUGUUGAAAAUUGAGAAGGAUGCAAACCGAUCGAAAUAUGGUUGCAAAUUUUAAGAAAAUGAAAUUUUUUUUUUCUAAGGACUCUAAAUGAAUUCUUUUAAAAUAGAUUUUUAAAGGGAUCUUUUAAGAAAAGUGUUGGAUUUCAAAAUAAAAGAAAUUAAUUUGAAAACGACAAGACAUAAAGAACAAAAUACCAAGCAAAACAAAAGUUAUUAAAAUCGCAAAGUAGAGUUUUUGACAAUUGAGAAAAUUGAAGUGGUGGGAAUGGAGGUCAAUCUUCACUAUUUUCCAAUGGCCUCCGAAAAGUAAAUUUUACCAUAGACUACCAAAGCAAUAAACUAUUCGAACUUAGAUCAUAUAAGCUAACGAUCACUACUACAAAAAUUGAAAUUAAUGACGCUUUAUUUUAUGACGCUUUCUAAAAGCGUCAUUAUUGAGGGUAUACAAUGACGCUUAUAAGAAGUGUCAUAGUUGUAUUAUUUAUCUUGAUACUUAUUAUAAGUGUCAUUAUUUGAUGUCAUCUUUUUCCUUAUAAUCGUGUAUAUAAUGACGCUUAUAAGAAGCGUCAUAGUUUUAUUAUUUACCUUGACACUUAUUAUAAGCAUCAUUAUUUGAUGGGUAUGUAAUGACGUUCCUGAGAAGUGUCAUAGUUGUAUUGACUUUUAAAAUUUUUGUUUUAAGUUAACUUAUACAAAUUUUGAUAUUAGAAUUUUAUUCUAUAAAUUAAUUAUGGUAAAUUGACAUUAAUAUUAAUGACAUAAAGUUGCUAGAUUAAGGUUUUUUUAAAAAAAAUUGGAUAUAAAUAAAAUAAAAUCCUAAUAAAUUAUUUUUUUAUUGUUUGAUAUUAAUUUUUUUAUAGUUUGUAUCAAUACAAUCUAUUUUCAUAAACUAUUUUUCAUUUUUAUUAAAUUAGAAAUUAUCUUAUAUUUCAUUUAAAAAUAAUUUGUUAAUUUAUUUGUGGACCACAAAAAAGUGGCCUAUUUUGAGCACUUGUUCGAGCCUUGGGCCACAUUUAUUGGGUUUAACCCUUUUAUUUGAGAAUGUUUUAUAGUUAAUGAAUAUAAAUUUGAAAUUAUUUAACUAAAAUGAAAUAAAUUAAUAUUUAAAUUAAUUUAAUGAUGAUUAGACUCACAAUAAAACUAAAUGCAAUAAGAAUAUUUAUAAAAACUUUCUAAUAUUUAUGGGAAUUAAGCUCAUUCUAUUAAAUUAGUUUUUUUUUUAAAUAUCAAUAUUCAAAUUAAACCGACAUCAACCUAAAAUAUCAAAUAAUUAAACAAUAUAAAUUCAUUAUGAGUUCAAUAUAUAAAAAUUAUUAUUGGAAGAUGAAAUAAAGAAUACUAUUUUAAUAUAUUGAAAAAGGACAUGCAUGGUAUUUUAGAAUUUGUUAUAAAGUCUCCAUUGAAAACCCUAACUUUUGGAAGACAAGAAAGAAGGGAGAGAGCCACCGUUUUUAAUGAGAAAGAAGAGAAGAGAGAAAAAUGCAAGUUUUUCUCAUCAUGCCCAGAUUUCAUCAAAGGUUUGAUCCCACUUCGUCCGUGGUCCGAUCGAGCUGAAAUUUGGAGGAGAGUUUCGUGACUCAUUUAUCUUCAAUCUGAACGAUGAAGAUCGGAUUUGGAGUUUCGGAAAGUCAUUAGAAAGAAAGAGGAGAAGAGAGAAAAACGUAGGUUUUCUCAUCAUGCCCAGAUUUCAUCAAAUGUCCGAUCCCGCUUCGUCCGUGGUCCGAUCGAGUUGAAAUUUUAAGGAGAGGUUCGUGGCUCAUGUAUCUUCAAUAUGAACGGUGGAGAUCGGAUUUGGAGUUUUGGACAGUCAUUAGAGAGAAAGAGGAGAAGAGAGAAAAACGUAGGUUUUUCUCAUCAUGCCUAGAUUUCAUCAAAUGUCUGAUCCCGCUUCGUCCGUGGUCCGAUCGAGUUGAAAUUUGAAGGAGAGGUUCGUGGCUCAUGUAUCUUCAAUAUGAACGGUGAAGAUCGGAUUUGGAGUUUCGGACAGUCAUUAGAGAGAAAGAGGAGAAGAGAGAAAAAUAGUGGUUUUUUACAUCAUGCCCAGAUUUCAUCAAAUGUCCGAUGCCGCUUUUUUCAUGGUCUGAUUGAGCUGAAAUUUGAAGGAGAGGUUCAUAAGUCAUUAAUCUUAAAUUUGAACGGUGAAGAUCGGAUUUAGAGUUUUGAAAAGUCAUCUUUCAGCUAAAAACAAAACCUUUAUUUUAUCAAAGAUGACGCUUCCUGAAAGUGUCAUUGUUGCCUAAGACAUACAAUGACAGAGGCGAAGAGGACGCUUUAGAGAAGCGUCAUCUGUUACCUUUCUUGACGCUUAAAAAACGUCAUUGUUUCCCAUUUUUCUUGUAGUGGAUAUACCCACCAAGAAUUAAUGACUAUUUUCGAGAAACACAUCAAUUAAAAAUAACAAUCAAGAAUUAGCACAUGAUCAAUCAAACACACAAACGCAUCUAGACUUGUUAAAAUGGAUGAAAUUAAGUCAAGGCAAAUGUGAAUUUUCAGUCAUAAAAUUAAUUUUUUUAAUAAGCUAAUAUUAUAAAAAAUACCUAAACUAAAUAGAUGAGUUAAAUUUAACCAAGGUAGACUAAAAGAAACAUGAUUUUUUUCACAUAAAAUUGAUUAAACCAAAAAGUUAGAAACUCACAAACACAUCUAAACUAAAAGAAAAAUCAGCACUAAAGUAAAUUGAAAUGAAAAAAAUAAGAACUUUAUCAUGUAGAAUUAAUUAAACUAAUUAUAAAAAAACAUCUAAACUAACGAAAUAAAUUAAAAUUAAACUAAAAUAAAAUUUAAAAAAAGAAAAAGAAACUUGCCUUCAAGAAUGCAUAUUGCUGAAUCUAUUGUAGGAAGACCGCUCUUGGAUGCGUGCCUUUCUUUGCGUGUUUCAGGAAAUCAUCUCUUAAUGCGUGGCUUAUGUGGCGGCCAUCUUCCUCUUUCCAUAAGAUACAAUUCCAUAAGUACCCGAACCAAGUUCUUUUAUGUAUUCUAGGUCAGAAUUUUAUUUUAUUUUUUAUAAUCUGCAGCACUCUAGUGGCUAGAAGAGAAUAAAAUAUGGCCUGGUUGUGUAGUUGACAAUGACGGGAAUUGGAGGAUUCAUCGUUUUCAAAUAUGCAUGGAUGGAUGGGCUGCUGUCCAGAUGGUUCCGUCAGUGAGUUCAAACAGCCACCUCUUUGCUCUCAAAUCUCCUUGCACUAAUCCCUUCAAAACAGCCCCUCUCACACUCUCUAAACUCUCUCUUUUAUAUCCCUUGAAAUAGCCUCUCGCAUGCUCUCAAAACUCUCUCUUCGGAUCAUCUCAAACAACAACUCCUCACGCUCUGAAAAUGCGGACUGAUCUUUGUGCGGACAGCAGCCUAUGAUCCCUUCAAAACGCCUACUAAUCUCUUCCCAAACGGCAUCCUCAAAGGCUCUAAAAAAUCCCUCAUCCGUUCACUUCAAACAGCAGCCUCUCACGCUUCAAAACGCCUCCUGAUCUCCCCCCAAACGGCAGCCUCUCCUUCCAUGGAAUACUCUGUUUCUUUGUUUUAAUCUCCGCGGAUAUAUGGAAAGUGCAUAUGUGGUGACUCACUUAGAGAUUCUAUAGGAUGCAGUCGUGUGUCCUCCUUGGUAAGUAAUCAAAUCCUUACCAUGUUGACUUUUCUUUCUAAAAAAAAACAAAAAGAAUCUCCUCACAGCCCACUAUAUGCGUAUUGUGCACUAAUGGUGGACUGCAUGUCCACUUCUCCUCAUUCAUGGACUGUGUUCUCUCAUGCGGAGUGCGUGUUGUGUCCAACUCUUUCAAGCAUGCAGCCGCUUUGCUUAUGGCAGCAUGUGGAUGAAGAAUUGAUGUGCAAAUUGGAGGUGGACCAAUCAUGGAGGUUCAGGAAUCGGGAUGCCAAUGUUGCUAUCAGUUUUCCUUUCCUCUCUUCAAUGCGCCCUGAAAAUGUAUCAAAAAUGGUGCGGCUGGUUGGUGGUCGUCUUCCCAAUGGUGCAAUUGCACCUUUAUCCUGAUCAGAAUCUGUGUCCGCUCCAUUCAAAAAGCUGGUGCAUCCCUCUUCAAAAAUCUGGUGCAUCUCUCUUUCAAGAAUCCCAUCAUACUCCCUUCCAAAAUUUGGUCAUCUUUCCCCUUAACAAUCUCGUGUAUCCUUUCAAAAAUCUGAUCAUCUUUCUCUGCUCCCAUCUUGCACCCAUAGGGAUCCUUCAAUAUGUGGACUGUCCAGAUCUUUCACAUGCGUGCUGGCCACUUACCAUCCUUGCAUGGUGAUAUCUUCCUUCCUUUUUUUUACAGGAUUCUUUCCAAGUCUCUUUAUUUGGCCGUGAUCUUCUCUCAUUCAUGGCUCCAAGUCUCAUGCAAAAAUUAAAAAUAAAAUUGAAAUAAGAAAUGGGAAUUAUGAUCAAAAUGAAAUAUAACGAAAUAAAAUAAAAUCUCAAAUCACAUAGCCACAAAAUCCAAGAUAUCAAUUUAUGGGAUUAAAGAAUAAAUAAAUAAGUAGGUAAAUAAACAAAUAAAUUGAUAAAAGUAUAAAAAUAAAUAUUAGACGUAUGCAAUUAGGAAAAAUCAAGAAAUUAAAUUAAUGCAACAGAUUAUAAUAAUUUAAAUGUCAAACUCAAAACCAUUAAAAAUCAUAAAAUUCAUUCAUGCAAUAAAAAGUCAAACAACACUCAUCUUAUCCCGAAAAAUAAGUAACCAAAAUCAAGAUCAUGCCUAAGAGAACUAUGCCAAAAGAAGUGUCUAAGUGACCUAUUUUGAAAGACUGUCUAAGUAACCUAGGGUGAAUGUGUGCAAGCUAGAAGGUGCUAAGUGCAUCUAAAUUGGCCUAAGGUGGUGCCUAAUGGGCCAAAUGUAUCUAAAUGGGUCUAGGGUGCCUAAGUGGGCCUAAGUCUAAGUGAGCCUAAGUCUAAAUCAAGACUACCAAGGAUCAUAAUAAGGGGUUAGGCAAUCCCUCAACCAAAGUCUCCGAGGUGGCUCAGAAAAAGUAAGUAGUAUGAGUAGCUAUGGGUCACCAAGGAACUACUGUAGAGCCUUGGAAAUGAACUUAAAGGCAUGUGCUAAAGAGACAAAAUUAAGGGUCUACACUCAUACUCAACAAUAUUGUUCAUGGCAAGGUGUCGACCAGAGAAUGCCAAACGAACAAAUCUAGGAAUGUGGUCAUCGUGAUGGGAUAUCAGUAGAACACCUAUCCCGUAUCCAAAAUGGUUGGCCGCAACAUCAAAGUACAUGCGCCAACCUGACGAAGUAGUCACUGCAGCGAUAUCCUCAUCUAGAAAGUCAUCAUCAAUAGCUCUACCAUCAUAAAAACUAGUAAUGAGGCUAAGUGAUCUACAACAAUGCUCCAUCUGAUAGACUUUUGAGUGACAUAAUGAAUAUCGAACUCAAUCAGGAGUACCAACCAUCUCAUGAGUCGAUCAAUCAAAGCAAGCCUGUCAAACAAAUAUCUCAAAGAAUCUAGACAAGAUAUCAAGUGCACUGAAUACUCCGUCAUGUAAUGUCUCAAUCUCUUAGUAGCUCAAACCAACGCCAAACAGAAACGUUCAAUCAUGACAUAUCUUGUCUCAUAAUCAAGCAUCCUCUUACUCAAAUAAUAAAUAGCUCGCUCAUUUCUAGAAUCAUUGAGCUGAGCUAACAUGCAUCCCAAGGCUAUAUCUGAGACUGACAAGUAUAGGAAUAAGGGACAACCUGGUGUAGGAGGCACCAAGACUAGAGGCGAAAACAAGUACUCCAUGAUCCUCUCAAAUGCACGCUGACACUCAUCAUCCCAAACAGGAGGUCGACUCUUCCUCAAGAGUAAAAAAAUGGGCUUGCAAAUAUCUGUCAAUCUGGCGAUGAAUCUACUGAUGUACUGGAGUCUACCUAAAAAACCUUUGAUCUCUCUCUCAGUCCUCGGCGCAGGCAUGUCAAGGAUGGCUCUGAUUUUAUCUGGAUCUAUUUCUAUGCCUCUCUCACUGACCAUGUAUCCUAGAAGUCACUCCAAAAGUGCACUUCUUAGGAUUCAGUCCUAAUCUGAACUGUCUGAUCAUAUCAAAGAAUCUCUUUAAGGCUGUUAGGUGAUCUACUCUAUCUUGAGAUUUCACUAUUAUGUCAUCUACAUAGACCUCGACAUCCCAAUGCAUCAUGUCAUGGAAAAGGAUAGUCGUUGCUCUUUGAUAAGUAGUUCCUGCAUUCUUCAACCCAAAUGGCAUAACUUUGUAGCAGUAAGUACCCCACUCAGUAAUCAAAGAUGUCUUCUCCAUGUCCUUUAGAGCCAUCAUAAUCUGACUGUACCCAAAAAAUCCAUCCAUAAAGGACAACAUCGAAUGACCUGUUGUACUAUCAACUAGCAUGUCAAUGUGUGGGAGAGAAAAAUCAUCCUUGGGAUUGACCUUGUUGAGAUCUCAGAAAUCAACGCAGACUCUCACCUUGCCAUCCUUUUUGGGAACGGGGACGACAUUGGCCAACCACUCAGGAUACUCAACCACUGAUAAAAAUCCCACACUAAGCUGCUUCUGAAUUUUUUCUUUCACAUGCAGACUCCAACGAGGAUGCAAUCACCUCAACUUCUGCUUAAUCGGUCUAGCAAGGGGCAGUAGUGGCAAGUAAUGCUAGACUAUGGAUAGAUCAAGGCUAGAUAUGUCCUCAUAAGACUCUGCAAGUGAUGUUGGACUAUGGAUGGAUCAAGGUCAGACAUGUCCUCAUAAGACCAUGCAAAGACAUCCAAAUAUGAUAUGAGUAACUGGACAAGGCCACCACUCUCAUCUGUAAACAAAUCCAAUCCAAUCCUCAGCUCCCUAGGCUAGUCUGUUGUACCAAAAUCAACAAUCUCAACGUCUCUUGUGGUAGGUGAAACUCUCUGAUCACUAGGACUCAAAUCAGAAGCAAAAGAAGAGUCUGCAUCUGAAUCGUGAUGUACAAUCUCAUCAUCUAUAUCAAAUAUUUGUGAUGUGGGUGAAUGAGGUGCAGAUAAAGUGUUAUCACAAUAAAUAGGCAAAUACUCAAAAAGACUCAUAUCCAUAUAUGAAGAAAGAGUCAGUACAUCAUCAGAAUGGGAGACAAACCCGACAGUACAUCAAAAGAAAGUGGUGGGUCCACAUGUUUGGACUCUACCAUGACUGGGCUAUUAACACCCACAAAUACAUCAUCAUCAACUAUAUCAUCCUUUGAAAACUCCAGAGCAGGAGCAAUCUGGAUCUCCUCAGCAACCUCGAUGGCGGACACCCCAAAUAGAUCAAAUGGAGAAGCAAACUCAGGUUGGACUAUCCCAUCAAUCUGACUCAUACUCAUCGCGAGCAUCUCAUCAAUGUACCUGUCGUGUGGAACAACUCCAUCCACCAUGUCCCUAAUCUCAGCAAAUGUCCCAUGCUCGUCGACCUCAUCCUAGAAAUAGAGUGUCAUGAGGCUCAUAUGAUCUGGAGAUGAUGGGGUGGCUAAUGUAGAAGCAGAAGUGCCAGGAGCUCCAUCACUCAACCGUAGCUAAUGGACAAGACGCUGAAGCUCAGCCUCCUCAACAGUGUUGAAUCCAUCAAUAAUCCCACUUGAAUGCGUCUAUGGCUCCGGUGCCCUCACAAAGUAGUCCGCCAAGCUCAUGUUGUAUGAGCAAAUAGGAUAGUCAAAUGGUGUGUGAGUCAAUCGGGCUCUCACUCUCUCCUUGCGCAAUCACACCAUAUAUCAAUAAUCGGCCUCAGUAGGAAUAAACUCAAAUCCAAAUGGUACAUCACGAUCAACGAUAGUUAUAAGCUCAUUGGGCUCAUGCUGACAUCGCCCUAAUCCCAUGCUCGGCAGAAAAGACAUGCUCCUCAUCAUGUCAAGCACCACUGUACUACCAUGCUAAUCAAAUGACAUAGCCACAAAGUCCCUACAAAAAUCCUCAAUCUCCAGAGUUUACACCUCAUCAAAUAUGAACCCAGUAAAAAACAAAUCAUCCUCAUUGUGACUAAUCUGAAGCACUGGCUUGGAAGAAGCAAACAUAUCUCCAAUAGACCACACCGUGAUGACUUGGCCAUCAUGAAUGAACUUCACCUUCUGAUGAAGGGAAGAAGGAAUGGCCCCAGCUCUAUGAAUCCAAGGUCGGCCAAUAGUAGGUUAAAAGAUGUAGAAAUCCUCAAAACCUGGAAUAGAGUAGGAAAUGUAGUCGGACCUAUCAAUAGCUCGAUCUCCAAAGUGCCCAUGACCUUCCUCUUAAUGCUAUCAUAUGCUCUGAAUUUCUGAGUAGAGGGACCAAAGUUUGAGGACGCAUAGCCGAGGGCAAUGACAUAAGCUAAGGGACAGACGUUCAGGGUUGGGCCAUCGUCCAAAAUGACAUAUGGGACUUGGUGGCCUGAAAAACCAACUGAGAUGUAUAGAGGACAUGUAUGGUCUGAACCCUCGGGUGGCAAAUCAUCAUCUAAAAAUAUAAUGCAAGUGGCUCUGCCAACUGUCAUAAUGUGAAUCAACCCCUCGAGAAUAGUGGUAGUCUCGACUCUAAUCUAACUCAAGGCUCAAAUCAAUGCAUCUUUAUGAGUGCUAGAAGAUGCCAAUAAGCUCCAAAUAGAUAUACAAGUCUGGGUACUCUACAACUAUAUCAGAAUAUCAUCAUCAUCUCUCCUGACCUUCUCAUGAGAGGCUGCACCCUCCAAGGGUCUAGCGGUUGUGAAGGGUUGCUGUCAUACUACCCUACCUCUGUGAAUAACAUAUUGUAUAUCUGGAGUAUGAACAUCAUCAACAUAUGGAGUAUGUACCUCAUCAACGUCUGGAAUCAAAACAAACGAAGUCUGAACACUAUAACAUGGAAAAAUCAAUGGCUCGACUAUAGUCAACUAUACUGAUGUCACAUCGAGAACCAACCUGAAUAGUGUGGGCAUCCAUGGGCCCAAGGUCAUUCUACCUACCUCAUAAAUCCCAUCUACUACUAUAGGCUCUAGCACUGACUCAUCCCAACUCAGCAUGUGGAUAUGAUCAUAUGGCUUAGUGAAAUCCAUGAAAUGUAUACCGUUGGCUAGCAGAGAGACUGCAUGUGAAGUAUAAGCUAGCAGAGGGUUAGUGGUUACACUUGGCUAACCCAAUGAACCAAACCCUGAUCUAUCAAGUCCUCGAUGGCGUGCCUCAAAGUAGUGCAAUGGUCCGUGUCAUGCCCUAGACCCUGAUGGUAAGAACAAUGUAAAUCCAUCCUGAAGCGAGGUGGCAUGAGUUGAGGUAUAUGCCGAGGAGCUAACUGAGUCAACAAACCACCCUCCAUGAGCUUUUAGAAAGCUCGGCUCAAAGGCAUACCUAGUUGGGAGAACUGUUGUGUCGACCUUUGUACAAAAGAAAUAAUAGUCUGUGGGGCUCGUGGCUGAGGGUAUAAAGUAGGAGGUCUCUCUAUGACAUGUGCAGCAAAAACAGGUUGUGAGACCAGAUGUAGAUAAGUAGGAGUCAUAGGUUUGGAGGAAAUAGGUGGCCUAUACUGAACAUGAGGUGGUGGUGGGUAGUAGAAUCCAGAAGGCUGCCCAACUGUCUGAUAGCGUCUAGGAGGUCUCAACCCUGUUGAACUGAUAGCACUCACAUCUUCUAAUCUUUGUCCUCCUAAAGGCUGCUUUCCCUAAGAGUCAGUAGGGGAAGACUCGACCAUAAUCCUCUAGUUAUGUCCUCCUCUAUACCAUAUAAAUCAUGUACCAAAGAUCCAAAAUCCGUAUGAGAAAAUCCCAUCAAGUGCCUAGCAAAUCAAGGCUGCAAGCUCCUCAUGAUCAUACUAAUCUGAUCAUUCUCCGAAGGAUGAUCAAUAACCUGUGAAAUCUUCUCUCUUUAGCGAGAGAUAAAUGAGGUGAUCGACUCAUCUAGCCUCUAUCUCAAAGCCUCUAACUCUCUCAUCGAAACAUCAAUGACAAUGUUAAAUGCAAACUGUCUCAAGAACUUCUGGGCCAAAUCAUCCCAAGUUCGGCGGCGUGAUACAUCCAAUGAAGCAAACCAACGUUGUGCCACACCACUCAGGGAUAUAGGAAAAAACAUAACCAUCUGGGCCUCAUCCAAUCCAUGGGCCCUCAUAACCGUACUGUAAAGCCUCAAAUGGAUGCAAGGAAAGCCAAUGUCCGUGUAUUUCUCAAUCUUAGACAUCCUAAACUUUGUCGAUAAACUGGCCACUGGUGCUCCAUUAAAAUCCUCCUAAGUAAUAGCUCCAUCUGAAGUCUUCAUCUGUCUCAUCCUCUACUCAAGUCUAUCCAUACGAGCAUGUGGGUCCUCUGAGAUCGGGGUAGGCACUAUGACAGGAGGCAAGGCAACCUCAGUCUGACUCUAUAAAGUAAAUGAUAUAGGUUGUGAAACUAUCUGACCAAGUGGGAGAGGUGGCAGAAUAGUGGGAUCAUACUGCACACUCUCCUAAACUGGAACCUUUUGGGUUUGCUACCCAUCCAUCCUUUGAUCAAGACUAGUUAUGGCCUCCUGGAUCGAAGCCAUAGCAGCAACGAACUGAUCAAAUGUAACCACCUACGAAUCCAUAUCUAUCUGAUCUAACUGGUCUGAUACUCUGAUCAAUCUACCUUUAACUCUGAUCUAAGAAGUUAAACCCAGAUCAAACGUAUCAAUACACCUACAAUAGUGGAAAUACUAGAUAAGAUAUUGUGUAAGGGAAACUCUACAAGGAGUGUCUAUCAACUAUGCAGGAAGGUAACCUGGAAGUAUUCAAACUUAUAUCUAAUUCUGAGCAAAUAUAUAAGAGACUACUAUGAAGGUAACUAAAUUUAUCACUACUGACCCGGCUCUGAAGGCCCAUAGAUGCACCCACGUGUAGGAAAGGAAAUUCUGAUCGAAUAAUCGAAGGCUCAACCUAUAAGGUCAAGGUGGCUCUAAAAAAAAAAAAAGAUGGACUUUAAAGGAUCCCUAGCAGAAGCGAUCAUACCCUUCAACAGUAUGCAACCCUCUGCACGCCUUUGAAAAGACGAGGCGCUUCCAUGCAAGGUGGUCAUCACCUCUACACAUGCACUACCUCGACAUCGUAAGGGGUUUUGCUAUAGUGAAAGCUCUCACAACUCUCAGCACUCAGUAGUCAACUAAAGUGCAUAGUGAGUGGUGCAGGUGCAUCCGAAAAACCUAUGAAGAUAAAGUAGAAAAAGAAACACAUUAGUCACACAAAUAUCCAUGAAACCAGCUCUAGGCUAUUCAGGUCUUCAAAGAUCAGACUCCAAUCAAUGUGUCGGCCUCCUCAAGAAUGCUCCUAAACAUCAAUAUAGCCCAUCACUAUACCUUACUCCUAACCACUAGCUCGGUCAUAGAAACAAGUACACACAAGGCCUCACACUUGCAAAUAUAAGAACCGAAAUGAAGGAAAUGACCGAAACCAAAGGGUUGGAGGUAAGGGGAUAGAUGUGCGAUCCACACAGACAAGCAACAUACAAUCACAUAGGAGAAGAUUAGUUAUGCAACAAGCAAUCAAGCAGAGCGCAAAUAUAUCAUCCAUGUCCAUACACAAGCCAAACGAAAAUAUGACAAUCACAAUGACUAGCAACAAGGAUAGCAUGCUCAAAUAUAAUCAAGAUAACAUACAAGAAAGAUAAUCAACACUAAGACAAAUAAGAGAUGCAGCAAAGUGAACAUACAUGUCAAAGUGAGUAGGAUAAUCAAGGCAAGAGCAAGAUCGAUCAAUAUCAUCAGCAUGCCAAUGUCGCAAAGGGAUAUAACAAUUAAGCAAAGAAAAUCGUUGCAUCAAAAUCCUCAAUGUGCUAUGAUCACUCAAGCAUUGAAAAUUGUAAUUUUGAAAAAUUAUUUGAAAAUUGGAGUUUUGAAAAUUAAAUUUAAAAAUUAGAAUUUUGGAAAAUUAAAUUUAAGAAUUGGAAUUUUGGAAAUUAAAUUUGAAAGAAAUUGGAGUUUUGAAAAUUAAUUGAGAAUUGGAGUUUUGAAAGUUAGUUUUAAGAAUUGGAGUUUUGAAAAUUAAUUUUGAAAGAAAUUGGGGUUUUGAAAAUUAAUUGAAAAUCGGAGUUUUAAAAAUUAAAUUUAAGAAUUGGAGUUUUGAAAAUUAAUUUUGAAAGAAAUUGGUUUUUUUUUUUGUUUUCAUAUUCUCAUAAACGAAAAAUGGAAACUAAUGAAUAAAAAUAAAAAUUAAAGAAAAAAAAAAGCAUUUAAAAUAUAUAUCAAGAAAGAAAGAUAUUGAUCACCUAUUUCUUUCAACAUAAGUUCCUCUAAGUAAAAUGAUAAGGUUGCCACUAUGGUUUAAUCUCAGGAGGUUUAAGAGCACACAUCUUGGGGGAAGGUUUGAGAGCACAUCUUCAAUACGGGAAGGUUUGAGAGCACAUCUUUAAUAGGGGAAGGUUUGAGAGCACAUCUUCAAUAGGAGGAGGUUUGGGAACACAUCUUUGGUGGGAAAAUAAGAUUGAUAACUUCUUCUUUUUUAAAUAUAUACUACUAUUAAAAAUGUGAGGUGUUUGUCAAUUUUUUCAUUCCAAAAAUAUCUGACAACUCCUUUUAAUUCUAAAAAUACUUCUCAUCAAUUUAUUAAUAACAAUAUAUUAAUAUUUAAUGUUACAAAAUGUAUUCUAUUAUCAUAAUCUAUUAGUAUCAAAUGACAUUAUACAUUUUAUUCUCUUUAGAACCUAUAAUAUUCUUUGACUCUUGAUGAUGUGCCUAAGCCCCAUAUUUUCAAUGCCCACAUAAGCCUUUUCUAUCAUUUUCUCCUCUCCAUGGUCACAACAGCUUCUUCUUCAAGCUUUUAGAUUUUUCUUUGCAAAAUUGCCAUCUUAAUAUUCCUCUUCGCCACAAAUGGCAGUCGAUUCAAGACUAUGUCUAGAGUUAUGGUCAUGGUUCUGGAAGGUUUGGAUUGAUGAAAGUGUUAUGUUAGGGACAAGAGAGAGUUUCAAUGAAAUGUAAUGUUUUGGGGAAAGCUAAGAAUGACAAUGGUGGCAAAGAAGGUGUUCAUGAAAAGAACAAACAGUUUGUGUGGUGGUUUCGGGAGGCGUGGUUGUAUUUUCACAUUCAUAGGGGUGACACGUUUGUUGUCAUAAUUUUUGGUGAAAUUGUUGUCAAUUCUUACUUGGAACCCAUACUGAAGGCACAUUUUCUAUGAAUUUCUUUUCCUCUGUUAAUUUAGUUUGAAUGAAUAAACUGUUAUUGUGUUUCAUAAAAGCAAUAUGGAGGGUUGGUUUGGAUAGUGGUGAUACUCUACAUUCAGAUAUGUUUUCCUUUUGUAUUUUGGAAACUAAUGAAUCAUAACAUGCUUAUUGGUGAAAGGAGAUUGUUGUUUAUCCCCUAUUUGUUUAAAGAGAAUGAAUUGUGUUUGUGGAGUUGACAAUUGAAGAUGUUGACUGUGAUUUAAAUCCAAAUAGUUUUAGAGAAUUGGUCAAAUAAAUCUCUGAUAAAUAUUUUUUUUUAAUGAAUUUACAACUCUUAUCUAAGUAAUUUAUCGCAUUGAUGGUAUCUAUGUAUAUCAAUUAUUUGUGUUCUAAUUUAUUGUGAUUCUAUCUCGUGUUAUUAAUCAUUUGGGUUAUUGGAUUUUAACAUUUUGAUUUUUAUCAUUUCCCAUAUUUUUAAUUCAUUGCAUUUUUGUUCGUUGUGAAUGUUAUUUAUUUAUUAUUUUAGCACUCAUUGGGUUUUUUGUGAACACAAUUAGAUCAACUGUUGUUGCCAUUAGUGUUUUUGAUGAUUUUGCUUACAUGUUUAUUAGGGAAAUAUUAGAAUUCAAGGUGUUUGGUACAUUUGAGAGGUAAUCCAAUUUAGUAUUAGAGUAUACCUUUUUUUUUUAAUGAAUCCUGAUUUUUUUUUUUUAUUGGGAUCAAAAUUUGUUACUUACUCUAGAAAUUUAGUAUUUUUGUAAAUACUUUUAAUUUUUCUAAUUAUAUUUUUUUAUAAGUAUUUAGAACUUAAAGGUUUUACUGAAAAGAAAAUGAAGUUAGUAGUUUUAAAUUGAAAUUAGUCUUAUUUCUUAAGGUUUUUUUCCUUUUUCAUUUUUAGCUUAAUUGAAUCUAGAACUUUCUUGUACAUUAUAAUUCUAAAAGAAGUUUUAAUUACAACCUAUUAAUAUUUAAUGUUACAAAACGUAUUCAUCCAUUAAUAUCAAUCACAAAAUUUAUUAAUAUUUAAUGUUACCAAAAUCUAUUAAUUAUUCCCUUUAAAAUCACCCUAUAACAUUAUAAAAUAUUAUAAUUAAUACAUUAUCUAACCAACAAUUAAGAAUUACCCCUUCACUCUUCAAAUUUCUUAUGAUGACAGUUUCACUUUUCAUUUCUAAAGUUUGAAAACUUUUUAAAUUUCUCAUAACCUUUUCCUCUUUGAAGAGAAUUAAGAAGUUUUUGUAAAUUGGCACUCCCAAUUUGAAUGAAGUACUAUUUGGUGAGUUUUUAUUUAGUGUUCUGAAUGAUUUUACUUAAAUGUUUGUGUUACUUAUGAGAAUAAUUUGAUUACUUUGUUGAAUUUUAUUUUUAUGAUUUUGACCUUUUUAAAACAAUACUCAAUUCUUUGAGGAGUUUGUUGGAUGUGAGUUGGAAGAAAAUUGAAAUUUAAGGUAAUUGGUAAAUUUGAGAGGUAACUAAAUUUAGUUUUCAAGUAUACAUUUUUUUUGUAAUGAAUUUUAAUUCUUUAUUUUAUAAUUCAAUGUUUAUUAGAAUUGAAGUUUGCUACUUAUUAUAUAAAUUUAGUAUUUUUGUAAAUACUUUUAAUUUUUAUUAUUUUUAGACAAGUAUUCACAAGUUAAAUCUUUUAAUAAAAAAAAUAAAGUUAAUUGUUUCAAUUGAAAUUUGGGUAAAUGUUUCUAGAGUAUGUUUUUCUUCAUUUUUUGUCUUAUUGGAUCUUAAUUUUAGAAUAAUUAGAACUCUCUAAAAAAUAAAAUCCAUAUUUUUUUUAAUAUAAAUUACCAUUCUAGAGCUAAAUGCAUUUCCUUAUUUUAUAAUUCAAUGUCCAAUAAUAUGCAUAGGAAUUGGACAAUAUAGUUUUUUGUUUUAUAAUCCAAUAUCUAUAAUAAUUGGAAACUACAGUUCCUUAUUUUAUAAUCCAAUGUCUAUAGGAAUUAGAGAUUCUUAUUUAUGCUAUAAAUUUAGUAUUUUUACACAUUCUUUUAAUUUGUCUUAUUUUGUUUCUUUUAAAUUUUAUCUUUAACCAAUAUUCACAACUUAAAUCUUAUAAUAGGAAAAGUAAAGUUCCUUAUUUUAAUUGAAGUUGAGGUAAGUGUUUUUCAAGAUUUUUUUUUUUUUUUUCAUUUUUAGUUUAGUUGGAUCUUCACUUUGGGAUAACUAGAAUUUUCUCAUAAUUUUUGUUUGUUUGUUUUUUUUAAAUACCAACCACUAUACUAAAAUGAAUUAAAAAUAACUACAUUUAACAAUUUGAGAAUGAAAUAUCAAGUAUAUUUGAGAGAUCAAAAACAAUUUUUAUUCUUACUAAGAUAUUUGUCUUUUUAUUUGCUCAUGGUUCUUGUUGUUAUGACUUUGUAUUACAUUCCAGAAACAUAUAGUUUUUCCUUAUGUAAAUAAAUUGAUAAAAUUAAAGGAAAUUGACAAGGAAAACAUAAAAAUAAAAAGUAUGUUUGAAUAAAUAAUCCAAUUUUUUUUUUUUAAUAUUCAUCUACUUUUCAUAAAAUUAGGACAAGUAAAAGUUACAUUUUGUUGUCCCUAAAUUGCAAUGAAUUUAAAUUAACAAUAGAUAACGGGUUUAAAUAAAAUUUGGUACAUAUCAUUGCUAAGGUGACAUUUAUUUUGCCUAACUUAGAAAAAUUGAUUUUAAAAAGAAUUUUACCAUCUAAGAUUUUUGGAAUGGAAAAAUGUAACAUUAUUUAUAUUUCAUCGCAGUCCUUUUUCCUUUCUAUUUAUAUUUCAACCCAAUCAUUUUUUUUUCCUUUUUUUAUGUCUAGUUUGAUUAUUUGACUUUGAAUCUCUUCUUAGUUUCAUACAAGGAUUUUAAAAGAAUAAAUUCACAUAUUCAAUUUUUUUUAUUGGAUUUGUUUUCAUAUUACCUCACCUGCAUCGCAUGUGAACACUUCCUAACACACACACACACACAUAUAUAUAUAUAUAUGACUAUUUAGAUACGUAUGGAAGAUACACACAUAUACAUACAUAUACAUACAUACGUAUGGAAGAGUAAGAUGACUUUUUCAAAGAAUCAUUUUUAUAAAAAUGACUAUUUAGAAGAGUUAAGGAGCAAGUCUUUGAGGGGAAAUAAAAUCAAUAGCAAAAGAAUAGGAUGACGUUUUGAAAGAAUCAUCUUUAUAAAGAUGACUAUUUAAAAGAGUUAUGGUCUCUUUCACAAAGUAGAUAUUUAAUUUGAGAACGAGUGGGAAAAUAAAAUUAAUAGCAAUUUGCUUUUUAAUAUUUACAUAUAAGGGAAAGGAUAGGAUGAUUUUGUCAAAGAAUUGACUUCAUAAAAUAGAUAUUUAAAUUGCAAAGUCAUUAUUUAUCAUAUUAAUUAAAGAUAAUGAAAUUUUUUUUUAAAAAGUCAUUGAAACAACCGUCAUUAUCUCCUUUUUUGUUGUAGUGACUUUGGAUAUACUAUUAGAUACAUAAUUAACAAAUCAAAGGAUUGAGUGCAAUUAAUUACAAUAGAUUUUUUUGUAGAUAUUAGAAUUGGUAUAUAUUUUUCUCUAUCUACUGAUGGAAUGAAAAAGCAUCCUAGCCUCCUACGAGGGUCUAACCUUGUGAUUCUCCACUGUAUCAUAUCAGGGUGAUCCAUGGCUUGGUAGUCUUUUCCCUAAAACCUCUUCAUAUUGGCUCGUAACCGAUUCAAAAUUCACGAAAUUCAUAUAGAUCGUUCAAUGAAGUCCCCUAAUCAAGUUCAAGGUAGUCUUUGGUUAUUCUGGAAAUAUGACUAAUCUACUUCAGUACAAACUGUUGAAGUUACAGAAGAAACAAGCCAUGCAUAAAUCACCCACACCCCUCUUCCAAAUUAACAAGCCAUGCACAAAUCAAAUUCCCAUACAUCAAUAUUAUUUUACAUGUCUUUUUAACAGACUGAAUUCAUUAAGACAGAAGAGUAGAUAACUCAGAGGUGAAUCCUACAAAGCCACUUCUACAGAACCCCAAAGAUGUAAAAGGUCAGGAACAGACACCCAAGCACAAAUGCAGAGGUUGAAAGCUCUGAGGAACUGGGUAGCACCAAAUAAAUGCCAGAAGUAAAUGCUAUCACCAUUCCUAGGAUGGAAACGUAUGUGAGUAUGGCUGAAAAUUUUAUGAAACGUAGAAGCAGAUGAUAGCUUCGUUCCAGUGAAGCAAAAAAGUGGAGAAACACUGCUGCAGUUGAGCAAUAGAAAGCUAUACCAUCUGACAACAAGAAGGCCUUGAAGGCUAUCUUUGUUGAGAGAACUGCUUUACCUUUGUCGGGGCCUUCAUCAUUGUACCCACCAGGUAGAGUAAAGCCUGCUGCAAAAGUGACAGUUGCUAUGAGCGUCGCGACCAAUAAAUGGGUGUUGGAAAUGUCCUUGAGACGAUGAGAUCGAAGUUGCUUUUCUUUCAUGAUUUCUCUGUUCCUAUCAAGAAGUAUACUCAUAUUGCUAGCAGUACGAGACGCGCCAUCACUGCUCUGAGUACUGGUCUCGCUAGCACUACGAUAUAUGCCAUCACUGGUCUUUUGAUGUCCAUUGUUAUCAGUCCACAUAUUUGCAUUUUCCUGGUAUCCUUCAUUGUCACCAUUUUGCAUAUAUGCAUUUUCUCUAAUGACCAACCGGUGUAAACUUUGUCGACCACCAGCAUGCUCCAACUUCCUCAUGAUCCAAUACUGGCAGUAAUUUGAAAGGAAUUAGAAUGAACUUUUAAAGCAAAGCUAUGGGAAAAUUUUUGAAUCAAGCAUUGAACAAAAUCCAGUGGCUAGCUCUUAAAGAGUACAUCAAACACAUUGAAUAAUAUUAGCCAUCCAUUUCAGAUACUUUUUUUUUUUUUUUUCUCUUUUUUAAGUAAUCGCUUAACAGAUUGAAUGGCUAUAAUCAUUCAACAUGAUCUUUCUGCAUCAAAUAUCUUCAGAGAGAUAUGAGAAGCCUCACCAUGUCUAAUUAAAAUUUGUCUCAAACUUUACAGUAACGUACCUUGAUUAUUUCUCCAAUAUCCAUAUUUGACUGGACAAUGUCAAUAGUCUUCAAAUACUCAUUGUUCAUUGCCCUUUUGUCCACUCUAUCGUCUGCAGCCAACAUAAUCACAACCCCGUAAUGUCCAUAAAUGGCAGCUAGAUGAAGUGGUGUGUUACCUUCCUUAUCUGGCUCAUUUAUGAUACUUUCCAAGUUUGGCUUCUUCAGGAUAUACUUAACGACUCUAGCGUUUCCAUAUUGAGCUGCAACAUGAAGAAUUGUGCGCCCUUUGUUGUCAAUCAAAUCAUAAACAUCUGGAAGACAUGUGAUAAUCUGUUCCAUUACAUUAGUGUGGCCCUCUUUGGCUGCAAUGUGGAGAGCACAACUGUGUUCUACAUCCAAUAAGCCAGCAACAGAUUUGUCAUACUUCAGUAACUUCUCAGUUGCUUCGAGGUGACCCAAGUGGGCAGCAUAGUGAAGAGGGGUCCACCCAAAUUCAUCUGCCUUUUUUAUCACAUCCUUCUUCAUUUCAAAUAGUACUUCCAAAAUAUCUAUACAUUGGGAGAAGAAGGUUAGAAAUCUUAAAAAGAAGUGGAAGAAUCUACUUAAAUAGCAUUUCAUACCUCACCAAAAAUCUGUCAAGAGAAAUGGAAAAGGCGACCAAAACACCCUUUCCCCUAUAUUUUAAGCAUAAAAAUGUCCUCAAUAAUGAUCCCCUUCAUUUCCAAAAAAAAAGGAAAAUCCUCAUACAUCUUGAUAAAUAAACACAUGGCUUAAUCAGUUGUAUGGUUUGAAGGUCCUUUCUUUUUUCUUAUAUAGGAAUGGGUGUUCAAAUAGGGUGAGAAUGGAGAGAACUCUCCACUCAUAAGCUUUUUGCAGUAAAAAGGAAAAAGGAAAAAAUCCAACUUAUUAGUAAACAAGAAUGAAAAGGGCACAGGAUCUUCUUACUUGAGCUUAAUUAACUUUAAAAAGGGGACAAAAGGAGUCUUAUUAAAGCAGAGGAAUUUACCAAUUUCAUCAUUCAAUUGUUUUCCUUUGAAGUGUCCUCGUACCCUAAAGAAAAAGUUUGUAACCACACGGCGAAGUUUUUCUAGAGAUAAUUCUGGAACUUCUUGGCCUGCAGCAUGAUAUAACAAACUAAAAUCAGUGAUAACCCCAUAAAAAUAACAAAGAAGGCCAAAAAAACAAAGGCUUGCCUUUUAGUUUGUUCAUCUUGCAUAAGGGAUUGAAAAAAGGAAAAGGAAAGAAAGAAAAUUAAUGCAAAGUCUUUUCCCAAAAGUGGUCCAUAUUCAGAAGAAAUAUUUGUUGAAAUAAUUUUCAAAACUUCAUACCAAACAAGGAAAUAAUGAAAGCUGAUAUUUUUCAUCUACUUGAUUUCUUUUCUUCAGUUUCUUCCUCAUUUUUCUCUCCAGGCAUGGUGCUAAGACUUGGGUCUUAGAAAGCAUACACCCAAAUGCCUGAAGACUUGGGUUUUUUUUUUCUUUUUUUUCUUUUUUUGUCACCAGAAUUAUCACUGGACGCCCUUUGCAUGCCCAAAUUAAACUUGAAAAAGUAAAACAAAUUAACAUUAGAAAUGAAGAUUUCAGAUAUACUCCUACUAACCAACAUUGGAUUGUGUUCCUGGAAACCAUUCUCCUCGUAGAUGCAGUCCAAGUCCAUUUACAGACAGCUCGGGGGGUAUGGGUUUACCCAGCUCAGGACCUACAAGUUAGGAAGAAUCGAAGAAAUCUUUUAAGUAUACAAAAGCAAGCAUGAACAUAAACUUUUAUGCAUAGAAAGAUUUUGACCUUUAUGGGUACGAAUCACAGCUGCAUGUAAAGCGGUCAUCCCUUUCGUGCCCUCACAGGAACAUUCAGAACUGUUUCCUUUCAACAGUUCGUCAGCAAUCUUGAAAAACCCCCUUUCCACAGCCAAAUACAAGGGGGACUCUUUAUGAUUAUUAACCAAAUCCAACAUCUUAGGAUUUUCUUGAACCAACCGGUUCACCACCUCAAGAUGACCAUUCCUCACAGCCACAUGCAGUGCCGUAUCAGCCCUCCCAUUCUUCAUUUCCAGUGCUUGCUUGGCAUUUUUACUUUCAAGAAAGCACUUAACCAUGUCACUACAGCCAGUUCUCGAGGCAAUAUGCAGCGGAGUGUCGCCUUUGAAGUCAGCUCUAGUCAGAAGCUCUGGAAACUUCUCAACAAGAGCUUCAGCAAAGCCUAUGCACUUGAAAUUAGCAGCAAUGUGAAGAGCAUUGCGUUUCUGGGAUGUGGCUUGGCAGGGAAUACUCUGGAGGCUAUGUGGCUUCUGCAAGUAGUUCUUAUCCCCAGUUUUAGCAGCUAUGUAAAGAUCAGUAUCCAUGUCUUGACAAUGGAAAUCAGAAUCCAUGGGGAUGCUUGCUAGGAAUCUCCUUCUUUGCAGUCUACAUAUAUAUUACUAAAAGAAUAGACCAGUCCACAUCAAAUGGGGUACAGAGCCUGCUCAAAAAUAAUUGCACCUCUCACCUACUGCAUUAACAAAGCUCAUAUCAUCACAAAAACUUUUUAGUACAUAUAAAUAAUUUUGUUUCAUAAAGUAUCAUUAUUAUUACUUCAAUAUAUAUUAGUUUUAUGAAGGGUUUAUGAUUGUAGACGAGUCAAAAUUCAUCCAUUUUUGUUUUGUUUAUCACCUAGUGUGGGCAUUUUGGCUCUUUUACGGUGUGGCCAUCGAUUCAAAUGCUUACACAAAGCUUCAAUGAAUUUUGUGGCACCUCCCGUGGAAACUUGCCACCAAAGCUCCCAAUUCAGAAAUGUUGUUUUUAAAAUAAUAACAGAAUUGAGUAAUUUUCUUUCUUUCUUAUCUCCAACGUUUUUGCUAAAUACUUUCACUUUUGGAGCUUGGUUUUAUAUCUGAUUUCGUAAGUCCUAAGAUAUCUACUACCAUGUACCUUGAAAGGUUGGUGUUGAAUCUAUUGAUUAAUUGUAUAUGUUAGGACAAUGAGUCUUCAUCAUAAGUUAGCAAUUUUGUUCCUUUUAAUUUUUGUCUUAGGAAUCUUUUUAAAUAGUGACUUACUUUCUAUUAAAAGAUUCAAGGUUAUUGUUCGAUCAACUGGAAAGUCAUAUGUAAAUCUAAAAAGGUUUAGUUUAUGGCAAAUUAGGUGUUUAAAAGGGUUAAGUGGAUUGGUAUAUUUUUUAUUGAAUUAAAAAUGUUUUAUUUAAUAUUUUGAAAAUGCAAGGGAUGCUCGAGUGGUGGAAAUAGUGCUCAAGCGUUGGGACCACUCAAACACUUAUCCAACACUUAAGUGAUCAAGGCACUCAAAUGGUAGGUAAGUGCGCUCGAGUGCUCAUCCCAAAUCUACGAAAAUAUGAUAGAAUAUUUUUGGAUAAUUCAUGCAAAUUGAGUUUGGAAACUUCACUAUACCAAUCCCCUAAAGCUUGGAGGCCUAUAUAAACCCAUCUAUAACCCUUUUAGUAUGAAGUGUAUUAAAACCAAAUGGAAGAAUAAGACAAUUAAGGAGAAAGAUUACAUGAAGAUAGGACCUUAUGCUUCAACAAUAAGUAGCCUUAUGUAUGUGAUGUUGUGUCUUAGAUUAGAUAUUUGUUUUACUGUAGGAAUGAUGAGUAGAUAAUAAUCCAAUCUAAGUAUAAAGCAUUGGACAACGGUCAAGUAUUAGAACCAUAAACAAAAAGCUAAAACCAUGAUCAUUGAUUCUAAUUUUCAUAUGAAAAUUUUAAAAAUUUUAAAAAUAUAACAAUAAAAUAAUAUCGCAGGAUAUUUUUAUUUAAUUUAUACAUGAUUAGAUUUAUAAAACAAAUAAAUAUUUUUUUAGUAUGAAUAUAUAAAAUCUUAUAUCCUAAACCUCUAAAAAAUUUUAUUAUAUAUUUAUUUUUAUAUUAAAUUUGUUCUCAUUAAUUAUUUAUUAUAUAUUAUUAUUUUUUAUUUAAAAUAUCCAUAAAUAAUUGAAAUCAAUAACUAUAAAAAGAUGAAAUGGUGACAAAUUUUGAAAUUAAAAAGAUUUCAUGAAGCCUAUACAAUAAUAUAAAAAAAACAUUGCACAGUGAAAAAAAAAUAAAAUUCAUAUGGUAUGGUUGAUUGUCACACGAUAAAGUUUUUAAAAAAUAAAAAUUGUUAUAGUUCAUGGUAGGUAGGAGGACAAAAGGGUAAUUUUAGAAUUUUGAUGAAUAUAACUAUUUAAGUGUAUAUUUAUAGGAUUAGUUUUUGUAAGCGAGAAGUCAAGUCAAACCUCUCAAAAAAAAUCUUUUUUUUUUAAGGUGCACAUGAUUAUAUGAUUCUUCCUAUUCAAGGCUGGGGGCCCAUGCUGAAAUGAUAUGUCAACAACCCUCCUUAAAGUAGAGUUGUAAAAGCUACUUCCCUUCUAUGUCUCCGGCCGAUAUUUCAGUCUAGCGUGGCGGCUUUUAACGCUUCAUCUACCUAUCUUCUUUUACGUUGAGCGUGGAAUCCACCGUCAUCUCUAGCCUCAGCAUAUGAUUUGAACUUAGGAGAUACCCACACUGACUUUUCAAGUUUUGUCCAGUUGAGGAAACUUUGAAAAUUAUUUAGCAGAAGACUGAUAAUGCAACCUUCUUCAUAAGAUGGGUGAUUUUUGAACACUACUGUACUCUAACCAAAUACCAUUUGUGCUUAUAUGUGAUACAGUGGAUGGAAUAUCUUUUCCCCUUUAUUACGCAAAUACUUGUUUAAUAGGUAGGGAAUUUUUUUAAAUUAGUCCCCCAUCCAUGCCCAUUAGAGGUUCUGAAAUUCAUUUGUAACAUUUAUGAUUUUUUGGAAAAUAAAAGUACCUACUCCAAUAAUACCAAUAUGAAUGGUACCACCAAACUUUCGUACGUAUCUAUAAAGAAGGAGAAGGUGCCCAAACAAUGUAUCCAGAAAAAAACAUUCAAGAAAAUAAUCCCAACUACUAGAUUUCAACAAGUAGGAUUUUGAGCAUAAAAGAAACAAAAUAAAAUAAAAAUAAUGACGGCUUCGAAUGACAUCACUGACCCAACGCAGGCAGAGGAGUUAGGAGUUGCGUGGAAAUUGUGAAAGGCGUAGAUCACGCCACAUGGAAGCAGUGGAGACAUGGCCAGUAGGAUAAUUAAUAUCCAUGUGGAUAACAGAGUGGAUCAAAACAAUGCCAUUCCCAUCAUGAAUGAACACUCAUUAACUUCUGCGUUUACUUGACUUUUGAGAGAUUUGCAAAACAUGUAGAGAGAGAUAUCACCGGAAGAGUUUUCUUCUCAUUAAUCAUGUUAUGACUUUUAGUAAUAAAAUAAGUAUGCAGCUGUUUAGAAAGAAAGAUCAGCAUGGGUAGUAGCAACGCGCAACAAAAAGUCCCAUCAGACUUCUCAUCCCUGGGAAUCUUACACACUCGCUAGGUAGACUAAUCAAACCAGGACCCAACUGGUACAAGCUACUGUUUCAACCACUCAAUAUUUAAGGAAUCACUUCCUAGUCACUAAGAACAUAAACUAAUCAAACCCAACCUGGCACAGGCUACCUUAUCGACUAGUCAGUACUCAAGGGAUCAUUUCCUAGUCACCAAGAUCGUUAAUUUAGAAAAUCUUACACUGAAAAAUGACCUAUUCAUCUGCAUGAGCAUAUGCCUUUCACAUCCCACUGAAUAUAAUCUUAACAUCUGUUUCAUUAGUAUGAUUCUCUUAAGCUAUUGACUUCAAUAUUUACUUGGAAAUGAUAUCAAAGGGAAAAAGAUUACCGAUUCAGAAAAAUGUAAAGCAAGGUACAAAAUACUAGAUGGAGAUAUUUCAAAGAAAGAAAUUCUUUUCCUAUAGCUAAACUAAUGCACACGAUCAAAUCUAACACUGACAUUUGUUCUUGGAGCCAGACAGAAAGCCAAGUACAGAUACAGAGUGUUUUCAAGAUGGGAUUAUUUGGUGUUUUUAACUAUUUGAGUUGAAUGAUGAAAACACAUGACUUCAACAAUGACAAACCAAAUUGGUUAGUAUCCUGCUUAAUAACCGUAGUUUGCUCCAUUCACCGGGCCAUAGCCUCCAGUGUGGCUUGCAUGUGCUGGGUUGGAUGCAGGAGAUGCAUACAUCGAACCAUGAGCUGCAUAAGAAUUAUAGCCUGGGUCAGCAGAUCCACCAGUUUGGGCCUGUGCUGGUGCAGCAGCUUCAGCCAUAAAAUUCUGCAACACAAACAAUCAUUACAAGCAGACAAGUCCAAUUUGAUUACAUAAUGAAGCAUUGACAAAGAAUAAACAAAAUUUUAAUGGAAAAAUCGACUUUUUUGGUUGAGUAAGAUCCCAAUAAAACAAUAAUUAAACAAUUCUAUAUUAUAAGUAAAAAUCAAUGAUGAAGCUAAAUGGAAAAGAAUGAAGUCCAACUGUCUGAAUUGCUGACCACACUUAACAUUUCAAUAAUAUAUAUCCUAUAAAAAAAAUUCUUUAAUUCUUUAAUUCUAGUAAUAAAGUCGGUCCCACCAUACCUACCCCCACACGCACCCAAACACCACAUACAAGGAGACAUCAGAAACAAUGAUCUAAUGCUAAGCAAUGUCAUUAUGCAAAUGGAAACUGCAAUAUUAGCAAAGACAAACCAACAACUUGGUAUCAAAAACAGGGAGGAAGAGUGCCUGUAUCAGUUGCUGAGCUGCUUGGACUUGGGAAGCAGUUCCAUUGAUUCACGUGGCUACAAAAGACUCUUUAGGAGAAAGUUGAGGAGUUCACAUGUGUAUAGGAAGAUUGAUUCACAAGGCCCUUGAAAAUUUUCUAUUUAAAGCUCUUGUAAGGAAAAUGGGAGACAUAUCUUCCUUCUCCAUCAUUCCUUCUUUUCUCAUUUCUUUUUUCUUGAUAUAAAGCUAAGGAUUCUCUCAUUUCUUUCUUCUUCAUUGUAAGUUACUUGAUUGAAGCCAAAAUAUGUGCUCCAAUGGCACAUAUAUGAUGUUAUAAUUUAUGUAAUAUAAAAAGUUCAAAUCAUCCAACUUAACUUAAUUUCAUGCUAUGGCCAUAGUUAUGGAUCUAACUUUUAUUUUGAGCCUAAUUCUAAGUUUAAGGGAUGACAUAAAUGGAUAAGUGCAAAAGUCAUUAUCAACCAAGAAAGUAGAAGGGGUUAAACUAUAACUAAGAGACUCAAGACUUAUGAACCAUGAAAGUCCAAGAAAGGGUGUAAGAAGCAAGCCAUAGGCAUGAAAUACCAAUAGUAGAUGUUAUGGAUUGAGAUAGCAACUUCCUCAUGAUCAAAGACUGGAAAGUUUUUUUAAAGAACUUAGAAUAAAAUGUUGUUUUUAGCUACCAAGGCACAUAUAUGACCAGAAAAUUCAAUUAAGGCAACAUAUUUCUUCUGUCUUUUUUUUUUUUUUUCUUUUUUUUCAAGUUUCACAUAUGUAAAGAGAAAUAAAGCAGUGGAACCAAUGCAUAAUCUAAAAUCAUCGAAUUUCGAUGCACAUACCUUUUUUAUUUUCUCCCAGAUCCAUAUUUGAUUGGACAAUGUCGAUAGCCUUCAAAUAUUUCUUGUUUGAUGCCUUCUUAUCCACUCUACGAUCUCCGAGCUUUGACCCAAAAUGCUACACUUUAAAAAAAAAAUCCAUAAAGUAAACCUAAUGUGAAAAUAAUGCCCAAUCUAGUGCAUUUGUGCCACAUAGAUUGCCACAUCAUAAAACCGUAAUUGGUAACUACGGUUUUAUUUUUUUAAAACAUUCAAAACUGUAGUCACCAACCACGGUCUUAACUUUUUUAAAGUUAAAACCGUGGUUGGUAACUACGACUUUGACUGUUUUUACAAAUAGUCAAAGUCGUAGUUACCAACUACGGUUUUAACUUUAAUUCUAAAACCGUAGUUGGUGACUACAACUUUGACUAUUUUAAAAACAGUCAAAGCCGUAGUCACCAACUACGGCUUCAACUUUAAUUUUAUAUAUAUAAAUAAUUAUAUUGCUUGAUUUAAAAUAUUUAACUUUAAUUUAUUUAAAUAAAAAUAUUAUAUUAUUUUGAUUUUAGAUUGACUAAAAAUAUGUGAGUGGUUUAAUAAAAAUAUUUAACUUUAAUUGAUCUCAUUAUUUAAAGAAUAAUAAUAUAUGAAAUUAAAUAAUUGAUGUCUUUAAUUUAAUAUAAAAAUAUUUUGGUUUAGUUUUAUUAAAAUAUUUGACACUAUACUCAAUAUAAAUAUAAUUAGUUAUAAAUAUACUAUUUUAUGCCCUCAUAAUGAAGAAUAUUAUAUUAUUUUGUAACUUUGUACAAAAAGUAAAGCCAAUUAUGCAUUUGUACAAAACAUAAUAUGACUUCAAGUGGGUAAAUAAUUGGAAAAUUACUUAAAUACAACAAAAAUAAUUUUAUUUUCUCCAAUUUUUUCCUUUCAAAAUGGGAUCAAAAUGGAAUGGAAAGGCUUAAAAUUUUAAACUUAAAAUGCCAACCUAAUAGAAUUUGUUUUUCCACUUCUUAAAAUAUAGAAUUGUAGAAAGAAAAUACCUAUGUUUUUCCAAUCAAUUCACCAUUUAGUUUAACUGUUUUGGUAAAUAAAUGAAAAUGCUUUUAGAACAUUUUUGUAAAUUCAUUGAGAAUAAGAAAAAUGUUCCUUAUUGGGUUUUAACGGGAGUUUUGGACAAAAAUGAUUUCUUCAAAACAAAAAAUUCAUAAAUUAAUUUUAUUCUCAAAAUAAUUUUCAAUGUGAUGUGUGUCUUAUUCAUGAGGGUAUUUACAUCAUAAAACUGUAAUUGGUAAUUAUGAUUUUUGAUUUUUUUUUAAAUAGUCAAAAUAGUAGUUGGUGAUCAUAGCUUUAAAUUUAAACCUAAAACCAAUUUUUUUAAGUUCAAAUUUUAAACCAUGCGAAUGUUCAAUUUUUUAAGAAUUAUUUUGAUUGGAGGUUAAGAUUGUAAAUUAGUUUUAAUGCAUUAUUUUUUCUAUAUUGAUAUAGUGUUGUUGUAACUAAUUAGUUACAAAAUUUUAGAUUGUAGAAUUGCUAUAUAUAUAUAAGUUCAAUUUAAGUUUAAAAUUGAUCAUAUUUUCAUUUAAAUAUAUAAUAAUUUGUUCAUAAUAAUAAUAAUAAAAAGUUAACAAUAUAAUGCAAAUGAAAAUAAACACAAAAACUAAAAACUAGUCCUCAAUGAGUGCCACAUGAUGGGGUGGGUCUUCCUCUUUCUUUGCGGACACCUAUGAUACACAGACAUCUUUGUGGAAUCUAACUGUGCAAUCUGCCAUGUCUUAGUAUGUAUAGGUUGAGAUGGAGCUGAUGGAGGCAAGACUCGACGUCUACGUGGACCACGAUGUCUCCUAGGUGGACAUACAUCUAACUAUGUAACAUGUGUAAGGGUAUGAUGCAUGGUAGUCUCUAUGGGAAGAGGUGUAGGUGAUGGUAAAGUGGUAGAUGGUGGGGUGAUCUCAGGUACAGUGAUAUCUGAUAUGGUAGCAUCUAAGAGAGGUGAUAUAGGAGAUGAAAGAAUGACAUCUACUAUAGUGGUAGCUGGUGCAAUAACAUCUGAUAUAGUAGGCUCGAGGAGAGAAAAUAUAAAUGAUGAUGGUGAGGUGACAUGUGGUGUAGUGGUCUCCUCGAGACAAGGUAGAGGUGAUGGUAGAUUAGUAGAUAGUGGGGUAGUCUCUGGUGUAGUGACAUCAGGUAUAGUGGCGUCUGUGGGAGGAAAUAUAGGUGAUGGUAGAGUGCUAUCUGAUACGACAUGCUCUAAGGGAGAAGGUCUAGGUGAAGGUGAUGGUAGGGGUGAAGGGGGAAGUGUGGAAACCUCAGGCGCAAAUGGGGUAGAUGAUGUAAAUGGUGCUAACAUGGUCUCGGGUGGAUGCAUAGAUCAUCGAGGUUGUCGACCAGUUCGCCCACCAUCUCUCCUACUAUCUCUCCCUCGGCCUCGAAUAGGCUACAUCCUAACUGUAGUGGCUAACACAGGUGGUCUCAUAGAUGGGUAUGAUGAUGUAGGCGACUGACGGGCAAAAUGUAUGCGAUGGUCCUCACCAAUAACAUGCAAAAUAUCAAUAGCAAUCCGAUGAAUGUCGCCUAAUGCACCUGAAGUAGGCUCAGCAGAUCGACUAGCAAUCUCAACCAUACCAGUGAUCUAUUAAAAAAAAAAAAAGUUAAACAAACGAAGAUGAUUUUUAAUUAAUUAAAAUUUAAUAAACCAUUUAUAAAUUAAAAAAAUCUUACCAACAACUGAGUAGUUGCUGCUGUACUAUGAUACCUCAUCUGAUCUCUAUAGAGAGGGGGUGUGAUCAAACGUCGUGUAAUACGUCGGUACCACUCCAUAUAUGGAUCAUGAAACUGCAUAGCACCCACCAUAGGUGGUGCCGUCACAAUACGCUCCGCACAACUAGCUCAUAAGGUAAUAUACUGUGCAUGAAAUGCCUCCCAAUCAUACUUAUGUCGUCCUCGCCUAUCCACGGAAUGGAGGUGUUGCUCUAUGGAACAAGAUGGAGGUAUCCCUUGUUGGAGGCCAAACUGUCGCAACACUCGCUCCAGUCGAUGCCACUCGACAAUGUCAAAGCAGAUAAGAGGUGUCAUCAUCCUCCAAAUCUCCUAGUCUGCUAGAGAUAUCGCUGGAAGAUGGGCAACUAAGUCUCCCAUGUAAGGCUCCCAUAAAACUUGUUAAAAUCAAUAUUUGAAAUUAAUAAAGUUAACGUUUAUAUGGUUAACAAUAGCACAUUAGAUCUUAUAUGUACCUGGUCAUGGGUCUGUGCAUCUAAUUGGUCUCGAUAAAAUGUCAACACACGUGAUGGGUUUUGAGCCCAUGAUAAAGGUACUUUCCACCUACAUCCUAACAGAUCAGCUAGUAAACCCUCGUGUAACAAUGCCUCAUCCUGUAAUCCCUGCUCUAAAUGCUCAGUUGGUAAAUCAUCAACUGCAUCAUGCUCUAAAUGCUGGGCUGCUGGAGGGGCUGGUGGUUGACCAAAAUCGAGUUGACCCAGGUGGAGUCUCUCCCAAGACCAUAACUGCAAAAAAAUGUAACAUUAAAAUUUUACUUAAAUUAAAAACUUGAAACAACUAGAAAUUUCAAUCUAAUGUGAAUAAUUAAUUAUACCUGUAAUAGUGUGACACAUCCAGCAAUAUCGGUGGCACCAUCCAAACUCACUCGACACAACUCCCUAUAUAGGUGUGCUAAUACUGCACUACCCCAACUAUACAUAGAUGUUUGAGUCAAGUCUCUAAGAAGUGGGAGAUAACACAUAUGUAUGUGAGUACCCUUCUUGUCUGUGAAUAGCGUUGAACCUAUGAGUCCUAAUAUGAAAGCCCAUGCAUAUUGCUCUAAUGUGGCAUCAUCUAAAUCAAUUGGUGGAUGAGAGAACUGGUGACAUAGUCAUCGUGUCGAUAUCGCUGAUCCUUUAAUCUCAGAUGUAAGGGGAGUCACCCCUAAAAGUUCAUAACAUAGCAAUGACCAAUCUAUAUCACAUGUGCCAGUGAUGGGAAGCCCAUGAAUACGAAGACCUAAUAUGACAGCAACAUCCUGUAAAGUAAUGGUCAUCUCCCCAACAGGUAAGUGAAAUGUGUGUGUCUCAGGACGCCAUCUCUCAACUAGACUAGUGAUCAAUCCGCAAUCUAGUGUAAUGUGUCUAAUACGAUAUACAUCAUAAAAUCCAGAUCGAAUAAUAUAAGGUCAAAGACGAGGAUCCAUCUUCCACUCCUGCAUAAACCUAGAUAUAUGUUGUUGACAAGUCAAGAUUGAAGCAAGCUGUAAAAAUACAAAUAAAUCAUUUAGAUAAUAAACUGCAAUUUUUUUCAUUCUUUAAAGAGAUAUUAUGUGUUUUCAUAUACAUACCUGACCAGAGUCAACUAAAUGAGACCUAUGUCUAUCAUGUAGAACCAAAAUAGACGUAUCUAAUGGAUCUGGAUCAGAACUAUGUCCUCUAUACUCCAUAUCUGUAACAAAAUUGUGAAGAUAAAUAAACAAUACUUAUUGUUUUUAAAUAAAAAAUAUUUUUAAUGGAAAAGUUUUAAAAAUUUAUGGAGUUUUCCAUAUAUUAAGUAUAUAUCAGUUUGAUAAAUUUAAGUAGAUCAAUUCAUUUAUGACCAAUAAACAAGUCAUACUAGUUUAAAAUAAAAUUAGAGAUACAAAUACAAUGAAGCAUUUUGUUAACAUUUUUAAUAGAAAAUUUCAAAAUUUUGACAGAGUUUCCCCUAUAGUAUGGAUAUUAUUCCAAAUACAAAUAACAUGAUUAGGCAAAUAACAUCAAUAUUUAUAAUCAAACCAAAGCCAAUAAUUGAAUAAAGGUAGUAUCAUAGUAGCUUACAUCACAAUAUCCAAGAAAAUUACAUGCACACAUCACAAGGUCUAAUCAACUCUAUUACUGUUUUGACAAGAAUGACGAUUGUGGCCACUUUGUUUGCAUAACCCACAUGUAAUAGAAGUCUUGCCCUCUCUAACAUCCAUUUCAUUAUGCAAACGACUUGAUUUAGGUCGUCCACUCGAUGCACGUUUCAUCGACUUAGAAGGCAUGAUAAUCGGGCCAUCAUAAGGAGGCCACUCAUAUACAUUGAAAAUGGGAUGGAACAAGGGUGCCCAAGUAUUAUAGUACGAUUGUGUACUGUAGUAGUGUUGAACAAGUGGUCUAAAAUCAACUGAACGAAAAUGACAUGCUGCUAGAAUAUGACUACAUGGGAAUCCAUAUAUGAGUGUUUUACCACACAUGCAUGCAUACUCCUGUAAGUUGACGCGAUAUGUUCGACCACGAGUUGAGCUACUCUUAGUACCCCUAUUACUCUUCACGUGGAAUUGUCCUUAGAUGUGAUCAUAUAAAAUAAUCUCAUAAGAUCCCACCUUAACCACAUUUGCCUUCAUCUUAGCAUCAACAUAUGGAGUGUAUUCCUCACUUGAAGCAAGUCGAUUAGCACCUUGUUCCCUUCUCACAACAAAGUAACUAUUUAGCCGAAAAAAUGUCAAUUGAACCAAAGCAGUUACGGGUAAGCUACGAGCCCCUUUAAGCACACUAUUGAACACCUCCGACAUGUUUGUAGUCAUGAUGUCGUACAUUCGACCUCCGUCAUGAGAGAGUGUCCAUUUCUCAAAAGGGAUUGCUUCCAACCAUUGUUGUGCGGCUGCAUUAAUCCUCCCAAUUGUGUUCAUAUGUUUAUUGAAUUUUUCAAUCUUGGUUGCUAAGGCUCCUCUGCACAUAAGAUUUUUCAAUAUUUUAUCCUUGAAUCGAGUCAUAAAAUUGCUAGCAAGAUGACGCAUACAAACCCUAUGAUAUGCGUAUGGCUCAGACCAACCAAGAUGAACAUCGCUCAUUGCAGCCAUAAUGCCUGGAUGUCGAUCUGAUAUAACACAAAGUUUCCUCCUAUUAGUGACUCUUGUUCUAAUACAUGCCAAAAACCAUCCCCAACUAUCAAUAUUCUCACCCUCUGUUAGGGCAAAAGCCAAUGGGAAUAACUGAUUAUUUCCAUCACAACCCAUAGCAAUCAUUAAAGUGCCUUUAUACUUCCCAUACAAAUGUGUACCAUCAAUACUGAGUACAGGCCGACAAUGCUUGAAUCCUUCAAUAGAUGGUUGAAAUGUCCAAAAAACUCGUUGAAAUAUUUCUGUAUUCUCCAUAAUACCAGGAAAUGUUUUUGAAAUUACAACACAUCCUGGAUUUGCCUGCUCUAAGGCAAUGAAAAAAUGGGGCAGCUCUGCAUAUGACUUAUAAAAAUCACCAAAUAAGUUUGUAAGAGCUUUAAGCUUUGCUUUAGAUGCAUUCUUGUAUGACAUUUGGUAUCCGAAUUUCUCCACAAUACUUGCUUGAAUAGCAGCCACUGAUAAUGUGAAUUGUGCCUUAAUCAUUCCUUGGAUAUGAGCAGCAAUCAAGUUGGAAUCUAAUUGUUGAUGAUCCCGAUUCAAGCAAGGAUUUACACAUUUGUGGGGACCAUUGUGUUUAUUGAUUGCAAAUGAAGUUGUACCUUUUACAACCAUAGCAUGAAGUUUCCAUGGACAUUGCGAUUGCUCAGCCUUCUUGCAUCUUAGGACCAACAACUUUGUAGUUGACGAAACAACAACGUACUCUUGGUGUUGACUUAAAGAGUACAACUUCGCAGCAUGUUGUAAAUCUGCUUUUGAAUUAAAAACUUGGCCAACCAUGAACUCUCCACCUGAGUUUCCAAUAUUAGUGUUCCCUCAUGGGGUCCAGUCACUUGAAACGGCGUUACCAAUGUUUUCUACAUUUUCAAACUGCAAUGAUGGUGCCGAGUGAUACUGAACAGGGGAAUACUCUAUUGGAUCAUCAGGAUCUGGGUUAUUUGACAUAUCACAACAUUCCCCAUCCACGGAGACAUAUCUCCCUUGUUCACUUUCCAUUGCUUCGUAAAGAGCUAAGAAAGAUGAAACAACAUUAACAUUAUUGUUUUCCUCAUCAAUAAAUUCAAACACCCCAUCGCCAUCAUGUUGAACAUCUUCUGCUCUCUCACUUUGAUCAUCACCUUCUUGGGAUUCACAUUCUUCUUCAUUUUCAUUUGCUCUACACUCAUAAGUCAUUGCAACUGGGGCACUACUAGGUCCACAACCAUACUCAAAUUCCUCAACAUUAUCAUUUUGUCCGAGUAAUAAUUGUGUGAAGUUACCCAAAAAUUGCCCCCUCUCCCGUGGUUGUAUUGGCACUUGUUCAAUAUACAAUUCAAUUUCGUCCAUUCCAAAUGUGUUAACCAAUUUCAACAUUUGAGAUAAACUAUUAUCAUCCCAUAUUGGACAAGGUUGAAACCUAUUUUCCCUUUUUAAAGGAUAUCUACAGUUGAGGACUAAUUGAAAUUGUUUUUUGUCAAUGCCAGUUCUCGAGUAUAUCCUAGAUAACAAGUGUUCAUAGGUUGAACUAACAGGCACAUCCAAAGGCACAAUUACAACUAGAUCCCCAAUAUACUUUACAUCUGUUUCUGUCCUCAACAUUUUUCCUUUACAAAAGCAAAUCACAAGAACAAUAGAUUCAGACAUGAUUUACCUACAAAAAAUACAAUAUCAAAUGGUUUAAUAAUCAAUGAAAAUAAUAGCAAGAGAAAUUGCAUAUAAUAUUUUAACAUGUGAAUACACAAUUAUAUAAUAAAACACAUUUUUACACAUUAGGAGGAAAAAUAUAAAUCACUUCAUAAUAAUAAUUUUUUUAUUUAAAUAGUUAUCUAUGAUACAAAUAUAAUCAUAGAUAAAUGUUUUAUAGAAUUUUAAUUUAAAACUUAGGUAGUGGGCUAUAAAUCAAUAAAUGUUGAGUUAAAAAAUUACAAUAAUCUUAAAAUUAAAUAAAAAAUAAUCCAUCAAAAAAAAAUUUUAUUAUAAAAUAUCAUAUAUUAAAAUAAAAUUGAACGUUAUGAACUAUUAAAUAAUACAUAAUUUAAAUAAUUAUGUUAUUAUUCAUGAAUCAAUUGAUAUUUGAUUAAAGCUAAAAGUCGAAAAAAAAAUCAAAAUCAAAAUCAAAUGAAAGUAACUGACAAAAAAAAAUAUAUUAAUAAAAUAUCAAUUACACAAUUAUAAAAAUUUGAUAUAUGUGUUUAUUCUGUUUUUGGAAAGCUAGGUCCCUUCUUUUGACUAGUUUCAUUGAUCAGGAGCUGUCUAGAUGAGAAAUUGUGUGUGAAGAUGAAUCAAAAACCUAGGAUAAAUCAACAAUUUCAUAUGAAUUACCAAAUUGCAGAUCUAAAACAGGGGACAACAUGGGAUAUGGGAAGCAUGACCUCAAAAAGAUAGUAGAACCAAGGAUGAGACAUCAGUUUUCAUGGAUAUAUCGGUAGUUGGAUUUUACGAAUAUACUAGGAUAUAUCGGGAAAUAUCAAUGGAAAUUUUGACAAAUAAAUCGAUGGAAGAAAUUUUGAGGAAAAAAAAAAAGAAAAAACAAGAAAUAAUAUGCAUAUUCAAGUUAUUACUUUUAAAUUAUAUAUAUAUAUAUAUAUAUAUAUAUAUAUAUAUAUAUAUUAUUUCUAAUAUUCGAUAAUAAAUUAAUAAUAUAUAGAACUUGAAAGCACAUUUUACAUUGAUAUAUCUAAAAGAUACAAAAGAAAUGAUGAUAUAUGUAUGAUUUUUAAAAUAUUUGAAAUUUUUUUUUCUAUUAAGUUUAAUUAAUAAAAAAAUAUGAACAAAGACUCAUUAAAAAAUUUAUGAUAAUCAUUUUUAUAUUUUUUAUACUUAAAUCAAAUUUGGAAAUAAGAUAAUUAAAAUUAAAUUAUUUAUUAGAUGUUUAUUUUAAUAUCUUAUGUAUGAUAAAAAUGUAUUAAAAAUAUAUUUGUCUCCAAAAUUCCUUUAUUUUUUUUAUUAAAAUGAGAAAAAUAAAAAUUUGUGUGUGUGUAUAUAUAUAUUUAUUAACAAUUGUAAAAAAAAAAAUCACAUUAGUCCCACUGGUCAUGAACUCUUUUGCCAUGUAUAAGAACAAGGGGGUUUGAGUUUUUAAUAUGGUUUUCCCAAAAUUUAAAUUAUUUAUGUUGUCUACCAUAUGAAGUAACAACCAUCUGGAGUGGCAACAAAAAGGUCAAGAUCAGAUUCUGAUGGCUAGGAUAAAGGCCUUGAACCCACCUUAAUAAUAGCAACCAUUACUUUGUUUUCGUGUACACUCUUUCCUCUCUAAAUACAAGGCAAAAAAAAAAAAUUGUUUAAAUGAAGGGCUCUCAUUUUUUCUUCUUCAAAAUUGGCAACUUCCAUACAUAUCAAGAAGAUAACUAUUAGGCAAAUACUAAGUGGAAGGAAAUUAACAAAAGUUGAACUGUUACAAACUUAUACUAGAGGCCUUCUACUCCAAGUGUACUAAGCCUUUCAUUGUACCAUGUAUAUUGUGAAAAGAUCAUAAGCUUAAAGCUACUAUACUUUUUCUCUUUUUCACAUUAAUUACUUUUCUGCAUGGAAAAUGAAAGCAAAAGAGAAAAACAUGUCCCUUGACACUUUCCAUACCAAACAAUCCAUGGUCAGCGUUUUUGUCUAUUUUACUUGUAACUUUUAUGCACUGCACCUCAUUUACCAUUUUUGUAUUUCUCAAAAACUAGCUAGCUAGGUUCUGUUUGACAGCCUUUAAUUGGUAGGAAUAAACUUCUUUUUGAGAACCCAAAUAUAGAAGUUUUUUUUUUUUGCUCGAGAUACUGUACACUUAAGAAAUAGUACAAAAUUUUCCAACUUAUUCUCAUUAUUUUUAGAUUAUUUUUCAAAACACUCUACAAAAAAAAUAUGUGAAAAAUCCUUAAACUUAUUCAAACAAACCACUCUAUGUUUAGAAUAAAUUUUCAAAAGCUAUUUCCAGUCUACAACUUACCAAACAUUGAAAAACCAUUGUUUGUUCUAAAAACAAAACUUUUUUAGAAAAUAGGCCCCCUAAAGGAUCCACAAGAUGAAUAGGGCAAAGAUCAAGGAGAUCAAUAAAAAAUGAUCAGACAGUGAGAUCUAUUAACAUAGUGCUCAAUCUAAACAACCUUGUUCACAAAAAAAAAUAAAAAUAAAUAAAAAAAUAGGUCUAGUUUUUUCAUGAGUUUUACAGUGGUAUGUAUUCAAAUUUCCAUGGAAUGUUUUUGACAAUGAGAAACGUAAGAUUGAACCCACAAGAAGAGAGAAAAACCAAGCUUUGAAGCUUACCUAUCCACAAAUACAGGAGAGCAACCUCAGAAGAAGAAGAAGAAGAAGAAGAAGAAUAUGCUUGUACUAAAGCUUUUGAUUAAGGUUUAAUUUGGAAGAGAAUGGCAAAGAGAUUCUUGAGGUAAACCAAAACAGUAGCAGGAGAAGGAGAAGAAGAAGAAGAAGUAGAAAGAAUAACUAAAAAGGAAGUUGAUCAUGAGCCCUGCCCUUCAUUCAAUUCAUCUGUUUCCCAUGAAAAUAUAUAUGAUGUAAGUCCGAAUAUUGGCUAAAAAUCCAGAAACACAGAUAAUAAAUUUAAAAAUUAUUUUUUACAUUGGGGGUUUCAAGUAAAAUUUUGAAAAUAACUGACAGAUAGUUUAAAAAAUUAUCCUCAAAAAUUGUUUUUUAUAACAAUUUUUAAAAACAGUAUUAGACAAGUUCUAAUAAUUUCUUACUGAGUGGGAGAAUGAGAGAAAAUACAAAUAAAAUAAUUAAAAAUCUUAUAUAUACCAACUGAUGAAGGAUUGAAUGUUCUAGUUUUCAACUUUUCAUUAGUUCAAUAAAAUUACAAUAAAAGGAAUGAGAAUUUCUGCAGAUGCAAAGAAGAGAAUAGAUUUAACAAUAAAAAAUCAUUAAAUUAUGUUUAAUCAGAAUCUCACAGGAAGUUGAAUGGAAAAAAAAUCAAGUAUCACCAAACUAAAGAACUAUAUAAACAAAUCUCAAGGUUCCAGGAAGUGGAGAACUAAACAACAAAACAUUUUGCAUAUAUUUUGAGAAUGGGUUUAAGAUUCUUGUUCAGAUAUUUGAAGAUAUACCAUCUGAGUGGUCCCCUCACUCUUGGUAACAAAUAUUUGAAGAUAUUUUCUAUUUCUAUAACAAAAAUCAUCGGAGUUUUUUUUAUAGUGGUUCCCUCCAUUUUUGGUAUCUUUAACAAAAAGAAAUCCAUACUGGUCCCCCAUUCCAUAUCCGUUUUCUUUACCAAAAAAACCAUUUUCUUUCUGCUAAGCUCAAAAUCAAAAUAAAAUCAAACAUGUCUUUACCAAACAGAAACCAAACAAAUCUGUAACAACAAACCAAACAAAUUUACAAAAAAAAUAAAAUAAAAUUUACGAUUAACUGAAAAAUUCAUAAAUCUUACCUGACAACGACUUCCAAAAUUUGAAUUUGAACCAAGGAUGCAAAGGGAAGGAUGAAACCCUAAAGGGAAGAACGAAACCUUAAAGGGAAGAACAAAAGCCUAAAGGGAAGAAAGCCAAUCGGGGAAAUGGAGAAACCUAAUGGGAAAGGGACGAAAAAGGAAUUCAAAACUGUAGUUACCAACUACGGUUUUGACCAAUUUAAAAAAAUUCAAAACCGUAGUUACCAACUACGGUUUUAUGAUGUGGCAUUCCACAUGGCCCAAACGCACUAGAUUGGGCAUUAUUUUCAUAUUCGGUUUAGUUUAUGCAUUUUUUUUUAAAUGCGGCAUUUUGGGUCAAAGCUCACGAUCUCCGGCCAAAAUCCGGAUGCUGUUGUACUAUCCGUACAUAGCAGCUAGAUGCAAAGUCGUGUUGCCUUGAUUAUCUAACUCAUUUAUUAGGCUUUCCCAUCUUGGUUCUUUUAGAGUAUACUUCAUCACUAUAGACUUCCCACAUUGGGCUGCAACGUGAAGAAUGGUCCAACCUUUAUUGUCAACCAAAUUAUUAGCACAUGGACAGCGUUUGAUGAUCUCUGCCAUCAUAUCAGGGUAGCCUUUUUUAGCUGCUAUGUGAAGAGCAGAACUAUCUUCUUUAUCCCACAAGUAAGCAACUGAUUUAUCACAUUCCAGCAAUUUCCUAGUCGCUUCAAGAUGUCCCAAUUGUGCAGCAUAAUGAAGGGGAGUCCACAUAAAUAUGUCUGUUUCUGUGACCAUAUCUUUCUUUUUGUCCAGUAGUAUUGCAAUAAUGUCAUCUAGCAAUUUAGACCAAGAAAAAGAAAUAUAAUUAAAACAGACUUUUUCAUCCAGAGUACUUUUAGAAAAUAUAUUACGUUCUUUUUAUUUUAAUAUCAGAUAACGGCUCAGGAUUACUUCCCCAUGAGAAGGAUCAGGCAUUAUGCAAUGAAUUUUCCCAUCAAUUAUAAAGAGGGUAGCUACUAGCCAGUGUGGCAUAUAUUGUAAAAGUAAUUGUGUGAUUUUCUUUCCCUGGUCUUACUACUUUUCUAGUUUAGUUAAGCUCUCCACCUAUCAAUUAGAAAAGCAGAAGUAAAGGUUUGGGCUUGGGUAAGUAUUCUUCAAAAAUAAUUCUAAAAAAUAAUUUAUAAGAACUAUUGAAAACCAUUUUCUGAUGAUAUUUUAUAAAACAAAAGUUCUAAUGGCUGUAUUAUUAUGCUUGGUUGGAACUAAUGAAUACAAUUCUGAUGACUAUCUGUCAUAAGUAUAGGAAGGCCAUGCACUCCAUGUAGAUUUGUUCGGCGUCUGUCAGGAAUCAAGAAUCAGUUAAUGGGGCUCCGAAUGUUCUACUAGCCUUGCCAAAAAGUACUUCAUGAGGCUAAACUCAUCCACACUAAAGUGGUGUUUUUUUUUUUUUUUACUUAAUUCUAAAUAGAAGUUUAAUGCUUAAUAGCGUUAAGUAUUAAGUUAUUUAUUUUUAUAAUACUUUAUUUCUAUUAAGCAUUAAAAAGUAAAAAAAAAAAAAAAAAUCAACAUAUCACUUUUUCUAUUCAAUAAAAAGUUUAUAAUAAAUCAUGAAAAAAUAAAAAAACAAAUGAUCUAAAGUUUGAAAGCAAAUUGCUUUUAGCAAAAAACUAAAAAAAACGCUCUCUAAGUCUAUAGAUUUAUGUGUUCUUGGCUUUGUAUAUCUUAGACAUGUUGGAUAAUGGUGUAACAAAGAUUUCUCCAUUUUUUUCUUAUGCAUUUUCUUCUACAAUAUUUUUCAAGCAUCCCGUUGUAGGGAUAUUUACACAUAGUGCAAUUUUGCUUUAUUUUUGUUGGCAACUUCUUCUCUCUGUUGUAUUAUUCCAAGUACCUUAUGUUACGUCUGACUCUAAAAAAUUAUUAAAUGAAGGAAAAAUAUCAAGAAACUUAUUAUUAUUAUUAUUAUUAUUAUUAUGUUUAGUUUAUCAAAAAUUAUUAAAGGAAGGCAAAAAUUGUUAAAAAAAAUAAUUUUUAUUAUAAAAAAAUUAGAAAAAUAAAUACAAUUAAAAUAGGUUAAAAAAAUUAUAUAUGUCCAAAUUAUUUUACAGUUGUGUAAAAAGGAAGAAAAAAAAAAUGAGAAAAAUGAAUUUGAAAAAAUAUUAUUAAUAAUUUUUUAACUUUCAAUUAAUUUUUCAUCUUCCUUUAUUUUUGUUUAUGUUUUCCUUGUCUAGUAUAUUCCUUCAAAAUUUCUAAGAAUCAAACAUGUGGGUUGCGGACUGGUUCGCUGGCCUGCUGGCCUGCUUGCCCGCUUGCCUGGUCCAAGCAUGAAGUUGGGUUGACCUCUAAUGGUCCCUUGGUGGACCAACCCACCAACCUAACCAAACGAAGGUUGCUACCUUGGAUCAAGUGUCUGGGAUUUGAGUAAUAUCUUCUCCUGGGUUAUUAAAUUUUUAUUAGUUUUCAACGGUUUUCUAUUUGUAAUGAUUAAAUUUUUAUUGUAAAAAUGGCUCAUAAAAACAUUGAUUAUCCUAUAACAAUGUUCCAGAAGCAAGAGAUUAUUUACCAUAGCUUUGAACCGCUAAUUUUGAAUAUUGAAAUAAGUGGAAAUAGAAAUAAAUACUAUUAUUAUGUUUAACUUUAUGAAAAUUGUUGUAAAUGAAGUGGUGAAUGACCACAUUGAUGGUCAUUUAUGAACUCCAUUCACUACUACAAAAAUAGUUUAUGGUGUCACUAUUUACGGUGUCACUUUUAAAAUAAUGACACCAUAGGAUUUAUAAUUAAUAAAGGUGACACAUCAUAUAAAAAAUCUUCAAUUGAGGUAGUUAGAUGAUAUUAAUUUUAUAUUUAUAGUGUCAUUUUUUGGGAAGUGACAUCAUAUAAAAUAAUUUUUUUAAGUAUUAUAACCCAUUUUUAGAAUUAAUAAUGAUGGAUACUAUAUAAAAAUCCCAUUGUUUCCAUAUCUCACCCACAAUCCAAAAAAUCUCAAUAUAUAAAUCCUAUAUAUAAAAUCGUGAUCUUCUUCAACCUUUUCUCUCACCCAUAGUCAACAUGCUCACAACCGACAUUCUUCACUUUGUGGACUCCCAAGUAACCCAAAAUCUCUUGGAUCUAUCAUUUUUUUUUUCUUUUAUUAAUGUCAUUAUAUUAAUUGUUUCAACAUCUUUGUAUUAUGAUUUUUGUGAAUUGUGUAUUCUUGAGUUGUAGGGAAGAAAAAUUUAGGUUUAAUCUUCUAGCGUAGAAGAAAAAACUGUAGAUUAAUUGAUUUUUUAAUCUAAACCAAACACAUGAUCAAAUCCUUAAAAAAAGUGAAAAACAGAAAAAAAAAAUGAAUGAUUUUUAAUAUCUAUUUGUGUGAGAAUGACAGGCACAGAAUUUUUUUGAGAUAUACUAUCACAUAAUCUUCAUCCUUUCUAAAAAACGAGAGAGGAAAAAAAAUGAUUUUUCUGUUUGUAUCUAAGUGGGAAUGAGAUAUAGAAUUUCGUUGAGAGUAUCCAACCCCAAAAGGACCAAUUCGGGAAGGCAUGUGUGGUAUUGGCGGAAGAUGAUAAGAUGGAAAUCAUAACCAUAGCCAUGUUCGAUCUCUCUAUGUCUUUCUAUCCUCUUCAAUUAAUUCAUGGGCAUAGAUAUUUUAUUUAGUUUUUAUAUUUAGUUUAUUUAGUUUCUAAAAUCCAAUUAGCUAGAUUUUUUAUUUGAUUUUAUUUUUAUAUUUAAGUAGUUGAGUUUUGGAAAGUUUUUAUAUUUUGUUAAUAGAAAUAGAAAUUUUUAUAUUUUUUAUUAUUAGGAAUUUCUAUUUUGUUAAAUUGUAAGUAUCUAUCUCAAUAAGAGAUUAUUAAUAUUCAAAUGAAAGUGAUGAAAGAGAGUAAAUAUUUUAAUGCUCAAUUAUAUUUUAAUGUUUUUUUUUUUUACAUAAGGGUUUAUUUAUGUUUUCAAUUUUGAAGUUCCCUUUCCAAGUCCAUCAACAAAAGUAGUGUCCAACCUUAAAAUGGGCAUGUGUGGUAUUGACGGGAGAUGAUAAGAUGGAAAUCAUAACCAUAGCCAUGUUCUCUCUGUGUCUUUCUAUCCCCUUCAAUUAAUUCAUGGGCAUAGAUAUUUUAUUUAGUUUUUAUAUUUAGUUUAUUUAUAGUUUAUUUAGUUUCUAAAAUCCAAUUAGCUAGAUAUUUUAUUUGAUUUUGUUUUUAUAUUUAAGUAGUUGAGUUUUGGAAAGUUUUUAUAUUUUGUUAAUAAAAAUAGAUAUGAGGACUUAAAAGGGUUUAUAUUUAGGUAGUGCUUGAGCCAAGGAAAAUGAUAGUCCACUAUCUUGACCCUAUGCAUCACAAACCAUGUGAGGACUUAAAGGAUAUCGUAAACAUGUAAGUUCUUCCUAUUAUUUUUCAUAGUAUUAUUUUUAAAUAAAAAAAAUACAUUCACCUCAAACACAUUUUUUUAUUAUUUAUAUAUAUUAAAACAUAUAACAUUUACCUAUUUUUAAAAUGUACCCAUUGAACUUAUUUACAUAGGACUCUUCGAAUAUCUGCAAAGAAAACAUCUAAGAGGGAGUCAUCUUAGAAACUAGUGCAAGUGACAUCCAAAAAAUUUUCUUUACACAUUAGCUUAUGCAUUUGCACCAUUUAUAUAUGUGAGUACUAAUGUUAUUUUAUAAUUGAUCGAUUAGUGUCCAAGACAAGGAGGGUUCGAAUGUGGCUACUUUGUUAUGAGAUUCAUUAAAGAGAUAAUUUUUUAUCCUACAAUUAUUGCUUCAAAGGUAUUACUUAUUAAAUGAAUUGUACAUAGUUUUAGGCUUCCAAAUGUUAUGCAUUUUAAUGUUAUUUUCUUAUUUGAUUUCAGUUUUGUGAUAAAAAAAAACAUAUUCUCAAGUAGAAUUAUAUUUCCAUUUAUUCAUUAGAAGAAGCACCCUUCGAUGAAAUUAGAGGAGAAUGGGCUACUUUUGUGCUACAACUAAUCAUGAAUCAUGUUAAUGCAUCAUGAUCACCAUGCAUGGUGAGUCCCUUAGCUACUACAUGAAUUUUUCCAUAGGUAUUGUAUAGUAAUGCUUAUUCUUUGAAUAAUGUUUCUAUUUGAAAAAAAAAAUAGUUCUUAGAUUUGUUCAUUUAUGAUAACAUCGAUCCAUGUUUAUUUUCUUCAAUAAAAAUCUCUAAAACUCAUUAAAUUUUGAAAUGCAGGUAUACACUCUUGGGAUGGUGAAAUGGAGAAUAAAAAGAAAGAAGAAGGCAACAAGAUUUUGGGUUUUUAAAUGCAACUCUUAUGUUAUACGUUGUAGGACAUAAACGUUACUUUAAUUGCAACUGAGAAAUUUAGAUUUUUAGAUGGGACUUUUAUGUCAUUUUAUGGUUAGCCGGUUUUAUGCUUAGGAAAUGGAGGUAUACAUGAAUCUUGGGAUCUUUAACAUUUCUAAAUCAUGUUUUGGUAUGUAUUCACUCUUCUUUUUUAGUUUUGAUGGGUUUGAUAUGUUGGACGUACUAUCCUUUUGUGAACAUUUGAUAUACAAAUAUUAUUAGAUGAUCAAUGUAUUAUGAGUUAUUCUAGAAACAUUACAGAAAAAUGAGUUAAAUAUAAUAUGAUUGUUAUAUUUAUGGACAAAAUAUAAAUAGGUUAAUCUUAUUAAUUCAUAAGCAUUACAAAAAUCAACAACUAAAACCAAUCAUAUCUUCCACAAUAAUUUACAAUGAUGUGAUACCAUAACUUAAAGGUGAUGCAUUUAAUGUGACAUCAUAACUCAAAGAUGAUGUAUUUAAUGUGACACCCUAUCAUCACUAGAAAUAUAUGGUGUCACUUCCAAAUGGGUCACCAUUUAUCUACUUUGGUGUCACUUCCAAAUAUGUCACCAAUUGGUACCCUCUAUGGUGUCAGUGGAGAAAGUGACGCUAUGUUGUAGUGACACCCUAUGUUUAUGGUGACUCGUUAUAAAUGUCACCAUAUACCUUUUUCCUUGUAGUGAUUUACUCAUCUUUAAGAUGAGUAAUGGGAGUUCAUAUUAUGAAGCCUAUAAAAGGCUUUUUACAAAAAAAAUAAAAUUCUCUUCCUCUCAUUCUCUCUCUCUUUCUUUCAUUCUCUCAAUUUUCUCAACUCUCUUCUCUGAUUCCUUCUUCCCAUUAUAUAUAUUGUUAAAGUAAGAUAUAUUUUAUCUCUACUACUUUAUUUGUGUUGCAUUUAUCCUUGUUUUACAACAAAAAUUAUAUUUUAGAAUAAUUUUUAUAAAAAUUAUGGUGAAUAUUUGAAGGCACCCAAAGCAUAUUAACUUGUACUUAAUAAAGAUAAGGCCAUAUUGAAUGUUUUGAUAUUGGUUUAUGAAACUACUUAGAGGAGAGUGAAUAGGCGGUCCUCUGCUUACAACACUCAAAUUGAAGUUUUAAAUAUUUUUAUUAACUCUUAAUUUAAUCAAUAUAUGUAAUUAAUAAAUAGAGCAAAGAAUAAUCUUACACUUGACAUGUGAUGUACAUGGAAAAUCAUCUACAGAAUCUAUAAAAAAAACUUGACGAUGAAAAAUUCAUGAGUCAAUUGAUCAUAGAGCAAAUUCACUAAUUUUGAUAGAAUAAAUACAUAAUCUUACCUAGAUGAAAUACUACCUUCCUUCAAGCAUCUUACACAGGUCAGUACUUACACUUGCUUUCAUGUUCAUAAUGCAAAACCCAUGUAUUCCUUAGUGAAUACCUUAAAACUUUAAGAGAUGUGAUCAACCACCAUGAACAACUUCAAACAAGAUAUGAGCUUUUGGAGUAUCAGGAAUAUGCAAAAGAUAAUAACAAUAAAUUGUAGGGUACGAUGAUGUAUGAAAGUACAAAGUUGAGCAAUGUAUGAUGGCAAAAAACUAACUAAAAAAGAUUUGAAAAGCUGACAAAUAUAGGAUAUUUAUGCAUAACAUCAAGACCGCUUAAGCCCAUUUUGUGGGCACUCGAGCGCUCCUUGUUAAUUUUAGCUUUUCUAAUUUAGCUUCAAGCCCAUUUUGAAUCUAAGUCCACUUUACACCUUAUUCAUGUCAUUAUAUUGUGAACAAGAUAACCCUACUUACCUGAACAAUCAUGUGAAUGAAUAAAAAAUGAUCACAUAUCUUCAAGGCCAGUGCAUACAUAGAGUUGAGUAAAAAAAAUAUUUGGAAUAAAAUUGUUAACUUAAACUAAUUAGUCUAGAUCACUAACACAAAUAAUAUCAAAUUUAGUUAAAAUACAAAUACACCUUCCCAUGAGCAACAUUAUUAUGUUUUACCUUCUUCAUCUUUUACAAGUUUUUAGUUAUAGAAAUAAUGAGAUUAAAAAAUUGAAGGGUAAAUUGCUCCGAUGACUAACUUGAGUGCCUUGGGGCAAUUUUUCUUUGCUUUACAUAUCUCAUAUACCUUAUUAUUGGGAGAUUAUUAAAGAUCGAAUCACAAUAGGACCAAUCCUAAAAUAAAUUCCCCAAAAUCAUUGAUAUUUGAGGCUAUGUAAUUUUUUUGCUCCAACAAGUUCAAUAUUUUGAAUAAGUUUAUCAUACAUGCAUGGAUGUACUUCAUUCUACUACUUGACUAGGGUAGCAAUCAAAAUAGAAGCAAACCUAAAAUCAAUGCUCCAAUAACGUUAAUGUUUGGAGCUUCAUAAUUUUUUUGCUCUAAUAAUUUUGAUAUUUUAGACAAAAUUAUUUUACAUUGAUCGACUUGCUUCUUUAUGUUUAAGUAAAGGGAGAGUUUUUCUUGCCUAAAUCUUGACACUUAAAGAUACUAAUAUUUAUGUUUUGAACAUGAGAUAAGGGACAAAUCACUAUCUUUAACUUGAAUUUAUGUUAAUGCAUGCUUUGAGAACUAAUACGCCAUCUUUCUUUUUUUUUUUAGUAUAAAAGCAUAAAAAGGGAGGAAAUGUAAGCAACUUGAUGUAAUUCUAGCAUUUGGGAUGGAAUGGAGGAGCAAAUAGGCAGCAAGAUGAGCCCUAGUGCUUGCUAAAGUAAAUAAAUAAAUAAUAAAAGCGAAAAGGCAAAAGAAAACUACAAAGGCAUUCUAAAUUGGUUUAGGAGUAGCUAAAAGUGAUUUGGAGAAGCCAAAAUCGAUUUCAAAAGGUUAUUUAAUCAAUGUUAAAACCAAUUUGUGAAUGAGAAUUUUCAUAUUAAUGGAGUCUCACAUCAUAAAAGCGAUUUAAAGGAGGUUGAAAUCGAAAUUCCAAUCUUAGGUUAAAAGUUAAAAUUGGUUUCCAUAUUGAAAUUUUGAUUUUAUCUUGUUGAAAUCAGUUUUUCCAAAAUUUACAGCAUAUGCCAAAUCAAAAUUUCACACUUUGGUUAAUUUGGUAUCAAAAUCUAGAUUUUAGGCAAUUUUGAUGUAAUUUCAACUAAUUAAGUUAUACGUUUGCUAUGGUGGCCAAUGAGAUUAGGCCAAGUGCCUUUUUAGGGUUAAGAUAUUUAUAUUUUCAUUUUUUUUUCAAGGUUACAAAGAGAACAUUUUUACAAUUUUGUUUGUAGUCACACUUUCUAGACUUUUGUUUCUUUCUUUUUAUUAAUAUUCUUUUUUUUUUCUUAUGGAAUUUGGGUGUGAAAUCUCAAUAUAAGAGAUUAAGAUCUUUAAUUUUGGAGAUGUAGCAUGAAGAUACAUGGAAGAUUUGGACAAGGAGCAUAAGAAAAGUAAUGUCAAAUUAAUUGAUCAUUAGGUUUUCAUUUUUACCUUAUUAGAAUGAGAUCAUCUAUGAAAUUAUGGUUAGACUAAGAUCCUAGUGAUACUUCUAAAACCAUUUGAUCACUAGUUAACAUAAUUUGAUAUACUAUCAUGAUUGAAUUGAAAAUUGAUUGUACAAGAUAGAUGAGUGGUACGAAUGUAUAAACAUAAACCUCAAUUAACCAAUCUAUAUUAUUUAUUUUAGUGAAUCAUGUAAAAAGAGUAUAAAUGUCUUAAAAUUCAAUUUGAUCCCAUAUUGACUUUGGUCUUAAACCCUAGAUCUAUGAUUUACUCUCUCUCUCUCUCUCUCUCCUUCUCUUCUUAUGAAUUUGAAGCUAAAUUUUGAAAGCUCCAGAGUUGUUAUCAUAGAUUUGUCUUAAUCAAUUUAAUCUAAAUUCGGUCUUUUUAGAAAAAUUUAUCUAUUAAAUUCACAAUUUUGGGUAUAAGAAUACUUUGUUCAAUACAUAAAUAGUCAAAUGUGUUAGUCUUUAAAGGAUGACAUCUAGAUACCAUACACCAUAACUAUCCUCUCUUUGUUUUUUCUUGGCUAUGAUUUUUAUAAUAAUAAAGAUUUUCGUUCUAAAACAAAGAGUAUCGAUAAAAAAAAAAAAAAGUGUCAUUUUUGUUAGAGAUUGACGACUAUUUUGAAUUGAUAGAUUGUCUUAGUUUUUAGGAGCUUAGAGCUUGUUUUACGACGUGAUUUAAAAAUAUCUUUCUAUUUUUCUAAAAAAAAUGACUUCUAAAAUUUAAUAGCAUUGUUUAGCAAUUGUUCUCUAGAAAUGGUUCAAAAAAAAAAUUAUGAACGUUCUCUUAGAGAACAUAGAGAAAUAAGAAUAAUAAUAAUUAAAAAAAUGAUAAUAUAAGAUUGUGGACCCCGCACUUCUGCACAUGCGUUCCACUCGAUGACGAAACUCAUUGUUUUAUUUGUUUAGUGAAAUUUUGAUUUUUAGAAAAGACUUGGAGUCACCACUUAUUUUUGUUUUAUUUUUAAGGGAAAACAAAAUAAGAAAGAAAACUCUAAGUGUGACUUCUUAUUUGGAAAAGAGGGUCUAUGGAAAACCAAACUUGGGUUUGGGGGUCAAGUUACUUAUUGGGAAGGUAUGGUAAGGACCAUAACAUCCCUCCAAACCCCUAAAAAUGAGUCUCUACUAAAUAAGGUGAAGCAAACGUGGAAAUUGACAAGGAAAUUGUUAGCCCAAGGGUUCUCCUAAUCGGGUUUUGAUGGUAACAAACCAUGGUUAAGUGACUAAUUGGUUUAAAUGUUUAAGAAUCUCAGGUACAAACCCGAAAAUUCAUCAAAGAACCAAAUGGAUAAAAGAUCGAGACGCUUAGAAGACUUGUGAUCAUAGGAAACUAAUGCAAAAUGAAUGCAUGAGUGCACUUAGGAUUUUCAUAUGUUUCAUGCACCUUAGUGAUAACCCGACUCUUGGUAGCUUGGCAUGUAAGGGUAUCAACAAAAUUUAUACCUAACGUCCUUACACUAAAGUAGCAAAGCUACUAUAGCAUAGUGGCUCUAGGAUCGAACACUGGGAAGGGUUUUUACUUUAACUGAUGAAGUUCGGAGGAUGGAGUGAACUUUUCUUAAUAAAGAUUAGGUUAAGAUGAAAACAUAAAAAGAUGAAGGUGUUGUAAACUAAACUAACAUGCAAAUAGGUUAAAAGAUGGGAAAAGAAGUUUCUCAAAGCUUUGGAUAGCCAUGCUUAACUCACCGUGUAAAAAUAGAGAUUUUGGAACUUUUCACCUCGAGUUGGGGAAGCAACUCAGGUGAUGCUUACUUCUCGAACCGGUAUGUGUUUAACAACUGAGUUUUAGUCCUUCAAAACUUACAAAAAGGGUAGCUGAACCUCAUAAAUGCCCUUUUAAUGAUAUAGGUCAUCUCCUCGACUUGCAAUACAAUGGCUCGUAGGAGAUAACUAAUGAACGUCAGUGGAUCUAACAAUAAGAAUCCACUGAGACCAAAAGGUUAUCAAGUAUUGGCCAUUCAAAGCAAGUCAGAGGGAUUAAAAGCUUUACUUUGAAUGAAAACAUUUAUGAUGCUCAACUACUUACAUUUAUGGCUUGGAAAUCUCCAUCCUGACACGGGAGCUUCACAUGGCAUCCAUUACUUCAAGAAACUAAAAGGUUUUAGCCUCUCAUCCUUGGGGAUUUCAUCCUCCAAGGAUGUUUGGCUACUAAGAAAAUAGAAAAUAGUAGAGAGAAAAAGAAAGCAAAAGAUAUUAUGUAUUUAGCUAAGUGUAAAAUUUUACAAAAGAUGGUCCCCUGGAGAAAGUUCCCCCGACCAUCCUAAAAUGAAAAUUACAAAACAAUAUAUAACAGGUUGUUUACCCCUGUAUCCUUGCUUAACAACUAAGGAAUCAUUUAAUUGGUGGAUUACAAGGAGAGAAUUGGGAUUUAGACAACAAAUAUCUGAGGCAAAAUAACAAAAAACGUUGGUCGCAAAUAUCUGGAAGCACUCAGGAGAAUUUCGCAGGCGCACAAAAUGGCUGCGAAAUUUCGCAGAUGAACAAGAUGGCUGCGAAAUCAUUUCGCAGCCGAAGGCUGAUUUCGCAGCCAAAGGCUGAUUUCGCAACCCUGCGAAAUUGGCCUUCAGCUUGGAGUGAUCUGCUUCCAUUGGCUCUAACUUCUUCAUUUCAACUCUAAUUUGCGAACCGUUUGAAGCAUUGGAUUGUUGACUUCCCGAUCUUCGAAACGACAUAAAGCAUGCAUAAAUUGGACUAUAGGAAGUACUCCAAAAGUGGCUGAAAUGACUGUCAUCAAGAAUGCUUCAAGGUAGAUUCUCUCUUUACUUCUCCUCCUUGCAUUCCGGAUUGGUUAUGGCAAAGGACUUUAAGGCUUCAAAGCUCUGAUUCUUCAUGUUCCUGAGCUUUCCAUUGCUUUACCAUGGAUUCCAAAUAACUCUCCUCCAUCUUGGAUUGCUUUGGUGAUCAAAUUACUAACAAAAACACCAAAACUUACACAAAGUGAUUAGAAGUGAUUGCAAAGGUCCUUAAUAUGUUAAUUGGGUUAAAGGGCGAUAAUUACUACUCAAAAGUGUUUAAAAGAGUUAAUUACAAGCUAUCAAAUAGCCCUUUUUGAGUAGUAAUCACUUAGAAAACUCGGUUUAUUCUUUAAAAUGUCGAUUUCAUUAAAACUUGAGUUUUUAACUAAUUUACCUUAGGCAAAAUGUUUCAAAAUUGACUUAAUAAUUUACCUAAAGACCUUGCCUAAGUGUUAGAAAAAAAAAAAAGAAUCAAAAAAUAGGUUUUUCCGGGCCAAAAAGGCUCAACCGGUCGAGGCUAUGGCCAACCGGUCAACUGGUUAAGGAAUCGGUCGAUCGGUUGAGGUUGUCUGGUCGAGGACCGGUCGAGGAAGGUCAAAAACCUUCUCUCUCUCCCAUAGCCUUCUCUUCCCAAUCGAGGUGAUUCCCUUACCGGUCAAGGUCCGGUCAAGGACCGGUCAAGGUCCGGUCAAGGACCGGUCAAGGUCCGGUCGAGGACCGAUCGAGGACCGGUCGAGGACCGAUCGAGGACCGGUCGAGGACCGAUCGAGGACCGGUCGAGGUCCGGUCGAGGACCAGUCGAGGUCCGGUCGGGGAAUCGGUCGACCAGUUGAGGUUGUCUGGUCGAGGACCGGUUGAGGAAGGUCAAAAACCUUCUCUCUCUCCUAGUAGCCUUCUCUUCCCAGUCGAGGUGAUUCCCUUACCUGUCAAGGUCCGGUCAAGGACCGGUCAACGAGGUCCGGUCGAGGACCGAUCGAGGACCGGUCGAGGUCCGGUCGAGGUCCGAUUGAGGCAACGAUAACCUAUCAUGCAUUAAAUGCUCCAACGGCUAGUGAACCGGUCGACCCCCAGCUCAACCGAACGAGGUUGCCUUUUGCUGUUUUUGACUCCCGAGCUUAGAAACCUAUAAAUUGAGAGCUCCACUUCAUUUAUUGAUAAGAUAACACUUGCAUUCAAAGCCCACCUACCUGUUCUUGAUCAAAAAGCUCUCAUUUCUUUCAUAGUGCAUUAAAUUACCACUUACAUAUCCUUUAGUGCACUCUUGUUUGUCAUCCUAGCUUUGUCUUGUAUUUGAGCCAUUUUUAAGCUAGGUUGAGUGAUUAUAUCUUGUAACAAUCCGAGUGUUAAAGUCUUCAAGAGGGUUGAAUCUUGAAGAGGUUGUGUAAGAGCCCAUUGGAUUCGGAAUCCAAGUGUAAGAAGAUUGGAAGCUUGGUUGAAGCUUCAAAUUAGUGGAACCCUCACUCGGUUAGAAGGUUGAAGAGAGUGGACGUAGGCAAGGAAGUGACGAACCACUAUAAACCCAAGUUUGAAUUCUCUAAACUCUAUCUCUUUACUUUGUUCAUAUUUUGUUUAAAUUUGUUGUGAUUGAAAAGAUUUUAAAAACCCAAUUCACCCCCCAUUUUGGGUGUUUUUCUUAACUAAGCAUAGCCUUUGUUUUCUCAUAAAUCAAUAGAUACCAAUAAAAUGAUUGAAUAAUAAAACAAAUCGAGCAUGAGAAUGAAUAAAUAAAUGAAGUAGGAGUGAGAGCGUACCUUAGCAGCAAAUAAUAGUGCACUAUCAUGGAAAAAAUGUUAGCUCAAGUACAAAAUUUAUCGCAUGCAUAUCAAAGAGCAAGACAAAGAUCAAGCAAUAUUCAUUAAGGUGUGGCUCUUAUAAAGGUGCAAAAAGAAGUUUGAUAAGCCCACAAUGCAAACAAAAGAUUCUCUGACCAAUCCCGAGAAGUCUCAAUCAUCCUCUGCAAGAUCCUCUUAAUAUUCUUAUUCACAGCCUCUACCACUUCGUUAGUCUGCGGCCUAUACGCAGAUGAUCUAUGAUGCUGGAUAUCGUAUCUCUGUAAUAAAGUGUCAACAUCUACUCUAAAAUGUACUUCUAUGCUCAAAAUCAGCUCAUGAGGGACUUCAUAGCGACAAAUAAUGUGUGAUAUGAUGAAACUAGCGACCCAAAAUGAUUUCAAUCUCGCAUAUGAAGCAGCCUCCACCCACUUGGUAAAGUAAUCAAUGACGACCAAGAUGAACUCAUGACUACUGGAAGACUUUGGCGAAAUCUUCCCAAUAAUGUUUAUACCCCAUACUGAAAAUGGUCAUGGUGAAUUCAGUGCAUGUAACUCUAAAAAGGGUACGUAGAUAAGGUCUUUAUGAAUCUAGCACUCUCGACAUCUUUAAACAAACUGGCAAUAAUAUUUCAUAGUCAACCAAAAAUAGUCGGUCUUCAUGACCUUACAAGCUAAUAUAUGUCCUCCCAUAUGUGGUCCACAAACUCCCACAUGAACCUCUCUCAUCACUCAAUCGGUAGAGGCGUGGUGAAAGCACAAUAGUAAUAUCCCAUCAACUGAUCGUUUGUACAAUGUCUCCCCACAGAUCACAAACCAGGUGGCUAACUAUCUCAAUGCUCUCUUAUCCUUCGUUGUGGCAACCUCAGGAUAUAUGUCAAGUCUCAAAAACUGAUAUAUGUCAUAGUACCAAGGCAAACCAUCAUCCAACUCUGCCUCAUCAAUCAAGCAACAAUAGGUAGGAACUAAUCUCGACUCAAUCAGUAAAGGGCGAACAAUGGUAUCAGCGGGAAUAUCAAUCAUGGAAGCUAGAGUAGCUAAGGCAUCAACAAACUGGUUUUGUGCUCUAGGCAGAUGAGUAUAACUCAAAUCAUCAAAUCUCCCAACCACUAGCUCUAAGCAUGCAUGGUAAGGCUUAAGUUUCACAUCUUUAGUCUUCCAAUUGCCUUAAAUCUAUCUCAAUACCAGAUUGGAGUCACUAAACACCUCCAUCUGUCUAAUCCCAAGCUUAAGAGUUGUCUCUAAUCCCAAGAUACAAGCCUCAUACUCAACAAUAUUGUUCAUGGCAAGGUGUCGAUCAAAGAAUGCCAAACGAACAAAUCUAGGAAUGUGGUCACCAUGAUGGGAUAUCAGUAGAACACCUAUCUCGUGUCUAGAAUGGUUGGCCGCACCAUCAAAGUACAUGCGCCAACCUGACGAAGUAGUCACUGCAGCAAUAUCCUCAUCUAGAAAGUCAUCAUCAAUAGCUCUACCAUCAGAAAAACUAGUAAUGAGGCUAAGUAAUCUACAACAAUGCUCCAUCUGAUAGACUUUUGAGUGACAUAAUGAAUAUCAAACUCAAUCAAGAGUACCAACCAUCUUAUGAGUCGAUCAAUCAAAGCAAGCCUGUCAAACAAAUAUCUCAGAGGAUCUAGACAAGAUAUCAAGUGCACUAAAUACUCCAUCAUGUAAUGUCUCAAUCUCUUAGUAGCCCAAACCAACGCCAAACAGAAGCGUUCAAUCAUGACAUAUCUUGUCUCAUAAUCAAGCAUCCUCUUACUCAAAUAAUAAAUAGCUCGCUCAUUUCCAGAAUCAUUAAGCUGAGCUAGCAUGCAUCCCAAGGCUAUAUCUGAGACUGACAAGUAUAGGAAUAAGGGACGACCUGGUGUAGGAGGCACCAAGACUAGAGGCGAAAACAAGUACUCCAUGAUCCUCUCAAAUGCACGCUGACACUCAUCAUCCCAAACAAGAGGUCGACUCUUCCUCAAGAGUAAAAAAAUGGGCUCGCAGAUAUCUGUCAAUCUGGCGAUGAAUCUACUGAUGUACUAUAGUCUACCUAAAAAACCUUUGAUCUCUCUCUCAGUUCUCGGCGCAGGCAUGUCAAGGAUGGCUCUAAUCUUAUCUGGAUCUAUUUCUAUGCCUCUCUCACUGACCAUGUAUCCCAGAAGUCACUUAAAAAGUGCACUUCUUAGGAUUCAGUCCUAAUCUGAACUAUCUGAUCAUAUCAAAGAAUCUCUUUAAAGCUACUAGGUGAUCUACUCUAUCUUGGGAUUUCACUAUCAUGUCGUCUAUAUAGACCUCGACAUCCUGAUGCAUCAUGUCAGGGAAAAGGAUAGUCGCUGCUCUUUGAUAAGUAUCUCCUGCAUUCUUCAACCCAAAUGGCAUAAGUAGCAGUAAGUACCCCACUCAGUAAUCAAAGACAUCUUCUCCAUGUCCUUUAGAGCCAUCAUAAUCUGAUUGUACCCAAAAAAUCUGUCCAUAAAGGACAACAUCGAAUGACCUGUUGUACUAUCAACUAGCAUGUCAAUGUGUGGGAGAGAAAAAUCAUCCUUGGGAUUGACCUUGUUGAGAUCUCAGAAAUCAACACACACUCUCACCUUGCCAUUCUUUUUGGGAACAAGGACGACAUUGGCCAACCACUCAGGAUACUCAACCACUGAUAAGAAUCCCACACUAAGUUGCUUCUGAAUUUCUUCUUUCACCUGCAGACUCCAACGAGGAUGCAAUCACCUCAACUUCUGCUUAAUCGGUCUAGCAAGGGGUAGUAGUGGCAAGUAAUGUUGGACUAUGGAUAGAUCAAGGCUAGAUAUGUCCUCAUAAGACUCUACAAGUGAUGUUGGACUAUGAAUGGAUCAAGGCCAGACAUGUCCUCAUAAGACCAUGCAAAGACAUCCAAAUAUGAUAUGAGUAACUGGGCAAGGCCACCACUCUCAUCUGUAAACAAAUCCAAUCCAAUCCUUAGCUCCCUAGGCUGGUCUGUUGUACCAAAAUCAACAAUCUCAGCGUCUCCUGUGGUAGGUGAAACUCUCUGAUCACUAGGACUCAAAUCAAAAGCAGAAGAAGAGUCCGCAUCUGAAUUGUGAUGUACAAUCUCAUCAUCUAUAUCAAAUAUUUGUGAUGUGGGUGAAUGAGGUGCAGAUAAAGUGUUAUCACAAGAAAUAGGCAAAUACUCAAAAAGACUCAUAUCCAUAUAUGAAGAAAGAGUCAGUAGAUCAUCAGAAUGGGAGACAAACCUUGAUAGUAUAUCAAAAGAAAGUGGUGGGUCCACAUGUUUGGACUCUACCAUGACUGGGCUAUUCACACACACAAAUACAUCAUCAUCAACUAUAUCAUCCUCUGAAAACUCCAAAGCAGGAGCAAUCUGGAUCUCCUCAGCAACCUCGAUGGCGGACACCCCAAAUAGAUCAAAUGGAGAAGCAAACUCAGGUUGGACUAUCCCAUCAAUCUGACUCAUACUCAUCGCGAGCAUCUCAUCAAUGUACCUGUCAUGUGGAACAACUCCAUCCACCAUGUCCCUAAUCUCAGCAAAUGUCCCAUGCUCGUCAACCUCAUCCAAGAAAUAGAGUGUCAUGAGGCUCAUAUGAUCUGGAAAUGAUGGGGUGGCUAAUGCAGAAGCAGAAGUGCCAGGAGCUCCAUCACUCAACCGUAGCUGAUGGACAAGACGCUGAAGCUCAACCUCCUGAACAGUGUUGAAUCCAUCAAUAAUCACACUUGAAUGCGUCUAUGGCUUUGACGCCCUCACAAAGUAGUCCGCCAAGCUCAUGUUGCAUGAGCAAAUAGGAUAGUCAAAUGGUGUGUGAGUCAAUCGGGCUUUCACUCUCUCUUUGCUCAAUCACACCAUAUAUCAAUAAUCGGCCUCAAUAGAAAUAAACCCAAAUCCAAAUGGUACAUCACGAUAAAAAAUAGUUAUAAACUCAUUGGGCCCAUGCUAACAUCGCCCUAAUCCCAUGCUCGGUAGAAAAGACAUGCUCCUCAUCAUGUCAAGCACCAUUGUACUACCGUGUUGAUCAAAUGACAUAGCCAUAAAGUCCCUACAAAAAUCCUCAAUCUCCAGAGUCUACACCUCAUCAAAUGUGAACCCAGUAAAAAACAAAUCAUCCUCAUUGUGACUAAUCUGAAGCAUUGGCUUGGAAGAAGCAAACAUAUCUCCAAUGGACCGCACUAUGAUGACCUGGCCAUCAUGAAUGAACUUCACCUUCUGAUGAAGGAAAGAAGGAAUGGCCCCAGCACUAUCAAUCCAAGGUCGGCCAAUAGUAGGUUAAAAGAUGUAGAAAUCCUCAAAACCUGGAACAGAAUAGGAAAUGUAGUUGGACCUAUCAAUAGCUUGAUCUCCAAAGUGCCCAUGACCUCCCUCUUAAUGCUAUCAUAUGCUCUGACUUUCUGAGUAGAGGGACCAAAGUUUGAGGAUGCAUAGCCGAGGGCAAUGACAUAAGCUAAGGGACAGACGUUCAGGGUUGGGUCAUCGUCCAAAAUGACAUAUAGGACUCGGUGGCCUAAAAAACCAACUAAGAUGUAUAGAGGACAUGUAUGGUCUGAACCCUCGGGUGGCAAAUCAUCAUCUAAAAAUAUAAUACAAGUGGCUCUGCCAACCGUCAUCAUGUGAAUCAACCCCUCGAGAAUAGUGGUAGUCUCGACUCUAAUCUAACUCAAGGCUCAAAUCAAUGCAUUUUUAUGAGUGCUAGAAGAUGCCAAUAAGCUCUAAAUAGAUAUACAAGUCUGGGUACUCUACAACUGUCUCAGAAUAUCAUCAUCAUCUCUCUUGACCUCCUCAUGAGAGGCUGCACCCUCCAAGGGUCUAGCGGUUGUGAGGGGUUGUUGUCAUACUACCUUACCUCUGUGAAUAACAUAUUGUAUAUCUGGAGUAUGAACAUCAUCAACAUAUGGAGUAUGUACCUCAUCAACGUCUGGAAUCAAAACAAACGGAGUCUGAACACUAUAACAUGGAAAAAUCAAUGGCUCGACUAUAGUCGACUGUAUUGAUGUCACAUCGGGAACCAAUUUGAAUAGUGUGGGCAUCCAUGGGCCCAAGGUCAUUCUACUUACCUCAUAAAUCCCAUCUACUACUAUAGGCUCUAGCACUGACUCAUCCCAACUCAGCAUGUGGAUAUGAUCAUAUGGCUUAGUGAAAUCCAUGAAAUGUAUACCGUUGGUUGGUAGAGAGACUGCAUGUGAAGUAUAAGCUGACAGAGGGUUAGUGGUUACACUUGGCUGACCCAAGUGAACCAAACCCUGAUCUAUCAAGUCCUCGAUGGCGUGCCUCAAAGCAGUGCAAUGGUCCGUGUCAUGCCCUAGACCUUGAUGGUAAGAACAAUAUAAAUCCAUCCUGAAGAGAGGUGGCAUGAGUUGAGGUAUAUGUCGAGGAGCUAACUGAGUUAACAAACCACCCUCCAUGAGCUUUUAGAAAGCUCGGUUCAAAGGCAUACCUAGUUGGGAGAACUAUUGUGUCAACCUUUGUACAAAAGAAAUAAUAGUCUAUGGGGCUCGGGGCUGAGGGUAUAAAGUAGGAGGCCUAUCUAUGACAUGUGCAGCAAAAACAGGUUGUGAGACCAGAUGUAGAUAAGUAUGAGUCAUAGGUUUGGAGGAAACAGGUGGCCUAUACUGUACAUGAGGUGGUGGUGGGUAGUAGAAUCCAGAAGGCUGCCCAACUGUCUGAUAGCACUCACAUCUUUUAGUCUCUGUCCUCCUAAAGGCUUCUUUCCCUAAGAGUCAGUAGGGGAAGACUCGGACCAUAAUCCUCUAGUUAUGUCCUCCUCUAUACCAUAUAAAUCCUGUACCAAAGAUCCAAAAUCCGUAUGAGGAAAUCCCAUCAAGUGCCUAGCAAAUCAAGGCUGCAAGCUCCUCGUGAUCAUACUAAUCUAAUCAUUCUCUGAAGGAUGAUCAAUAACCUAUGAAAUCUUCUCUCUUUAGCGGGAGAUAAAUGAGGUGACCGACUUCUCUAGCCUUUAUCUCAAAGCCUCUAACUCUCUCCUCGAAACAUCAAUGACAAUGUUAAAUGCAAACUGUCUCAAGAACUUCUAGGCCAAAUCAUCCCAAGUCCGGCGGCAUGAUACAUCCAAUGAAGCAAACCAACGUUAUGCCACACCACUCAGGGAUAUAGGAAAAAACAUAACCAUCUAGGCCUCAUCCAGUCCAUGGGCCCUCAUAACCGUACUAUAAAGCCUCAAAUGGAUGCGAGGAAAGCCAAUGUCCGUGUAUCUCUCAAUCUUAGACAUCCUAAACUUGGUUGAUAAACUGGCCACUGGUGCUCCAUUAAAAUCCUCCCAAGUAAUAGCUUCAUCUGAAGUCUUCAUCUGUCUCAUCCUCCGCUCAAGUCUAUCCAUACGAGCAUGUGGGUCCUCUGAGAUCGGGGUAGGCACUAUGACAGGAAGCAAGGCAACCUCAGUCUGACUCUAUAAAGUAAAUGAUAUAGGUUGUGAAACUAUCUAACCAAGUGGGAGAAGUGGCGGAAUAGUGGGAUCAUACUGCACACUCUCCUGAACUAGAACCUUUUGGGUUUGCUACCCAUCCAUCAUUUGAUCAAGACUAGUUAUGGCCUCCUGGAUCGAAGCCAUAGCAGCAACGAACUAAUCAAAUGUAACCACCUACGAAUCCAUAUCUGCCUAAUCUAACUGGUCUGACACUCUGAUCAAUCUACCUUUAACUCUGAUCUAAGAAGUUGAACUCAUAUCAAACAUAUCAAUACACCUACAAUAGUGGAAAUACUAGAUAAGAUAUUGUGUAAGGGAAACUCUACAAGGAGUGUUUAUCAACUAUGCAGGAAGGUAACCUGGAAGUAUUGAAACUGAUAUCUAAUUCUGAGCAAAUAUAUAAGAGACUACUACGAAGGUAACUAAAUUUAUCACUACUGACCCAGCUCUGAAGGCCCAUAGAUGCACCCACGUGUGGGAAAGGAAAUUCUGAUCGAAUAAUCUAAGGCUCAACCUAUAAGGUCAAGGUGGCUCUAAAAAAAAAAAAAGAUGGACUUUAAAGGAUCCAUAGCAGAAGCGAUCAUACCCUUCGACGGUAUGCAACCCUUUGCACGCCUUUGAAAAGACGAGGCUCUUCCAUGCAAGAUGGUCAUCACCUCUACACAUGCACUACCUCGACAUCCUAAGGGUAUUUGCUAUAGUGAAAGCUCUCACAACUCUCAGCACUCAGUAGUCAACUAAAGUGCAUAGUGAGUGGUGCAGGUGCAUCCGAAAAACCUAUGAAGCUAAAGUAGAAAAAAAAAUACAUUAGUCACACAAAUAUCCAUGAAACCUAGCUCUAGGCUAUUCAGGUCUUCAAAGAUCGGACUCCAAUCAACAUCAAUGUGUCGACCUCCUCAAGAAUGCUCCUAAACAUCAAUAUAGCCCAUCACUAGACCUUACUCCUAACCACUAGCUCGGUCAUAGAAACAAGUACACACAAGGCCUCACACUUGCAAAUAUAAGAACCAAAAUGAAGGAAAUGACCGAAACCAAAGGGUUGGAGGUAAGGGGAUAGAUGUGUGAUCCACACGGACAACCAACAUACAAUCACAUAGGAGAAGAUUAGUUAUGCAACAAGCAGUCAAGCAGAGCGCAAGUAUAUCAUCCAUGUCCAUACACAAGCCAAACAAAAAUAUGACAAUCAAAAUGACUAGCAACAAGGAUAGCAUGCUCAAAUAUAAUCAAGAUAACAUACAAGCAAGAUAAUCAACACUAAGACAAAUAAAAGAUGCAGCAAAGUGAACAUACAUGUCAAAGUAAGUAGGAUAAUCAAGGCAAGAGCAAGAUCGAUCAAUACCAUCAACAUGCCAAUGUUGCAAAGGGAUAUAACAAUUAAGCAUAGAAAAUCGUUGCAUCAAAAUCCUCAAUGUGCUAUGAUCACUCAAGCAUUGAAAAUUGUAAUUUUGAAAAAUUAUUUGAAAAUUGGAGUUUUGAAAAUUAAAUUUAAAAAUUAGAAUUUUGGAAAAUUAAAUUUAAGAAUUAGAAUUUUGGAAAUUGAAUUUGAAAGAAAUUGGAGUUUUGAAAAUUAAUUGAGAAUUGGAGUUUUGAAAGUUAGUUUUAAGAAUUGGAGUUUUGAAAAUUAAUUUUGAAAGAAAUUGGGGUUUUGAAAAUUAAUUGAAAAUCGGAGUUUUAAAAAUUAAAUUUAAGAAUUGGAGUUUUGAAAAUUAAUUUUGAAAGAAAUUGGAGUUUUGAAAAUUAAUUGAGAAUUGGAGUUUUGAAAAUUAGUUUUAAGAAUUAGAGUUUUGGAAAUUAAAUUUAAGAAUUUGAAUUUUGGAAAUUAAAUUUGAAAGAAAUUGGAAUUUUGAAAAUUAUUUGAAAAUGGAAGUUUUAAAAAUUAAAUUUGAAAAUCGGAAUUUCAAAAAAUUAUUUGAAAAUUACAUUUAAGAAUUGGAAUUUUUUUAAAAUAGAAGUUUUGAAAAUUAAAUAUGAAAAUCGGAAUUUCGAAAAAUUAUUUGAGAAUGGAAUUUUUAAAAGAUCAAUUUUGUUAACAUAAAAAGAUGGAUUAGGAGGGUGACAUGUUAGGCUUGGGAUUUGGGUCUAAUAGAUAGGCUUUGAUAGAGGUUUUGCAAAGGUGGCCAUACAGGAGUUAUUCACAUGCUUAUGAAUGGUGGGGGAAGAAAACUCAGACCAGAUUUGAAAAUAAGAACAUAAAUAUGAUCUCCAAUGCAUAAAAUAGCUUAAAUUAAAUCAAAUUAUUCCCAAGCCAAAAGCCAAAGUAUAAAUAAAUAAACCAACAACAGCACACCUAUGAAUGGCUCAGAAAUCCAAUAAAUUCAAACACAUAACCUAAUGUUCAUGCUUAGCAAACAAUCCACAAAAAAGAAAAUAACAAAAAGGAAGAAGAGCAUAUUAUGGUGAAGCAGAAUCAAACCUAAGCAAGUCCUCUCACUCUUUCUGUUUUUCUCUCUUAGAUACCGACUCUCUGUUUUUUCUUUUUUUCACUCAAGCUCUCUUCCUCAAGCUCCGUUUUCAGCUUGUUUUUCUUCCCCUUCCAACUUUAAAAAAAAACCUCUCCUUGCUCCUCUUUCUUCCUCCCAACGGCCACCUCUUGCUCUUGCUAAAAAAACCUCAUUUUCCUAUCUCCACACCAGCUCAUUUUUCUUCUCAAAACGUCUCCUGUUUUUUGUCCAGCUCUCAAAACCCCCACCUGUUGAUAACCUCUCCAAUCCGGCUCCCCCUCUCCAUCCCUUUUUUUUUUUUUCUCUUCAAUCCUCCCCUCCAAGCUUCAGUUUUUCUCUAAAAAAAAAACCAUCCUCUCCUAGUCUCAUCUUCCCUCUUAAAAACAGCUCACCCAUGGACAACCUCUCCAUUUUUCUCUCCCGUUAGCUUCCACCAGCUCUCUGCUUCCUGUCCACUCCUCUAUUUUUCAUUCAGAAAAAGUCUCAUCUCAACCACCACCAUGGCAAGGUGGUGGUGUGUUCUUGCCACACAUCCCAUGCAACUUUGAGCACUCGUGAAAAGGUCGUCCCCCACUUUUCCAAAAAAAAAGCCCAGCUCACUGUAGCCAAAUAUGGGUCUACAAAUAUGAUUAUUUUAUUCUUUCAUUUAUUUUCCACCAAUCAAUACCGAAAAUCUUAAAAUAUAAUCAUUUUCUUAAUUACAUGUGGUUUUUAUAUUUUCUUUAAUUUCUCUAAAUUUUGUCAUUAGGAAAAUAAAUUCUAAAUUAAAUAGUAUUUAAUACGUAUGAUUUAGUAAUGUUUUAAAAUGAUUUGAAACUAAAAAUUUAUGUAAUUAGUAUUAAAAAUCAUGAAACUAAUAAUCAAUCUAGGUAAUAUUAGAAAUUUACAAAACAAAAUUCAUUAUAUAUGCCUUCACUAGUUUAUGUUUUUAUACAUAAUCAUAAUUUUGUGAAUUUUUUCACUAGACAAAUAGACUUCAAGUAAGCAAAACUUAAUCUAUUAGAUUCAUGAAUGAAUCUAAUAAAUUUUAAACAUAAUUUGAAACUCAAAUAGUAAACCAAUUCAUACCAUAAAUUUAUGGAUAAAAGUUAAUCAAGAAUAACUCUAUUAGUUCUCUUUUAUGUAGAAUCAUAUUUUUCCAAAAUUUGCUCACCAGAAAAAUGGAUUUCAAGUGAAACAAGACUUAAUACGUUAGAUUUAUUAACAAGUCUAUUAAUUCAAAAAUAUUUAAAAAUAAAAAAUAAAACAAUUAUUAAUAUAAGUUGACAAACUAAAAUUGUUCCAAAAUGACUCUCCUCUACACAUAUCUAUAUUAUUUUAAAAUUUGUUAUUAAGCAAAUAGAUUUAAAAUCAAGCAAGACUUAAAAUGUUGAAUUUAUUAAUGAAUUUAAUUGUUUUUAAAAUAAUUUGAAACUUGAAAAUAGAUAAAAUCACUACCAAAAAUAAUAGAUCAAAACUAGUACAUAAUGAGUCAUAGCUUUAUUGCUCUUUAUAUGUACACAACUAUAUUUUACGAGUUUUAUCACUAAGUAAAUAGAUUUUAAAUUAUGUGAGACUUAAAACUUUAAAUUCUUUAAUGAACCUUCUAAAUUUUAAGGAUAAUUUGAAAUCUAAAAAUUUGAUCAAAUUAAUUAUAUACUAAAUCAAAACUUGUCCAAAAUAGGUCCAUGCUAAAAUACUAAAUAUGUACAUGCAACGGUUUUAAAUAGAAUAUUAUUAACCAUUAUUAUUUUUUAAUUAUUAUUUUUUUAAAAGAAAAAUUAUUAUGCUUUUAUGAAGGUAUUAAUCUCUAUAUUUUUAUAAUAUAUAAUGAAAUAGUAUUAGUUUUUUUAAUAAACAAAAUAUAAUUUAUGAUCUUAAUAUUAGUUUUCAUAUUUUACGAAAAAAAUAUUUAUUUUAAAAUUUUAUUUGUAAUUAAAAAAUUAUUUUUAUUUUUAAUAAGACUUGAAUUAACUUGAAUUAAUAUUAUAAUUGAAUUUAUAAUUUUUUUCUAAAAUCAAAGCAUAAAAACUAUUUAUAAAAACAACUUAUUUAGAUAAGGUUUUUUUUUAUUUCUUUGAAAAGUGUUUUUAAAAGAUAACUUGCCAAAUAGUCUUGUCUUUCGAAAAUAUACAAAAUAAAAUAAAAUAAAUUAUUUUUGUUCUUUAACUUAAAAACUGUUAUUAAAAACAAGUAUAAGAAAAUAUUAUCAAAGUGAGCCGUUAGUUUUUAGUAAUUAGUUAUUUUUGACAAAGUUUAGUGUUUCCACAUUCAGAAAGUUUAAACUAAUUUGUUUUCAUUUUAGUUUAAUAUUCUCAUUAGCUGUUCUUUUCUUUUUUUACCUUAGAAUUUCUCCAAUUUUAUGCUUAGUAGGUAAAUAGAUUUUGCAGGUAGACUCCAAUGAAUUAAUCAACCAAUUCAACCUAUGGUAGAAAACAAUUAAGGUCAAAACAACAAUAACAAUCGACCUAUGAUGUCUUCCAUGAAUACAGAUCAAUGGGAGAGCAUUUGAACCCUCCUCAUCUUAGUACACCUUCAUGCUUCAUCAUGUCGUAGGAUCAUGUGACCAUCAAGCCUCAAUUGGUGCCUUUACUCUUGAUCUUCAAAGACAAUGGAAAUGAAAACCCUCACACCAAUAUCAAGGAUGUCAAAGAAAUUUGCUUCACCUUUCAAGAAGCAAACAUGCCUCUAGAUGCGUUAAUAAGAAUAAAGCUUUUUCCACUUACGUUGAUAGAUCGAGCAAAAACAUGGUUGAACACCCUUGGACCACAAGGCAUUGGGACCUAGAAUAGGUUGCAAUUGAUCUUCCUUAAAAUUUGUUCCUACCACACAAGACUAAUGCAUUGAAAAGGGAAAUGUCAAAUUUUACAACCUGGGAAAACAAUAAAUUUUUCUCAUGUUAAGAGCACUUUAAAUGGAUUUUCAAAGCAUGCCCACAUCAUGUCUUUGAUAAUUACAAGUUGAUUUUCAAAGCAAUGUUAGAGACGAUGUGCGGAGGAAAUUUCAUAAGAGUCUAGAUAAAACUCCUUCAAUUUCUAGAUUAUGUGGUUGAAGCAACAAAGAGUUAGAUAGAUCAUGUGAUUAAGGAAUCACAAAGAAUGCAAAGUUCCAAAAAAAUUGAAAGUUUGUGAUAUCUUCAACUUGUUUGAAAGCAUGGAUUUUCAAUUAAAUAUUUCUACCUUAACUAGGAGAUUAGAAGACUUGGAGACCAAAGGAGUCUAAGAGGUCAAAGCAAUGAAUAAGUUAAGAGUGAUGAGAUGUUUGAUAUGCUAGUUAAAGGAGCACAAGGUUACAAGUUGUCCAACACUUCUAGUAGUGAGGCACAUGUUAUCAAAGUUGGCCAACACUUUUGAUUCAUUCAGAUAGAAUAGUAAAACUCUCCAUUCUCCAACACCUAUAAUCUAGGUUAGAUUAAUCAUCUUAACUUAUCUUGGAGAUGGAGUAGUCAAUUUCGUUAGCAAAAUCAUGCUAUGAACCAACAUUCAAAAUGCUUAAUAUCCCUAAUUAAUGAAAAUAAAUUACACACAAUAGAUAAGUUGUGAUUACUCAAUACAAGGUUGGGUGAUAGUUGUAUUUUCCAACACAUAAUGAUGUAAUUGCAAUAACAAUUUAUGGUCGAUAGUGGCCACACAAGCCCCAAGUAAAGGCUUCCCACCUUUGCAUUCAUCAUUCCCAACAUUAGGAAUUCUAAUUGCAUCUAUGCCUAAUACGUACUCUAUGCAAAACUCUAAAGCUUCCUUUGUAUCAUGGCAUUCAACAAAACAUCCCUCUCAGCAAUUAUGAUUUUGUACAUAACCCUUUAAUACCUUCAUAACCUUUCAAAAGAAUACAUCCAUCUAAGGUAAACUGGCCUACAUGAUCUCGUUUUUCUUGUCAAGUGCAUUAUUUAAUGAAGCAUAAUGUCAAAAAAUGAAGGUGGAAUUUUUUUUUCAAGUAAGCAUAAUAUCACCACCAACUCAUCUUAUAGUCUAUCUAAUUUAAACACAUAGACUACUUUGCUACAUGAGGCAUUGAAAAAUAAGCAUAAUCUAGAUAUAGUGUUUCACAUGUUUAAGUAGAAUAUAUUGUAAUUCUACUAGUAAUAUGUUGCAUGAGUGCAUGAUAAUCAUGGGAUUUAAGACCAUAAAGCUUCAAAUUUUCCAUUGACACAAGUUUUAUGAAGUUAGAGGACUAUCCUUCAAGGACUUUCAAGUCAACUAAGGUUUGAUAUACCACUUUUUUCUCUAUCCUAGAAAGUGUGUAGCAUGUAGGUGGGAGGCAAGUCUACUUUAAGUCAAAUUUUGGUGCCAAUUCAAACCUUAUGCCCAUCUCCAUAAGAUCCAACCCAAAAUUGAGUUCAUCUUUUAUUUUCCUGGAAUGUUAAGCAAGGUGCCAAUGAUGCUUUCGCACACAUUUUUCUCAAUUUGCAUAACAUCUAAUUUGUAAUCGACAUACAAAUGUUUCCAAUAUUCUAGAUCAAAGAAUAUGGGCUUCUUUUUCCAACAAAUUGUAGUAUUCACAUUAGAAGUACUUGCUUUAACCUUCUUUUUUCCCCAUGAUUAAAAAUGGAAUCAACUUCUUCUAGUAUUUCCUCUCUAGUUAAUGGUUAUGGAGGUAGCCCAAACUCUUGCUAACCAUUGAAUGCCUUCUUUUGUUUCCUAUAAGGAUGGUUAUAUGGAAGAAACCAUCUAUAACCUAUAAACAAGUUCUUCUUCCCAUGUUUCGAUCUACAAGAAUAUGUUUCUUUCCCACAUAUUGGUAAGCAUAAUGUCCCUUAACAUGAACAACUCUCGUUAAUGUGCAUCAUAUACUUUGACUCUUACCUCCCAAAGAGUUUUAAGAGCUUCCACCAAUAGUGCCAAGUAAACAUCUAUGUCAUUUCCAGGUUAUCAUGGAUUUGAUAUCAAUAAUGAUAACAUCAUAAAUUUCUAUUUCAUGCACAACCAUGGUGGAAGGUUAUAUGCGAUCAUUAUAUAUAAUUGACUAAAUACUAUGACAACUACUAAGAGAAUUGUGAGGAUUUAUGCCAUCUAUUAAAAUAGUAAGUCUAAGUUUUCUAGUCUUAGAAACAAACCUGGGCCAUAAAUGGUCAACUAGCUUCCAUGAUGGAGAAUCAAAUGGGUAAUGCAAAUUCCCAUCAAAAUUUCUUUCUUGGGCAUGCCAUGUGAGAUUUUUUUUACUAUUUGUGAGGAUUGGAAUGUUUUUUUAAACCUUGAGAUAGGUGGAAAAUACCACAAGACUUUUGCAGGAACACUUAUUCUCCUUUUGUUUCCUUUUUUACUUACCUUCUACCUUGAUGUUCCACAAGUACAACAUAAUGAUACAUUUUUAUGCUUAUUUCUAUAAAGAUAACAAUCAUUAGGGCAAACAUGUAUUUUUUCAUAUUCCAUUCUCAAUGCAUUUAAGGUUUUUUUUUUUUUUUUUUUUGCUUCAUACAUGCAUUUCAUUGUUGAUUGGGAGUGUAUCACUUAACAUUUGAAGUAACUCUAAAAAAAUUUUGUCAAACCACACAUAUCUUACUAUCAAGUUAUACAAUUUUACCAAUGCAGAUAACUUUAUAAACUUUGAACAAGCAAGAUAUAAAGGUUUUUUAGCAUCUUCAAGUAGUCUUUUAAAUGAUUAGGGAUCCUUCAUAUAAUCAUCUUGUGCAGCAUAGACCAUCUAAAUGGUAUUGUCUAAAUCAUCACAAUUAAGUUGAUCAUAAUGAUAUCCUUCACAGUUGUUGCUUCCUUACUAAGAACUACCUCUCCAUGCUAAUACCGUGUGCAGUAACUUUGAUUAAUUCCAUUGAAAUAUAAGUGUUCUCUAAUCACUUGAGGAGUAUGGUUCAUUAAGUUGCUAUAAUGUAGGCAUGGACAUCUAAUAUAGUUCAAAUCUCUAGCAUUUAGACUUAUAAAUUGAAUAAAGCUGUCAACCCCUUCUUCAUACUCUUGUGAUCUUCUAUCCUUAGACUACAUCCAAGAUCAAUCCAUUUUUGGGUUGAUUCAACUAAAUUCCUAUAUAACACAAGUUGCAUGAUUUAUUAAUUAUUAAUUCCUAAACCAAACAAGGAUAUAAAUUGAGCUAUACAACUAAUAAAUAAAGUAUUAAAACACGAAAUAGCAUCAUAAUUGUACCUAUAUUAUAGCACAUGCAACCACCUACAUAUGUUCAAUCUUAAACACUUAAUGUUACUUCAUUCAAUAUAAAUUAAAUAAAUGCAUAACUUCAUUUAUUAGCAUGCAAUAAAUUAUCAAUAGAAUGUAUGGGGAUAAUACCCUAAUUAGUAUUAGUGAUAAAUCAUAUCCCAUGAUAAUCCAUUAUGUAAUAUAAAUACUAAAACAAGAUAGGAAGACUAAGAACUUAACUAAUUUAGCAUCAUACAACUAAAUCUAAAGUACCCAAUUUUAUUGUGUUCACUAAAAGAAAGAAGUAGUAGAAAAUUAAUUUACUUUGCAAUUCUAUAUGAUCCAAGUGUAUAUAGUAUAUCAAAUCCUCAAGUAUGAACUCUCACUACAAGAAAUAAGUUUUUAUUAGUUGGAUUCUCAAAAUUAAGAUACUAUUAAUGUAUAUAGAUUCCAUGAAAAUGCUUGUCUUCACAAGGUUGGAAUUUCUAUCCCAUCUAAGAAUUGUAUGUUUUUAAAAUAUUACACAAAGAAGCAAAAUUUAAAAUUGUCAUGAAAAUUUCAACAACAUUUCUCUCCUAUUCUCGUAGAUGAGCCCAAAUUCUCAAUGAAAAUCCUUAAUCAUGUUUUUUAAGUAACUUUGUAAAUUUGGAAUGGCUAAAUGCAGUUUCUAUAUUUUUAUCUACUAGAAGCCUUAAGUUAUAAAAUUGAACUAAUAAAUGGGUUAGGUCAUGAUUGGGAAGCUUGUUUUAGAUCUACCAUCUAUAUUAUUUUAUUUUAAUGGAGCCCAAACUAAAUAGGGAACCCAACCAUCUACCACAAUACCAUGUCAUUUUACUAAUAUGGCCUUUGUUUAUUGGUCAAAUUGGGUCCUAUUUGUUUGUACAAAUUGACACUGUAUGUGGAGUGCAGUGUUCAAUAGUUGGUGAUCCAUUUCAUAAUUUUAAAAUAAAGAAUUUGUUUGUUGAUAAAACAACAACCAUCCACCACCCAUUCAACUAACAAGAUUUAAGAUUAUUGUUUCUUUCCUAUGGGUGAUAAUAAAAAUAAAAAAAUUAAGCCCUAAUACAAUGAAAAUAGAAAAAAAAAAAUUGAAUAGUUUGAUUUUAAGAAAUUAUUAAACAAAAUGAUGAAAAUUGCUAUUGGAAUUCACCAAUUAAUCAAUUCUUCAACUACCACAAUGAUUCCCAAACAAUAGACAAAUCCUAAGUCUAAAGGUACCGUUAUGUCAUCUAAAAAUCCAAAAUAUUUAUCCAAACCUAAACUCUAAAACCCAAUGUGUUUCAAACCUCAUCUUAGUAGGAUUUUUUUUUUAAACAUUAUUUUAAAAAAUUAUAAUUAAAGCAUUGUUGUUUAAAAAAUAAAUAAAAAAAUACAACACUUUUCAUCACUUGUUUUAUUUUUGCACUAAACUCGUAUUUGUUCAAGAGGCGAAAUCACUUUUUAUAUUGAAUUGAAAGACGAGUUCACUUUUCACCUUAAAUUUUUCUAUACAGAACUUGCUUUUUCAAAAGAUAAGUUCACUUUUCCAAUGUUGAACUCGUCUUUUGAAAAAUACAACUUCACUUGAAAUCUAAAAAUGUGAUAGUUUAAAAAAAAAUAAAAAAAAAUUGGUGGUACAACCUUUUAAAAAAGUACACUACUCUUGUAGAAAGGCCUAUCUCAAUACUCCUUUGACUACUAGACUCAAUAGAGUGUGACUUGGUAUAUCAUUUUACAUGCAAUGUUAGAUUUAUUUUUUUUAUUUUUUUUUGGUUUUCAUAUUCUCAUAAACCAAAAAUGGAAACUAAUGAAUAAAAAUAAAAAUUAAAGAAAAAAAAAAAGCAUUUAAAAUAUAUAUCAAGAAAGAAAGAUAUUGAUCACCUAUUUCUUUCAACAUAAGUUCCUCUAAGUAAAAUGAUAAGGUUGCCACUAUGGUUUAAUCUCAGGAGGUUUAAGAGCACACAUCUUCAAUACGGGAAGGUUUGAGAGCACAUCUUUAAUAGGGGAAGGUUUGAGAGCACAUCUUCAAUAGGAGGAGGUUUGGGAACACAUCUUUGGUGGGAAAAUAAGAUUGAUAACUUCUUCUUUUUUAAAUAUAUACUGCUAUUAAAAAUGUGAGGUGUUUGUCAAUUUUUUCAUUCCAAAAAUGUCUGACAACUUACCUUUUAAUUCUAAAAAUACUUCUCAUCAAUUUAUUAAUAACAAUAUAUUAAUAUUUAAUAUUACAAAAUGUAUUCUAUUAUCAUAAUCUAUUAGUAUCAAAUGACAUUAUACAUUUUAUUCUCUUUAGAACCUAUAAUAUUCUUUGACUCUUGAUGAUGUGCCUAAGCCCCAUAUUUUCAAUGCCCACAUAAGCCUUUUCUAUCAUUUUCUCCUCUCCAUGGUCACAACAGCUUCUUCUUCAAGCUUUUAGAUUUUUCUUUGCAAAAUUGCCAUCGUAACAUUCCUCUUCGCCACAAAUGGCAGUCGAUUCAAGACUAUGUCUAGAGUUAUGGUCAUGGUUCUGGAAGGUUUGGAUUGAUGAAAGUGUUAUGUUAGGGACAAGAGAGAGCUUCAAUGAAAUGUAAUGUUUUGGGGAAAGCUAAGAAUGACAAUGGUGGCAAAGAAGGUGUUCCUGAAAAGAAGAAACAGUUUGUGUGGUGGUUUCAGGAGGGGUGGUUGUAUUUUCACAUUCAUAGGAGUGACACAUUUGUUGUCAAUUCUUACUUGGAACCCAUACUGAAGGCACAUUUUCUAUGAAUUUCUUUUCCCCUGUUAAUUUAGUUUGGAUGAAUAAACUGUUAUUGUGUUUCAUAAAAGCAAUAUGGAGGGUUGGUUUGGAUAGUGGUGAUACUCCACAUUCAGAUAUGUUUUCCUUUUGUAUUUUGGAAACUAAUGAAUCAUAACAUGCUUAUUGGUGAAAGGAGAUUGUUGUUUAUCCCCUAUUUGUUUAUAGAGAAUGAAUUGUGUUUGUGGAGUUGACAAUUGAAGAUGUUGACUGUGAUUUAAAUCCAAAAAGUUUUAGAGAAUUGGUCAAAUAAAUCUCUGAUAAAUAUAUUUUUUUAAUGAAUUUACAACUCUUAUCUAAGUAAUUUAUCGCAUUGAUGGUAUCUAUGUAUAUCAAUUAUUUGUGUUCUAAUUUAUUGUGAUUCUAUCUCUUGUGUUAUUAAUCAUUUAGGUUAUUGGAUUUUAACAUUUUGAUUUUUAUCAUUUCCCAUAUUUUUAAUUCAUUGCAUUUUUGUUCAUUGUGAAUGUUAUUUAUUUAUUAUUUUAGCACUCAUUGGGUUUUUUGUGAACACAAUUAGGUCAACUGUUGUUGCCAUUAGUGUUUUUGAUGAUUUUGCUUACAUGUUUAUUAGGGAAAUAUUAGAAUUCAAGGUGUUUGGUACAUUUGAGAGGUAAUCCAAUUUAGUAUUAGAGUAUACCUUUUUUUUUUAUGAAUCCUGACUUUUUUUUUAUUGGGAUCAAAAUUUGUUACUUACUCUAGAAAUUUAGUAUUUUUGUAAAUACUUUUAAUUUGUCUAAUUAUAUUUUUUUAUAAGUAUUUAUAACUUAAAGGUUUUACUAAAAAGAAAAUGAAGUUAGUAGUUUUAAAUUGAAAUUAGUCUUAUUUCUUAAGGUUUUUUUCCUUUUUCAUUUUUAGCUUAAUUGAAUCUAGAACUUUCUUGUAAAUUAUAAUUCUAAAAGGAGUUUUAAUUACAACCUAUUAAUAUUUAAUGUUACCAAAAUCUAUUAAUUAUUCCCUUUAAAAUCACCCUAUAACAUUAUAAAAUAUUAUAAUUAAUACAUCAUCUAAUCAACAAUUAAGAAUUACCCCUUCACUCUUCAAAUUUCUUAUGAUGACAGUUUCACUUUUCAUUUCUAAAGUUUGAAAACUUUUUAAAUUUCUGAUAACUUUUUCCUCUUUGAAGAGAAUUAAGAAGUUUUUGUAAAUUGGCACUCCCAAUUUGAAUGAAGUGCUAUUUGGUGAGUUGUUAUUUAGUGUUCUGAAUGAUUUUACUUAAAUGUUUGUGUUACUUAUGAGAAUAAUUUGAUUACUUUGUUGAAUUUUAUUUUUAUGAUUUUGAGCUUUUUAAAACAAUACUCAAUUCUUUGAGUUUGUUGGAUGUGAGUUGGAAGAAAAUUGAAAUUUAAGGUAAUUGGUAAAUUUGAGAGGUAACUAAAUUUAGUAUUCAAGUAUACAUUUUUUUGUAAUGAAUUUUAAUUCUUUAUUUUAUAAUUCAAUGUUUAUUAGAAUUGAAGUUUGCUACUUAUUAUAUAAAUUUAGUAUUUUUGUAAAUACUUUUAAUUUUUAUUAUUUUUAGACAAGUAUUCACAAGUUAAAUCUUUUAAUAAAAAAAAUAAAGUUAAUUGUUUCAAUUGAAAUUUGGGUAAAUGUUUCUAGAGUAUGUUUUUCUUCAUUUUUUGUCUUAUUGGAUCUUAAUUUUAGAAUAAUUAGAACUCUCUAAAAAAUAAAAUCCAUAUUUUUUUUAAUAUAAAUUACCAUUCUAGAGCUAAAUGCAUUUCCUUAUUUUAUAAUUCAAUGUCCAAUAAUAUGCAUAGGAAUUGGACAAUAUAGUUUUUUGUUUUAUAAUCCAAUAUCUAUAAUAAUUGGAAACUAUAGUUCCUUAUUUUAUAAUCCAAUGUCUAUAGAAAUUAGAGAUUCUUAUUUAUGCUAUAAAUUUAGUAUUUUUACACAUUCUUUUAAUUUGUCUUAUUUUGUUUCUUUUAAAUAUUAUCUUUAACCAAUAUUCACAACUUAAAUCUUAUAAUAGGAAAAGUAAAGUUCCUUAUUUUAAUUUAAAUUGAGGUAAGUGUUUUUCAAGAUUUUUUUUUUUUUUUUUUUCAUUUUUAGUUUAGUUGGAUCUUCACUUUGGGAUAACUAGAAUUUUCUCAUAAUUUUUGUUUGUUUGUUUUUUUUAAAUACCAACCACUAUUCUAAAAUGAAUUAAAAAUAACCACAUUUAACAAUUCGAGAAUGAAAUAUCAAGUAUAUUUGAGAGAUCAAAAACAAUUUUUAUUCUUACUAAGAUAUUUGUCUUUUUAUUUGCUCAUGGUUCUUGUUAUUAUGACUUUGUAUUACAUUCCAGAAACAUAUAGUUUUUCCUUGUGUAAAUAAAUUAAUAAAAUUAAAGGAAAUUGACAAGGAAAACAUAAAAAUAAAAAGUAUGUUUGAAUAAAUAAUCCAAUUUUUUUUUUUUUAAUAUUCAUCUACUUUUCAUAAAAUUAGGACAAGUAAAAGUUACAUUUUGUUGUCCCUAAAUUGCAAUGAAUUUAAAUUAACAAUAGAUAACGGGUUUAAAUAAAAUUUGGUACAUAUCAUUGCUAAGGUGACAUUUAUUUUGCCUAACUUAGAAAAAUUGAUUUUAAAAAGAAUUUUACCAUCUAAGAUUUUUGGAAUGGAAAAAUGUAACAUUAUUUAUAUUUCAUCUCAGUCCUUUUUCCUUUCUAUUUAUAUUUCAACCCAAUCAUUUUUUUUCCUUUUUUAUGUCUAGUUUGAUUAUUUGACUUUGAAUCUCUUCUUAGUUUCAUACAAGGAUUUUAAAAGAAUAAAUUCACAUAUUUAAUUUUUUUUAUUGGAUUUGUUUUCAUAUUACCUAAUCUACGUCGCAUGUGAACACUUCCUAACAUAUAUAUAUAUAUAUAUAUAUAUAUAUACACAUAUGUAUGGAAGAGUAAGAUGACUGUUUCAAAGAAUCAUUUUUAUAAAAAUGACUAUUUAGAAGAGUUAAGGAGCAAGUCUUUGAGGGGAAAUAAAAUCAAUAGUAAAAGAAUAGGAUGACGUUUCGAAAGAAUCAUCUUUAUAAAGAUGACUAUUUAAAAGAGUUAUGGUCUCUUUCCCAAAGUAGAUAUUUAAUUUGAGAACGAGUGGGAAAAUAAAAUUAAUAGCAAUUUGCCUUUUAAUAUUUACAUAAAAGGGAAAGGAUAGGAUGAUUUUUUCAAAGAAUUGACUUCACAAAAUAGAUAUUUAAAUUGCAAAGUCAUUAUUUAUCAUAUUAAUUAAAGAUAAUGAAUUUUUUUUAAAAAAAGUCAUUGAAACAACUGUCAUUAUCUCCUUUUUUGUUGUAGUGACUUUGGAUUUACUAUUAGAUACAUAAUUAACAAAUCAAAGGAUUGAGUGCAAUUAAUUACAAUAGAUUUUUUUGUAGAUAUUAGAAUGUUGAUAGAGGCUGGACAAAAAGGAGGUAACUAGGAUUAAGGCAUAAUGGAGUAUUCCACAGUGAAGGCCAAGAACAGGGAAGAAAAAAUGAGUCAGCUGCAGGUGUUAACCUGCUCUGAUACCAUGAGGGAAAAUAAGAAGGGGAAUAAUUGGUAUAUAUUUUUCUCUAUCUACUGAUGGAAUGAAAAAGCAUCCUAGCCUCCUACGAGGGUCUAACCUUGUGAUUCUCCACUGUAUCAUAUCAGGGUGAUCCAUGGCUUGGUAGUCUUUUCCCUAAAACCUCUUCAUAUUGGCUCGUAACCGAUUCAAAAUUCACGAAAUUCAUAUAGAUCGUUCAAUGAAGUCCCCUAAUCAAGUUCAAGGUAGCCUUUGGUUAUUCUGAAAAUAGAUUUUUUUUUUUUGUUUUUUGUAGGUAUUAGAAUGUUCAUAGGGGCUGGACAAAAAGGAGGUAACUAGGAUUAAGGCAUAAUGGAGUAUUCCACAAUGAAGGCCAAGAACAGGGAAGAAAAAAUGAGUCAGCUGCAGGUGUUAACCUGCUCUGAUACCAUGAGGGAAAAUAAGAGGGAAUAAUUGGUAUAUAUUUUUCUCUAUCUAUUGAUAGAAUGAAAAAGCACCCUCCUACCAGGGUCUAACUUUGUGAUUUUCCACUGUAUCAUAUCAGGGUGAUCUGAACAAAUAACCUUGUUUUAACAAUUAGUCAUCCAUGGCUUGGUAGUCUUUUCCCUAAAACCUCUUCAUAUUAGCUCGUAACCGAUUCAAAAUUCACGAAAUUCAUAUAGAUCGUUCAAUGAAGUCCCCUAAUCAAGUUCAAGGUAGUCUUUGGUUAUUCUGGAAAUAUGACUAAUCUACUUCAGUACAAAAUGUUGAAGUUACAGAAGAAACAAGCCAUGCAUAAAUCACCCACACCCCUCUUCCAAAUUAACAAGCCAUGCACAAAUCAAAUUCCCAUACAUCAAUAUUAUUUUACAUGUCUUUUUAACAGACUGAAUUCAUUAAGACAGAAGAGUACAUAACUCAGAGGUGAAUCCUACACAGCCACUUCUACAGAACCCCAAAGAUGUAAAAGGUCAGGAACAGACACCCAAGCACAAAUGCAGAGGUUGAAAGCUCUGAGGAACUGGGUAGCACCAAAUAAAUGCCAGAAGUAAAUGCUAUCACCAUUCCUAGGAUGGAAACGUAUGUGAGUAUGGCUG